CGUCAUGCUCGCCAUUCUCGUCGCCACUGCCACCAGUUUCGGGGAUUCGUGUGCUCCAGGGGAUGCGUUGCCACACAACCCUCUCAGAGCCUGCCGCACCUACGUGGUCAGUCAAAUCUGCCACCAAGGCCCCAGACUCCUCACCUCGGACAUGAAGAGGCGGUGUUGCGACGAGUUGUCGGCCAUCCCGGCGUACUGCAGGUGCGAAGCGCUGCGUAUCAUCAUGCAAGGGGUAGUAACUUGGCAGGGUGCGUUCGAGGGUGCCUACUUCAAGGACACGCCCAACUGCCCUAGGGAGAGGCAAACGAGCUACGCCGCCAACCUCGUCACCCCGCAGGAGUGCAACCUAUGGACCAUCCACGGCAGCCCGUCCUGCCCCGAACUGCAGCCCGGAUAUGGAGUGGUCUCGUCAUAAGUUAUAACGACUAGCUCGAUCAUGAAUAAGCAUGGUGCAUCGAUCAAUGGACCAAUCGAUUGUAUGCAUCUAUGCCCAUGUGUGAUGUGUGUUAAAUCGUAAUAAAGAGCAUCAGAGUAUUUUCAGUAUUGUGUUCAAAUGUUUGGCGGUAAUCAACUACCGAGCAUGAUACCCCCGAACCCUACCCUCUCCCGUGCCGCCACCCGUGAUGCGGCCGGGGAGGAAUUCCAGAUCCUCGCCGCGAUCCUCCCCUCCUGCAUCCUCAUCCUCACGCGUGAUGGGGAGGCGCAGGCCGGUUCCCUUGGGCCUGGGCGCGGUGGUUGCGCAGGGUGCCGUGGCGCGGCGGCUCUUAGGUGUGGAAGUCACGCGGGGUGCGGCUGCGGCUUUAAGGGACCGCGUGCCUGGUGGUGCUCGCCGGCACUGCGGCGGUCGGAUCUGGCCAGCAGGCGGAGCAGGCCGCGGCAAUAGGCACUGGUGGCUGCUGUGAUGGGCCUCGACGAUGGAGGCCAUGACGUGGUGGCACUCUUCUCGUGAGGGGAUGACGGCAGCAGCUAGCGGCGGUGGUGGUUCCCUCCUCUCCUCGGUCUGCUCCUCGGACGAGGCGGGUUGGGAUGGGGUGCGGGCUGGUUCUGGUGUCGGCAACGCGGUGGCUGUGGUACGCCUGGCAGCGCAGGGUGGUGGAAUGACGGGUCCCUUCUCCUUAGUCGGUGCAGAUGGCGUGCAGAGCAAUGACAUCUUCUUCCUAUGGUUUGUGCUCUGUCGGGUCAGAUCUGGGUCCUAGGCAUAUCAAGGCUGGUUCCUGGGGUAGGUGACGCUGGGCUCAGCCUGGGAUGUGCCCACGAGAGGUGUAUUCGCGGGUGCGAUGUGCAAUGGUGGUGGUUCUGUCAAAGCUGCCACUCCAAUGGUCCUACAGAUCGUCGCCGAUGGCCACGGACUAGGCGUCAUGCUGGCACUUCAAUGCCUACAUGGUGGCUAUCGGUAGUCUCAAGAUCGUGUCCUCAUGGUUCACCAGGACUAGCUGGGGAUGCACGUGUUGACGACUCCUACUAUGGAGCUGUGGGCCAAGAUCCAGAGACUGAUGUCGGGCUAGGAGUGGAAGCAGGCCUUCUACUCCUCCUGUGGUGGUUGGCGUGUCGUGAAGUGGUCGGGUGACGAUGUCUUGCGGCAGGGAUGGUGGUCCCCAUGGUUGGCUCUCCAGCGAGUCUUAUGGAGGUGGUGGUGUCUUACCCUGGUCGUGUGGGCGGCAAGGGGUAGCGACUGGUGGCUCGGACGUGUAUCAUGCCAUUGGCAAAGGCAUUGCCCUUGGAGCUCGCCACACAUGGCAUAGCAUCAUCGAGAUGGCACGGGUGAGCCGUCGAGCCAAGACUACGUGCUUCUUCGUAGACAAUGACGGCGCCCAAUGGGCGCCUCUAUCUUAUAGAAGAAGUCAUCGUGCUUCUCUCUCUGUGCUAAGGCUCUGGGUGAAAAUCCAUGCCCGCUUCAGACUCGGCAGCGGCAAUGCUCGGCGUUGUUCUCCCUAUUAAGGGUGUUGUCGUGAAGACUAGAUGUGCUAGGGUGUGGUGUGGGAACGUCAAGGGAGGUAGAGCCACUUGCCAAACACUAGACCCAUUGAUGAAAAUAAAAAACUUACAAGAAUAAAAAAUCACAAGAAAUUUGGUAUGGCUCUUUUUUGGGAAACUUUUGAAAUUGGGGAGAAAAAAAUCAAACUAAAGGAUAAAAGUGGGGGCGGGGGUAGCGCUCCAAAUUCGUAGUAACGUGGUUGUUGAUACCAAUAUGAUACGGGGUAAACCCGAGGUGGCCCGAUCUGCAUGAAUUGGAGGUGGAUUUGAGAAGAACAUGAUGAACAUGAAGAACAUGAGGGAAAAACAUAAAGAAAUCAAAAAGGAAACCACCACUAGUAGAAAACGGGCCUUUGGCCUGGACCAUUUAGUCCCGGCCUGCCUCUGGGCCGGGACUAAAGGCCCGGCCACGUCGCCCCAAUUCUCAAUGCCUCCCUCGAGGCUUUAGUCCCGGCCCGUAAGGAGCCUUUAGUCCCGGUUCGUGUCCCAAACCGGGACUAAAGGGCUACGCGGCGGGCAGUGGUGGUGGCAACCGUUCGUAUCCCCCUUUAGUCCCGGAUGGUGGCUCAACCCGGGACUAAAGGACUAACACGUGGCCUGCCGUAGUGGUGGCGACCGUUGGUAUACCUCUUUAGUCCCGGUUGGUGGCUCAAACCGGGACUAAAGGCCUAACACGUGGCCUGCCUUAGUGGUGGCAACCGUUUGGUAUACCUCUUUAGUCCCGGUUGGUGGCUCAACCCGGGACUAAAGGCCCAAACGGUUUGCAUCCCGCGCCGUUUCGGGCGAUGAAAAGCACGAACCGAAGCGUACAGUCGUCAUUUCUCUGUUCUUCUUCUCUCUCGCGUCGCCCUCUCUGUUCUUCUCCUCUAUUCUUCCCUUCUCUUCUUCCACCAUGCCAACUAGCUUUCAUGAGGUGCUCGCACAUGGCACGACCAAGCUCCGUGUCGUGUACACGAACCUGAGCAGGGAGGUGCCGUUUUUUCUUCAACAGUUGAAGGAACGAUGGUUUGACCACGCAGCGGAUCAUGAGAAGUUCUUGGGGCUUGAUAUGGAGUACACGGCCGAUCAACGCGGUGUUGCCGUCAUCCAACUAUGCUUCGCACGCCAUGUCUUGAUCUUCCAAUGGGCGAGGUAAGUUUUGAGGCUUUCUUUGAUCCAAGAUAAUGAUAUUGUAAGUUUAUUUGUUUCAAUCAUAGUUGGUUCCCUUCAAAUAGUUGUAGUGAAACAAUUUUGAUUAGUUGAAGGGGAGCACAAUCUAAUUGGAAUAGUGUUCCAUAAUCUGAAAAAUCGUAUUAGAAUCAACUAGUGUUUAAUAUGUUUCAUUGGAAUCAUAGUUGGUUCCCUUCAAAUAGUCGUAGUGAAACAAUUUUGAUUAGUUGAAGGGGAGCACAAUCUAAUUGGAAUAGUGUUCCAUAAUCUGAAAAAUCGUAUUAGAAUCAACUAGUGUUCAAUAUGUUCUAUUGGAAUCAUAGUUGGUUCCCUUCAAAUAGUUGUAGUGAAACAAUUUUUGAUUAGUUGAAGGGGGGGCACAAUCUAAUUGGAAUAGUGUUCCAUAAUCUGAAAAAUYGUAUUAGAAUCAACUAGUGUUUAAUAUGUUCCAUUGGAAUCAUAGUUGGUUCCCUUCAAAUAGUUGUAGUGAAACAAUUUUGAGUUGAAGGGGAACACAAUCUGAUUGGAAUAGUGUUCCACAAUCUGAAAAAUCGUAUUAGAAUCAACUAGUGUUUAAUACGUUCCAUUGGAAUCAUAGUUGGUUCGCUUCAAAUAGUUGUAGUGAAACAAUUUUGAUUAGUUGAAGGGAACACAAUCUGAUUGGAAUAGUGUUCCACAAUCUGAAAAAUCUGAUUGGUUCAAUAUGUUCCAUUGAAAUCAUAGUUGUAGUGAUACAAUUUUAUGCGGUGUUCUUUGAUCCAAGGUUAUGAAAAUUGAAUAUAGCUAGUGAUCUCUCUAGGUUCCAUUGGAUAGCAAUAUGACAUGUCAUAGUCAUGAAAAUUGCAUAUAGCUAGUGAUCUCUCUAGGUUCCAUUGGAUAGCUAUAGUGAUCUCUCUAGGUUCCAUUGCAUAUGUUCUAUUUGAAUCCUAAAGAUAAGUUUCUCUUUUGUUCUUGUGAAACAUGUUUCCUUAUUGCAGCAGUAUGUAACAUUUGUUCUAUUUUAAUUUGUUUCUGUUGCAGGAGUGACAAGCAUUGUCCAGAACUCAUGGAGUUCCUUCGCAGCGGCAUCACUUUUGCUUCCGUUGACAUAAGGAACGACAAGCUGAAGAUGAGGCACAGCUUCGGUAUUGAGAUACCAGCUAGUUGCCUCGUUGAUCUCCAAACGAUAUUCAGGCUUCGACAUGACAGGACUUCGAUGGCUCAUAUGGCAGUUGCCUUGAUCGACGAGUCAUAUGGUGAUAUGAAGACCAGUUUCCCAAAGUCUCAGCACAGACUUUGGGAGAAGGGCCCACUUGAUGAUAUCAACAUUGAGUAUGCAGCAAAAGGUGCAUACGCUUCAUACGAGUUGUACCGCAAGAUUCGAGUCGUCCAGUAUGGCCAGCGUCACCUCGAGGAAGGUGGACAUUCUGAUUCAGAUGAUUCAGACGAGUAGUGUUCUGAACGUCGAACACUUGUAUAUAUAUAUAUGGUAGCUAUUAUUAUGUACUGUUUGGACUAGUAUCAUGUACUUCUUGGACCAAUUUAUAUAUGUCUAGUUUCUGUUUGUGCCAUUAUAGCUUCCAAAUUUGAAUGGUUUAGCCCUUUCUAACUUCAUUUGCUACUUUUGAAUGGUUUAGCCCUUUCUAACUUCAUUUGCUACUUUUGAAUGGUUUAGCCCUUUCUAACUUCAUGGUAUCAUGCAUUUCGACCACAUAUAUAUACAAAAAGUCUUCAGUUCAAAUAAGUUCAAAAAAUGAAAUCCCUUUUGUAACAGAUCUGUUUUUGAUUAAAAUACUCAUUUAAAAAUGAAAGACCAUUAGUCCCACGUGGCGUGCAGCGGAACCACGUGGCGUGCCGCGGAACCACUUUUGUUGUGGGGGUCGCUUCUCCUUCUUCGAAACGCUGCUACUUCGAGAGAGAUUGUCCGUUUUGUACACGAACUGCAUCCAGUUUUUGUCGUAGCCCUCUCAACUUUUUAACACAUGCUAUGUGGGUGAAAUGAUGAUAGCAUGCCAACUUUCAACAUUUUCAGAGUUCAUUUGUAGUGCUUUUCAAUUUCAGGGUCAACUAGCUMCAAAAAAAUAAGUAAAUGCACGAAAUAUACCAAAUGAAGUCAGAAAUUGUUGAAAUUUUGUGAUGUGCCUUAGAAUGGUGCAUUUUGAACACACAAAAAGUAUGGAGUUCAAAUAAGUUCAAAAAAAUGAAAUCCCUUUGUAAGAGAUGAGUUCUCGUUUGAAACGCUGCUACUUCGAGAAAGAUUGUCCGUUUUUGUACACGAACUGCAUCCAGUUUUUGUCGUAGCCCUCUCAAAUUUUUAACACAUGCUAUGUGGGUGAAAUGAUGAUAGCAUGCCAACUUUCAACAUUUUCAGAGUUCAUUUGUAGUGCUUUUCAAUUUCAGGGUCAACUAGCUCCAAAAAAAAGUAAAUGCACGAAAUAUACCAAAUGAAGUCACAAAUUAUUGAAAUUUUGUGAUGUGUCUUAGAAUGGUGCAUUUUGAACACACAAAAAGUAUGGAGUUCAAAUAAGUUCAAAAAAAUGAAAUCCCUUUGUAAGAGAUGAGUUCUCGUUCGAAACGCUGCUACUUCGAGAGAUAAUAGUUUGGAUAGUCAAAAUUAUUAAUUAUGAAAAUAAAAAUUAGUUUUGCAUUAUUUAUUCAAUUUGAAACACUUUUCAUUAUCAUAGUUUUGUCAAAUUCUCAAAUAUGCAAAAAGAAUUAUUAAUAAACAUAGUUUUUAAUUGAAAAUAACAAAAUAGAUAAUAGUUUGGAUAGUCAAAAUUAUUAAUUAUGAAAAUAGAAAAUAGUUUUGAAUUAUUUAAUUCAAUUUCAAACACUUUUCAUUAUCAUAGUUUUGUCAAAUUCUCAAAUAUGCAAAAAAGAAUUUUUAAUAAACAUAGUUUUUAAUUGAAAAUAAAAAAAUAGAUAAUAGUUUGGAUAGUCAAAAUUAUUAAUUAUGAAAAUAGAAAGUAGUUUUGAAUGAUUUAUUCAAUUUCAAACACUUUCAUUAUCAUAGUUUUGUCAAAUUCUCAAAUAUGCAAAAAAAAAUUUAAUAAACAUAGUUUUUAAUUGAAAAUAACAAAAUAAGUUAAUAGUUUGGAUAGUCAAAAUAAUUAAUUUUGAAAAUAGAAAAAAAUUGAAACUAUAUGAGAAAUCAUGGACAAAAUUCAACCUGAAUUCACUUUGAAUUCAGAUUGAAUUUUCUCCACAAUUUCGAAUAUAGUUUCAAUUUUCAGUAAGUUUAGGCCCGUAAGCCUGCUUUAGAGAGGAGCUUGAUGGACAAGCUGCGACGGGGCUUAUAAACAAGUGUUAGUCCCCCUCGUUGGGCGAGGUGGGACUGAACUGAUCGUGCAGCCGAGGAGGGGCUUUAGUCCCGGGUGGAGCCACGCGCGGGGACUAAAGACACCCUUUAGUCCNNNNNNNNNNNNNNNNNNNNNNNNNNNNNNNNNNNNNNNNNNNNNNNNNNNNNNNNNNNNNNNNNNNNNNNNNNNNNNNNNNNNNNNNNNNNNNNNNNNNUUGUCAUAUACUAACAACUCAAAUUGAUUUGGCUGUUUUAGACAUGAUGGACAAAAAACUUGUUUUAGAAAUGAGGUAGUUACCCCUUUGGAGUUAAUUUGUAACUCAUGUGUGAAGACUAAAUGGUUUUGUGUGUUUAACUUCAAACUUUCAAAAACAUCACAAAAGCUUCAUUUUGGAGUGACUAAGAAGGAUCGAGGCUUGGUUUGUCAUUUUCAUGUUUGCAACUUGUUUAAAUGUUUGUCAAACUUAGGUUUGACCAAGUUUGAAAUGAGCAUAAAAAAUAAAUAAAAAUAUUGGAAAACCACUGCACAUGUUCUUAUUUUGUCAUAUACUAACAACUCAAAUUGAUUUGGCUGUUUUAGACAUGAUGGACAAAAAAACUUGUUUUAGAAAUGGGGUAUUUACCCCCUUUGGAGCUAAUUUGUAACUCAUGUGUGAAGACAAAUGGUUUUGGGUGUUGAACUUCAAACUUCCAAAAACAUCACAAAAAGCUUCAUUUUGGAGUGACUAAUAAGGAUCCAGGCUUGGUUUGUCAUUUUCAUGUUUGCAAGUUGUUUAAAUGUUUGUCAAACUUAGGUUUGACCAAGUUUGAAAUGAGCAUAAAAUUUUAAAAAAAAAUUGGAAAACCAGUACACAUGUUCUUACUUUGUCAUAUACUAACAACUCAAAUUGAUUGGAACCAGUUUUCUAUUUUUUUUUUGAAUUACUUAUGCUUAACCCUAACUUUCGAAAACCGUACAACCUCGUUCGUGAUAGCCAAGUUUGUGAAGGCUUUUUCAUGAAAAACUCUAUAGUCCAGAUUUCUUUAUUUUCUUAUGGAGUUAGUCACAUAUAAUGAUGAUUGNNNNNNNNNNNNNNNNNNNNNNNNNNNNNNNNNNNNNNNNNNNNNNNNNNNNNNNNNNNNNNNNNNNNNNNNNNNNNNNNNNNNNNNNNNNNNNNNNNNNUGUGGCCUGCAGCCUGACCAUUGUGUGUGGACUUGUAGUAUUGUACAGUAGUUUUCGCCGCAAAAGGGGCCCGUGUGUCCGCGGUAGUGCCAAACGAUCGAUCGACGGAUGGCAUGAGCAGCAUGGAUGGUGUCACGCGCAUGUAGGACAAGUAGUAUAAGUUUUUACUAAUUUGCUUAGUAAAACCUGAAUUAUGUGCGCUAGCGGCAAACGCGGACUAUCUGUAGGUUACGUGGGAAGCCCGCAUAAGCCCACUUAAAUAAACGGGCUGACGCAGCGUGAUGCGGAGUGUCCCACUUGCAGCUUGACGUUCCCCUCAAAAAAAAACUUGCAGCUUGACGUGUCGAUGCGGGGUGUCCCGCGGACUUGCAGCUUGACGUGUCUCCCCUGUAACGAAUGAAAAGAACUGUUGCUUUCAUUGAUCAUCAAUCUGGGUAUUUAUACAAGGACUCCCGUCUUUUGAGAAUGUCGGUUACAAGAAGAAGGCGCCUGUAGGAGACGUCGCUAGUUUGGAGAGGCGUCUGUUUGGAUACAGGCGUCUGUACAUAUGGGAAAGGCGUCCGUGCGAAGGAACGCUUUGGGCACUAAAGAUAACUGCCUAAGGCAGUUGUUAUCUAAUCCUAACACUCCCCCUUGCACAAAGCUACGUCUUGUAUAUCUUGUAUCCCUUGCAUAAUCUUGAGAAUCUUCCAUGUAGUCUUGAUGAUCUUUGAAGUUGAUAGUUACUUCUUCAAAAACCCUGUGGGAAAAAUAUGAGGAGAAUAGUAUUUGAUAUGUUGUGAAAACUCCUUUAAAACCCUGUGGGAAAAGUAAGGAGAAAAUGAUACAACAUAUAAUGAUCAUUGUCUCUUUCAUAACUUAUAUGAGAAAACCUUGAGAGGAUAAAACUCAUUGAUAAGUUUAGAGGACAAUUAAUAUGUCUUGUAUACUUCCGUUAAAAACCCCGAUGGGGRAAAUAGGAUGUAUGACAUAUAUUCUUGUGUUGAUAUUACCUCAUUAAAAACCUUGAUGAGAACCUCGAGAGUAUACUCAUAAAGGGAAAAAGAGUGUAAUAUAAUGUUUUGAAUAGGUUAUAAUUCAGGAAGAGAAACUCCCCCUGAUCUUUGCAAAAUCCCGAAGUCGUCGCAUACCUAUCCCAUGAACAUAUUUUUCAAAUGUUGAAGUUGGGAGUGAUUUUGUAAAUAGGUCAGCGAGAUUAUCACACGAUUUGACUUGCAAAAUGUUUAUCUUCCCUUUCUUCUGUAAUUGAUGGGGAAAAAAUAAUUUAGGAGAAAUAUGCUUAGUGAUNNNNNNNNNNNNNNNNNNNNNNNNNNNNNNNNNNNNNNNNNNNNNNNNNNNNNNNNNNNNNNNNNNNNNNNNNNNNNNNNNNNNNNNNNNNNNNNNNNNNAUAGAAAAUAGUUUUACAUUAUUUAUUCAAUUUGAAACACUUUUCAUUAUCAUAGUUUUUGUCAAAUUCUCAAAUAUGCAAAAAAGAAUUUUUAAUAAACAUAGUUUUUAAUUGAAAAUAACAAAAUAGAUAAUAGUUUGGAUAGUACAAAAUUAUUAAUUAUGAAAAUAGAAAAUAGUUUUGAAUUAUUUAUUCAAUUUCAAACACUUUUCAUUAUCAUAGUUUUGUCAAAUUCUCAAAUAUGCAAAAGAAUUUUAAUAAACAUAGUUUUAAUUGAAAWWAAAAUAGAUAAUAGUUUGGAUAGUCAAAAUUAUUAAUUAUGAAAAUAGAAAGUAGUUUUGAAUGAUUUAUUCAAUUUCAAACACUUUCAUUAUCAUAGUUUUGUCAAAUUCUCAAAUAUGCAAAAAAAAUUUAAUAAACAUAGUUUUUAAUUGAAAAUAACAAAAUAAGUUAAUAGUUUGGAUAGUCAAAAUAAUUAAUUUUGAAAAUAGAAAAAAAUUGAAACUAUAUGAGAAAUCAUGGACAAAAUUCAACCUGAAUNNNNNNNNNNNNNNNNNNNNNNNNNNNNNNNNNNNNNNNNNNNNNNNNNNNNNNNNNNNNNNNNNNNNNNNNNNNNNNNNNNNNNNNNNNNNNNNNNNNNUAGGGCGAAUUCUGCAAGAAUCAUACAUCAAUAAUACAGGCGGGUUGCAGAUGUAAUCCAAGGCAGCACGAACAACGGUUGCUCUUAUAUAAAAAAGGUACCUCGCUUGGUUUUCUUUUGUUUGUUGCUGGCAAGCCAGAUAUUAGAUCGCCGGAGUGACUUCGUGUCUUCCGGUUUGAGGCGUGAUGUGUUCUCUUCAGUAAGAAAUUUGGGUCCAAAUGGGCAUCUGGAUGUGAGAAGGGGACUUUCCCACAUAUUCGCCGGGCCGGCUUAGGUGGAGAAGGAGAUGAAUCGGAGGAAACAGAAAUUACCUCAACGGAGUCUUCUUGGCUUUCGUUAUCUUCAUUCUAUUACAAGAAGAGUGAGAGAUAUGAAUAAAGGUCAAAAGUAAUAGGUGGCGAGUGAAAAGGGGACGGAUUGGUACCUCUGAAAGUGCGUCGCCGACUUGAGAUUCGUCGACUUCAGAUGGCUCGGCCGCAGUAGAUUUGCCUUUGCCCUUGUUUUUCUUGAAGGGCGGCUUAGCAGUCUUCAUGGCUUGCUUUUUAGGUCUCCUAGACCAGAACUUGUCGCCUUUCUGUAAAGGUAUAUGGCAUGAAGUCGUAAUGGCAAUAAAACAGAAGGAAUAAAUAUCAAGGGCGGGUCAGCUUUGGUUACCUUGGGCGCCGGGUUAAUCUUGCAGAAGGGCUUAAGGCCGAUUUGGCCGCACUUUCCUGCGGGCUCGCCGGUCAGUUUUUUGAUGAUGGCGACGAUGUCUUUCUCUGUUAAUGCUGUGUGAAAGUAGCAUUGGGGAUGAUCCAGAGUGCCGUCAAAUUCACACAUUAGACCAUCUUGGCGGCUCAGAGGAAGAAUCCGCCAUUCGACCCAGCAGCGGAUCAGGUCGACCCCGGUAAGACCAUUGUUCGUCAAGGAUCUCAGUUCAGACAAAAUUGGGAUGAACUCCGACUCUUCUUCCUCGGUGAGCUUGUCGGGGAGCUUGAAGUUAACCGGAAGGCGGGUUGUCCUGUAGCCCAGAAGUUUGUUCUCACCGGCAGGGGACGUUUCUUUACAGUAAAACCAAGAUUCACCCCAGCCCUUGGGAUGGCUAGGCAUGGUGAGUGAAGGAAACGGGCUAUCCCUUACGGCGCUGGAUGUUGACACCGCCGAGUUCCAAACUGGGGCCGUUGUGGAAUUCCGUCUGGCGAUUCAGAUGGAAAAAGUGCCAGAAUAGAGGAACGGAAGGCUCGAUCCGCAGAUAAGCUUCGCAAAGGACUUGGAACUGACUCAAGUUGCUUAUAGAAUUGGGUCCCAAAUCCUGGAGUCGGACAUUCAUGAAGGUCAAAGCGUCCCUAAGGAAUUUGGAUCCGGGCGGCUUAAAACCCCGUUCCAAGUGUUUCACAAAGACUACUAUUUCCCCUUCUUUGGGGUUGGGGAGGUCUUCUCCCAACCCGGUGCACCAUCCAAUGACAUCUUGAGGAUCCAAACAGCCCGUUUUCACGUAACUAGCUAAAACAGCAUCAUCAACUUUGGUAGGAAGCCAAUCGCUCUUGAAAACGGCACCCAUGCUACAAAUAGGUAAAAGUAUGAUAUUACAUGUCUCGAACAUUUACUAUGUGAAUCGGGAUCAGCUCCCGUUAACCCGCCAGACUAAGAGGCCGGGUUGGGUUGAUAUGGCGACUUAUCGAACCAGGGCUAUUCCCAAAGGCAACAUUACUGUGGAUGGUAAAAUCUAUUCGUUCCGAAGCACUAAGGGGGGGAUGAAGGUUACAAACAGUUUUUUGCAAACAGUGAAUGAGGAAUGGAUCUGCCGAACAGAUAUAGGAUCUACGAAUAUGGCUGAGCAUGAACAAUGUAUUAUCAGGUGAUGCCUCUCGUUUGAAGAAGAUAUUGUAUUCAGAAGUUCGCAAGAACAGCGAAUGGUUAAAAUUAUUCAAGGCACUGGCUACCCUAGCGGCGCUCGGACUAAUCGAUUCGAGGGAAAUGAAUGACUACGAGCGGAAAGCUUCAAAGCUACGGCAAUGGCGAAGAUACGAGCAAGGAAUAAACCUACUCCUAAGAGGGGGAACGAGGAUCUAACCUGAUGUUCUCGGUCGAAGAAGACCGGCGGUGACGGGGAUCGCUGGGGAAGCGCGGGGGUCCCGAUGAACGAAGAGGCCUUUGGCGGCGACGGAGCUCAGGGCGAGCAGCGAGGUUGCCGGUGAUGAUAAUAACGGCGGACGGAUCGACUGAGGUGCGAAGCUUGACGACGGCGACGGCUUGCGGGCAGCACUGGAGCUCCUCGAACGGGGGCGGAAGUUGCGGCCGGCGGCGGAACCCUCGGGAAGCGGUGCGGUCUUUUGCUGCGAUAAUGGGGGGGACUGACGAGACUGGUAGGUGGCCAGCGCCAGCCCUGUCCCUUCCGCCUAUUUAUCAGGACGGGCGCUGGAAUCGAGGCGCCGUGAGCGGGAACCGUUUGGGAGUAAAAGAUUCGCCAUGAUGACGUCCGAAAAUUUUGGGAUAAUGAUGCACUAAAAGAUCCGUUGGGAUUGUGUUAAAUUUCCCGAAGAUCGAGGGCUAAGGAAGGUGCUGACGGGAAAAGGAUUGGCGACUCAAAGAUUUUUCCGGUACCGGUUGGCGAGUUAAAAUUUCUGGAGUAUGGAGGAAAACGAAGGAGUGAAUCACCUUUAACUAAAGCGGAAGCAUUGGCAUGAAAAUUCAAGUCAAUUUGGGGCCUAAUGUUGGGGAUAUUGCUUAUUAAGUGACCCGCCCAAUAUGGGCCGGGUUACUUGUAAGGCGAUUCAUCCUUUGGGGCUAGUUGGGCCUCAGCCUGGGCGGUUCAAGGCCGCGGGAUGGUUAUGAUUUAUGGAAGGACUUUGGGUUUUGCAAGACGGCGACUUAGAGACCGCGGUGGUCACGAUUUGUAAGGAGGAAGGGACUCUUGUAAAACCCUAAGGCCUCGACCUAUAUAUAAAGGCGAGUCUGAAGGGGGAUAGACAGGUUAGAAAUCAUCGAGUGCUAGGUUAGGCGAGUUACGCCCCCCUUGUAAUCGAAUCAACAUCAAUACACACAAAGCAUGACGUAGGCUAUUACCUCCUCCCGAGGGGCCGAACCUGGGUAAUCCGCCGUGUUUCCUCCCGUUAACCCCUUUGAGUCGCCACCAAGGUGCGAUGGCUCCCAUACUAAGUCCUUUCACGAGGACAUCUGCCGUGACAAAACCACGACAGUUGAUGCAUUCUUGACCUCUGGGCCAGAGCGUAGAUUGACGGCCAAGAUUUCUCUGAUGGGGUAAUCCGCCGUGUUUCCUCCCGUUAACCCUUUGAGUCGCCACCAAGGUGCGAUGGCUCCCAUACUAAGUCCUUUCACGAGGACAUCUGCCGUGACAAAACCACGACAAAGAGUGCUCUUAAUAGUUUUUUUUUUGCCCUUACAGUGUUCAGUCAAAAAAAAAAAGAGGGCACUUAAUACAAUAGUGGCUUCUUAUGACACCAUACUGCAGCUAACAACACAUAUUACAUAACUCUGUCGCGUUGUUGGAAAUUUGUUGACAAAACAUUGUGUUAGGCAUUUUACAUAGAAUAUGAAAUCACAUUGUUUAAAUUACUGCAUGCGCUGUACAAGGCUAAGAACAGUUUAUGUAGUGAGGAGUCUAACGUGCUCAAAUACUGUAAUACCAAGCGAAUAAGAACUAUUUAGCAGAGAAAUUAGUGCCAUCCACUUAACACAUGGCCUGAUUUGCAAAUAAACUUUACCGAGCACAUUAUAUUCUGGAUAACGGCAAACAACUAGUCUAACUGAAGCAUUUCCUAGAUGACCACAAGUAAUCUGUUCUGCUUCUUGCAAAUUUAUUAUUCAAUCUGAAUGUUCAGGAAGCUGACCACACAUCAGUAGACAUACAAAGUGAAUGAACUAAGUACAUAAGAAUAGUUCCGCUCAUCAAUAGCCGAGGUUUGGUGGUACUACCAAUCAUGCAGAAUGUCAAACAGUUUCUGAAAUACGUUAGUUUGUGCAAGUGUGCAGGCUCAUGAGCCGUGUUGAUGUUUUUGUAGCUUAUACUUGCAUCUCGUAGGUGAUCUGCAUUUGAGAACAUCUCCCUUGAUAACAAAUUGCUUGUUCGUGACAUCUGGGGCUGGAUAAGCUGCAGUGUGACCUUAACAAUCCAUACCACCUGUCUUGUCAAGAUGUCUUGUACUAGUUGCCAUGUACUCGCUCCGUCCGGAAUUAAUUGUCGCACAAAUGGAUGUACCUAGACGUAUUUUAGUUCUAAAUACAUCAAUUUCUAUCCAUUUUUGCGACAAUUAAUUUCGGACGGAGGGGGUACUUAAUUAGGACUCUGGUGUCCAGGUUGAAGCUAUUAUACUUGUUUAAAUGAUAAGGUAGUGAAGGUUCCCUAGUAGGUUUGAUAUAAUAUUUUCUCCAUUUUUUGUUGUUGCUCACCACAACAUGCAUGGGAAAAAGUUUUCCACUAUAUUAUGCUACUUAUAUAAUUAAUAAUCAAACACAAUAAAUAUUUAGGUUUUAGGUUUUCCCCCCAUUGUAUUGUUGUUUAGUGCAAUCUGACCCCAAUCAACAAUUUUCCUGAUUUGGCCCUUUUAAAGAUUGAAGUUUGUAUUGUUUGGUAUCCAUGCAUACAUACCAUUCAUGUUUACUUUUGUGGAUUUCUCUAUUACUCCAAUGAGGUUAUCGCAUUCUGCUGCAGGGCUACAAAUGAGGAAGGACCUGGUAGUAAAAUUGAAAUAUUUCCAAGACCUUGUAAACCUGAUUCAAAAGGUGAGAAAAGCACCUUAAUAUUGUUAAAUUGUGCGCAGUUAUCAUCACAUCAGGCAAUUCCUUGCCAGAGUCACCGCCAAUGUUAAUUUUCAACAAUCAUUUGUAGAAUCUGGGUACAUACUUAGUUUUAUGGCUGCAUCUAUUAUCAUGCUAGCAUAUAUGAUAUGCUAAUUAAUUAGUUCGUUCUAUGUACUUCAGUGUAGUAUAUGAAUAUGAGAAUAUACUCAUUUCCUUCAUACUGCUUCUCAGUGUUCUGAAUUCUGCUUAUUUCCCUUCUCCAAUCUUCUCCAUUUUAGUCAGCUCAAGGAAGGCAGAGAAACUUAAGGAUCAGAAACCUUCCAUAUGUACUCUAUGUGAUCCAAAAUGUCAACCAGGUUGGGUCACUUUUAAUGGUAACUAUUGAUUAUUGGUCACAAUCAUUCAUUUUUUCACCCCUGUGGCACCAGGACUCAUGGAUAGAUUAUUAUUAGAGCGGAAGUCUUUAUGUUCUGGGUCACCGAGUUAUCCUUAUUUUGGUGAGUCGUUGCUUGCAGUUUUCCUGACCAUCAUUAUACAUGGGGUCAUCAAUCACUUAACUAUGUUGCAAAAUUCAGGCGUUGCUACAAAAAAAGAGUUGAGGUCCAAUGGUUAUCCCCUCCCAGUUUGGGACGAUGGUGAGUUCAUUCGUGUCCUUUUGUUAUUUACCCUUUUCUGUUGGAACAUCUGUCAUCUGACUGGUUUCUCCAGUUCCCCUCCACUAUUGAAUCUUUUUAUUGCUUUUGCCAGGGGACAAUCGUUUGCUUAACACUUUUGAAGAGAAAUUUAGUGAAGAUAUCUUGAGUAAACUCAAAAGAAACGUUGCUUCAAAUAUGUCUCAAAGUGUUGUUGCAUUGGCUUCAUUCAGUGGUAAUUAUAUUUACUAUAAGCUUGUUUACUCUCAGUAUUCCUUUUCCAAUUUCUUCACUAAAUUAUCAGUCAUUACUCUUGUAGGAAAAACAAGGUGUUUUGCUUGCACGGGCGUAUUCAUAGACUGCAAUGGGUCCACCACAAGAGUUCUGACCUCGGCAAGUUUGGUUAGAACUUCUGACAAUGAAAAUAAGGUUGCUGAUAACCUUAAGGUUGUUACUCUGCUAAUAAUUGUUUAAUUACCGCAUUUACUUAUUCAUGAUAUCACUGGUUUAGCCUUACCAUAUCAUUAUUUGCAGAUUGUAGUGUGCCUUCCAGAUAAUCGUCAUACCAGAGGGACAUUGCAACAUUAUAAUCUACAUUAUAACAUUGCCGUAGUCCACAUCAAGGAUUUCUGCUGUACUCAAACAGCACAAAUCGAUAACCAGAUGCUAAUUGAACCUCAGAAGGAGGUAGUAGCUAUAGGGCGCGUCUACCAAUCAAGCCAAUUAAUGGCCACAGGUGGGAUAGUGAUUGACAAACCAAGUAAGCUUGAUUGUAAAGAGCUUAAAAUCUCCACUUGUAAAAUCACCAAGGUACGCUGUAUUUUUUCGUGUGGUGAAAAUAAAUAGUUGCAUCAGAAUUUGUAAUUAAAUCCAUCACCACAUCUGUAAGGCUUACAAAUACUGUCUUUUCCUAUUCGUUACUUCUGUGUGUGUGUGCUAGGCUGGGAUUGGAGGGCCUCUUAUUGAUUUUGGUGGGAAUUUUAUUGGCAUGAACUUCUAUGGCUUGGAAGAGACUCCGUACAUACCAGUGAAUUUAAUUCUUGAAGUCUUGAAGAAUUUUGAUGCACAAGGGUAUGCUUUUCUUAUUUAUGUAUUUUUUUUGUACAGUAUGCAUAAUAUUCAAUCUUGAGGGAAUUUAGUAGCCUCGAUAGGACAUUUGUUACCAUUUUGAUCUUCUUAUACUGAGCACAUUAAUUAGAAGCUUGAAUAGAACUGCUGCGCAUACGAUAAAUAACAUACGGUACUAGUACGAUCAAGAACAUCUUGUGGUUGUGGCCGACAGUUGAGCAUGUCUGAUUGUAUGUAUAGUUAUGAUUAUAGAAGUAUCUUAUCGUAUGUCUCAUGGCAUCACUCUAACCUGGAAUUAUAAAGGCAAAUAUGGGUUGGUUUUGGUUGUUAUUUUCAGGUUACUUUUAAGUUGGAACUCAUGCUAGUUCUUAAAUCCCAACUUGCUUUCGCGGUUGAACCAUUAUGCCUCUUACUGUUGAGACAUAUGAAGUAGUGAACUGAUGUUGCGUGGUGUUGAUCUUCUCCUCACACGCAUGUGUUUGUUCUUGUACGUUAAAACUAUUUUCGGUCUGUUUGUAGGACUAUUACUAGAGAAGGUGAUGAUAGCCCAAACAGGUAUUGUUUAUUCACUACACAUUCAAUAACACUGCUUGCUUAUGUAUAUAGGAGUUUUAUUUAGCAGCUUAUUUAUAUUUUACUCUGGACAGAUGGCCCGUGCCUAAGCCAUUUUGGUGCUAUCCGAUGUGGCACGAGAUUGAGGAAGAAGUAGAUCUGGAAGAAGAACUUAAAUAUCAGCGGCGGCUAAAAUACUAACCUGAUGAACUGUAUCUGGAUGCAUGUCAUCAAGCGGCUGAUCCAGUUGAAGCACAAGCUGAUCCUGUCUAGCAAGUAUGAAGUGUUUGUAACUUAAUCUGAAGCCUGAAAUACUAGCUUAAGAACUUGCGCUCUUGAGGUGAUGGACCUGUACUAAGGCUGAACCAGGGCCAUUAACAGACGGGUUGGGGAGACUGUCGUACUUUUCGGUACUGAAAGUUUGUUUGCAGCUGCGGUUGUGAUUUUAAGGGUACGGUGAUGAACAGUUGUCCUAAGAAACAUCAGCACAAGUCUGACCCCAACGACUAAGUGAUGGUGACCUGCAUCUCUUGGCAAUCAGAUUCAAAUUGAGUAGCAGGGGACGGUAGCUAGCUCCAUUCUGCCGCGCUCAACAUGCUUCAUCAGCACUAACUUUUAAGCACUUGGGCGUAGCUCUUGUUCAUUUUGGUUGGGUGCUUUGUCAGCUGCAUGAUAGCCGUCUGUCUGCCUUGCUUGUGUUGAGAACAUGUUAGGGGAUGAUCGCUUGGCAGAAAGAUCUGAUACCCUGGGCGUUUUUAGACAAAGGAUGAAAAGACAGUUUCUUCAUUUGCCCACACACGCCAACCUACUCUAUUUGCCUUGCUGCUUUUCUAUGCAUGACUGUUGUGUUUCUUAUCACAUGAAUGGAACCAGAAGUAUUAUAAUUUUGGAAUUUCAGUUACAUACGCUGUGGUUCCUCAACUUGUUUCAACACCCAGUCGGAUAACAUUUUUGAGUAGCACCCAUUUCAGCAAUAAAAGCAUCUGAAACGCGCUCAUGGAUUUUCAACACAAAUAUUUAACUUUGGGGGAAUACUGCAAACCCAAAAAAUUUCUUCCACAUUGGGCAAUCAGCACCUCUCUAAGUUCACGCAACACCCAGUCGAUUAGCCUCUGCGCGAGGUUUGAUGCCACUUGGAGAAGUUCUUUAAUGCUAGUAUAUGCUCUGUUAUUUGCUGUUCGUAUAUAUUUCGAAUUUUAACUCAUUUUUUGUAUUUGAAAACUACUACUGUGAUGUCAGUUUCGUUUUCAGUGGUAAUGGAACCCUGAAGAUAGCUCUGUAUUCUUUUGAGUAACAUCCAUUUCGGCAAGAAAAUCAUCUGAUCCGCAACUCAAAGAAUUCUGCACACUUCGUCAGCAUCUAUGAAAAUGAUAUCAGACCUGACGAUCUGGAGCACUGGUUCUGCACUUACUCNNNNNNNNNNNNNNNNNNNNNNNNNNNNNNNNNNNNNNNNNNNNNNNNNNNNNNNNNNNNNNNNNNNNNNNNNNNNNNNNNNNNNNNNNNNNNNNNNNNNNNNNNNNNNNNNNNNNNNNNNNNNNNNNNNNNNNNNNNNNNNNNNNNNNNNNNNNNNNNNNNNNNNNNNNNNNNNNNNNNNNNNNNNNNNNNNNNNNNNNNNNNNNNNNNNNNNNNNNNNNNNNNNNNNNNNNNNNNNNNNNNNNNNNNNNNNNNGCCGCCGCCGCCGCGAUCGGCGACUCCGUCGGCGGGGCCGCCGGGGGUUCCGCCGGGGCCGCCGCCUCGCGGGGUUGCAUGCUCGAGCCGGACCUCGGCAGGUACGCGUUCCAGCCGUACAAGGAGAACCCCCUCGUCGGGCCAACAUCCGCGACGUAAGACGCCUUUGAACUCUGCCCAAAGCUUGGAUCUUUGGCUCCUUCUAUUGUCAUAGAUGCCUGCAUUUUGUGGAAUUGGUUCAGAUUCGAGCCAAUGCACUUUGCUUUCGGCCUAAAUUUUGAUAGUUUUAUGCAUCACCUUCAAGUAAUUCGGCUGUUAUCAGUUUAUAAUUUCGCCAGGAACUUCUUGAUUUGAUAUGACAUUGGCCUCACUUACUUUACUGUUUAUAAAAGAUCGAUAUGACCAAGUUAUGUAUAAUUCAGAUGCUUUUCCUACAUUGUACUGCCUUCCUACUGUAUUUGGCAAUGUUUAAAACAUACUGCAAUGUGUGUUUUCACCCUUGCUAGUAUUGUCUGAUAAGUGGCAACUGACAUGUGUGCCAAUUCUCUAGGCUGUUGCAAAUGGGGGCACUAGAAACUGGUAAAGUUGCCAAGGAUCACGAAUGGUGGCGCCUCAUCACUUGCAUUUGGUUGCAUGCUGGUGUUAUCCACAUACUUGCCAACAUGUUGAGUCUCCUGAUGAUUGGAAUCAGGCUUGAGAAGGAAUUCGGUUUCCGUAAGUGUCGAAGCCGAUUUUGCAUCUUCAGUUCUCUGCCUAGACACUUCCUUCAAGAGCUAAUAGCUAUAUAACUUGACCAUGUGUAAAUGUUUGUUUAUCGUAGUGAGGAUCGGCACGCUGUAUGUGAUCUCGGGGGUCGGCGGUAGCUUGUUGUCUGCUCUGUUUAUGGUGUCAAAUAUCUCUGUUGGUGCUUCAGGUGCACUGUUUGGAUUACUGGGCUCCAUGCUGUCAGAGCUGAUAACAAACUGGACAAUCUACGAGAAUAAGGCCGGUGCUUAAAUCUAAAGAUCAUUUUUCCAAACUUGUAUUAUUAUAUUUAUUGUGCCUAAUUUCGUUCUUGUUUUGAAAGUACAGUGUGCGGCUUUAUUGACUCUUGUUAUGAUCAUUGUUAUCAACUUGGCUGUUGGGAUCCUUCCACAUGUUGACAACUUUGCUCAUAUUGGUGGAUUCGUAUCGGGGUUUUUUCUUGGUUUUGUGCUCCUAAUGCGCCCACAGUUCGGAUACAUCAACCAAAAGAACUCUCGUCUUGGAGUUCACUCGGGCACGACUAAAUGCAAGUACAAGCCUUAUCAAAUUGUACUCUUGGUGAUUGCUUUGGUGAUAUUAAUUUGUGGGUAAAUAUCUUCCCUGUCAGCAGAAGAGUAAUAAUGAUCUACAUAUUCAGUUCAGCCUCUAGGUUUCAACUGCCUUUGCUAACUUUAUCAUUGGCAGGUUCAUCACUGGCUUUGUAUUGCUAAUGCAAGGGUUCGAUGCUAGCCAGCAAUGUUCUUGGUGCCAUUAUCUGAGCUGUGUUCCUACUUCAAAGUGGGACUGUAAAGCACCGAACAACUAUUGCGUCGUAAGUUCUUUACACAUAUAGAGUCCUAAGAAAUGUCGUCGUCCCCUCUAAUAUCAGAUGUGACUAUCACUUGUUGGCAUAUAGCUUCUCUGUGUCAUUCAUGAUAAAUGUGUCUAACAGUAAACGGAAUGAGUUUAUGAGCAUGGAAUAUGCUUGAUUCUCAUACUACUGAGCAGUUUUUUCUCUUCAUAAAAAUUCUCUUAGAUGAGAACCCUUAGAGCGUCAACCAGUGCAUCCUGCUGUGAGCUGAUCACAUAUUAUCACUCAAAAGGUCCCCUCCCGUUGGUUUUCAACUGUUGUAUCAUCGCUCUCCUUUCUACAUAGGGGGCUAUGUGUUGACAUUAUCUUACCGUAGAGUGGCCUGAAACAAAUGCCUGCAAUUGUUUUUGUUGCUACAUUUUGGAACCUUAUUUUAAUGAGAGUGAUUUUUGUGCACCCACACACAAUGCACCCCCGGUGCACCCAUGAUUAAAAACUUAGCAAAACAUUUCAAAAAAAUCUGAAACUUUGUGGAUGUGAUAAUGACCAAAUGUUUUAGGCGGUUGCAAAAUUUUGUGACGAAAUAACAUCCGAGGAAAUCUGUACAGAAAAGACAAUGUUUGUGCUGAAAACAUGUGAACAGUAUCAUGGGUGCAGAGCAUCAUUUAUAUUUCGUUUUGUAUAGAGAUCAUUUGAUGGUUUUUGAUGGCCAAACUUUGCAAGCUCCUAAAAUAUUUGCUCAUGAUCACAUCCACCAAGAUUCAGAUUUUUUUGAUUUUUUUUCGAAUUUACUGUUCACUCGGUGGGUGCAGCCACUACUUUCCCUAUUUUAAUCUGUAAGCAUAACUAGAGCUUUCGUUUUAGUUGUACUUCCUCGCCUGAAGUUUUACUGACACCAAGCUUCUCCUGCAGUCUUCACAGCUUGGAGACCAAUUAAACCUGACAUGCCAAAGCACCGGGAAGACCGAAACGUACGUUAUCAACAGCCCAACCAACCCGGAGGCGGUUAAGAACCUUUGUCUCGGCCUUUGCAGCUGAUGGAUGGUGGAUGUAUGCGCUUUCAUGGCAAGAAAUUGAUAUCUGCAUAUCUAUGGAAGGGAGACUAGAAGCCUAUGUUUACAAUGGAUUUGGCCUGUGUUAAUGCUUUUGGGCUCCUAUAGUUCUCUCAUGCAUGUGUUGUAUGUUGUGUAUUGCAAAUGUCGACCGGCGGUGAUGAAAGAUGUAUGCUUUGAAAGAGGCAUUAGUUUCUGAAAUCUCAUGUGAGCGCUUGCAUUCUUACGUGUCUUGUGGUGUGGAUGUUGAGCUUAAUUAAAUUGUUGUGUCAAGAAGAAGGGGGUUUGGUGCAGAAAAUUUAACAGACAACCUCACUCCAUAGUUGUGCAUGAAGCGCAAGUAUAUACAUCUCCCUGUUCUCAUUCAAGAGCCGAAGCAAUGUGAGACCGAUCCAAACAUGUAUCACCAAUCGAGGCGCCACCCUUAUCCAAAAGGCGUUACCUAGCGAAAAAAGAAAAAUGAAAGGAAAGGGCAUGAUGGAAUAGUUCGCCACCGCCUGAAUUAUGGUUGUGAGCAGUCAAGCGAUCCGGCUGCCAUUUACCGCCGUCUAAAUGUAGGGUAUCUCCUUGAGUUUAGAUAAAUUUUCAGCACCAACCGAAAUUAUUGAAAUUCAGUGAUUUCAGUUUGCAUUUCGGCCAAAGGGCCAAAUUAUUCACUUGAAUUUAAUUAAAUAUUUAAAAAUUCAAAAAAAAUAUAUAUUUGAUUUUCAAUGUAUUACUAAAAUUGUUGAAAUAUUUUGGCCGAAACCUAAUAUUUUAGUGUCUACUGAAAUUAAUGAAAUUCAAUGAAUUUUAUUGAAAUCUCACUGAAAGUGAAAACUAUGGCCACUCCACGAUCCGAGUCCCGUGUUACCCGAGGGCCGGAAUGGAGCUAAAGGGGUCGAUGCUCCUAGUUUCAUCGAAAAACAAUUGCGAAAUGAUUAACAGAAGAUGAAGUCGGACGUUAAUCUUUCGACUCACCCCUAUGAAUAGAACCACAACCGCAUUUCAUGUACUGGUGGGAGGUUGUGAGUGUUUAGUCAGAGGGGUAUACAUAACCUAUGGUGUGCAAAGACUAAUUCCACCUACGAGCAUCUAGGGACCCCCAUGGCCUGCACCAGCCAUGUCCAAGUAGGCACUUGGAAAAGAUAAGAACGUGCUUGACAGGUUCAACCUAUAUAAGGGGCUUAAGAUAGAUACCUAAUUACUGACAUAGUUCAACCUAUAUAAAGGAUGGACAACCCUCCGUUGAAGGAUAUGUCGUCCCAAAAGGUGAACUCUAUAACCUAGCUCUCUAUAUAUUGGAUAUAUAGUUUGUUGUAGUUUUCUCAUUGAUCAAUAUACACUCUAAACAGGACAUAGGCUUUUUACAAGAAAAAAUAUAACAUGCUAUAUAAAAUAGCGUGACCCCUAAGAUAUGCUAUUUGCGUGAUAUAGUGAGCUAUAACAUUGCUAUUAGUCAGGCCUUGUACAUUGCUUAAUUUAGCCAGCCAAUUUUCUAUCCGUUAUAGUGUGCUAUUAGCGGUUAUAGCGUGCUAUUUUUUUCCAGUGCUUUUUAUCCAUUAGGGGGGCUCAAUUGGAGUAAAAUAACCGUGUCAUAACCAUCUACGACAACAUCCCUUGGGCACCACCCUUCCUUCUACCGUCUUCCACGAUAUCCCAGUAGAUCGUAAGGUCGGUGGUGCAUUAGUUGUCGACAGCCUCCUAGACGGUAGUUAAUUGGUGUCACUUGAUAUCCUUAGAUUUGUGAGCGGAAAGUAGCCACUACUCUAGGUAGUACUACACCUGAUGAGCUUGCCAAAAUCUGAAAAAACGUGAUCAAGCCAAAUCCAAAAAAUCUGAAAAUUUGAGACGUCAAACCUUAUACAAAAUUUUGCAAAACACGGUAUUCCCAGGAACAUUAGCAAAAUAUUGAUCUUUUUCUUUGAUGGAGUAAUCUCUAUCAUUAGAUUUACCAAAAAUGAGAAUAUGUCAAAGGAGAAAGAUCAUGCAGUAAAAUUUGAAAUAAACUUAGGCUGUGUUUGGUUUGGCUUUUUAACCCAACUUCUGCUUUGAAGAAGCUAGAAGCUAACCGAUGGGGUAAUUUUUUAAAACAGCUUUUGACAAUCUGCAGUUUUCACGUAGUGUAAAUUUUGAAGCUGGGUUACCCCAACUUCUCAACUUCUCAACCAACCGUUUUUAACUGUCUCCUUAAAAUUGAGAGUUAUUUACCCACCAAUGCCACUGGCAAGUCAAAUACCUCUUCGCUCUGUUUCUUUCUCUUGCUCGAGUUGGACCCAGUCGGACGAGUGUCGCCUCCCAUGCACGGCUAGGGUUCACCGCAACCGCCACUGCCCUCCGCCGCUCGCUGCCGCUGCCCUCCGCCGCUGCCCUUCGCCGCCCGCCAUCCGAUGACCAGCCACCCUCCUCUCUUCUUCCAUAUUUCUCCAUCCUUCCUUCCUCUUCCCUGCCUGGUCAUGGUGACAUGAUCGUUGGCUCCAGAGUCGGCGUACCAGAUGGUACGUACCAUCACCUCCUUGCUCUUGAUUUUCAGCUGCAACAAAACGAGCAUCGGGGACAUAAUCGUCAUCGUAACGGUGCCAACAAUCCAUGACCUCAUGGCCUGCCUUCUUGCAAAGUUGACACCGAACACGACCAUUGGAGGAAGCUUGUCCAGAGGAGGUGUGGUUGUUGUUGUAGCCACCCCCUCCAGACGUGCGGAGUUUUUGUUGUUGUAGCCUCCGUUCGGGCAUGCACCUUGGCUGCUGCCACGGCCACGCCCACCGCCGUUGUUGCCACGGCCCCAUCCCUGGUUAUCGCGCCCACGGCCAGUCCCGCGGCCACGAGCAGCAGCAUUGGCCGAUGACUGUUGUAUGUUCAUCCCAUGGAGGAGGUUUAGGCGCGUGUCAAAGCUUAGCAGUUGGGUAUAUAGUUCUUGAACAGUCACGGGCUCUACCUGUGCAGCAAGGGUCGACACGACCGGGUUGUAGUCGAGAUCGAGUCCGGCCAGAACCUGAGAGACAAUUUUUCCGCUUGAUAGUGUCGCUCCAGUGCAUGCGGUCUCAUCUAAGAGCGCCUUGAUCUUGGCUAGGUAUUCUGACAUAGUCAUGUUACCUUUUUUGAGGUUGGUGAGCUCAAUCUGUGUAUAGCAUGGAUCGCUGCCCAUACUUCCCCGACGUCUGAAGGGUAACCACCUGCGCAAGAAUCUCGCGAGACAAGGAACCCAUCAGAAACCCUUGAACUUGUUGCCGCCGCGCAUACCAGAGGACGCGGGCGAAGUUCGCAAUCUGCUCCUCCUUGCCAUCCUUGAUGAUGGUGAGUGUCUCCGGCGGCGUUUGGCUCACCACAUCAAGGUGAUGGCCCAUCUGUGCGCCCUUGAUUUGGGGCAGCACAAUAGCCUUCCACAUGAGGUAGUUUUGCCUCGUGAGCUUCUCCUGCGGUGGGGGUUCGAUGGACAUGGGAUAUGCGGAGGUGGAGACGAGGGAGCGAAGGUGGAAGAUGACGCAACGGAUGUGGCGAGGGUACUCAAAGUACUGGAUUCUGUGGAAGGGGAAGUCAUGGCGAUGGCUGGCGAUGAGCCUAGGCUAGAUGCGAUGUCCUUUCGAUCUUUGAGAAGAAGAUGCUCUCAUGACCAUGUAAAACUAGUUAGAAGCGUUAAACCCUUUUCCCGAACCGCGAUUGUAUUUGUAGAAGAGGUGUCGUGGCUUACAAGUUGAUCAACCGAGAGUCCGUUGAGAGAGAAGUUACAAAGGGGUUCGACGGAGGGGAACGAAAACAGAAGAAGAGAUAGAAUAGGAAACUAUGUUUAAACCUAAUUCUAUCUCAUUACAAUGUAUUCUAACAUGGUGCAACGUAUGUGGUAUGUAGGCGGUUUUCUCAUGUACCAAGGGUAGCAAGGCAAUGAGUCAUGUGACGUUGUUGCUUGCGCGUUUUUUGUCCCAGUUUUCGUUAUAAAUUUGGUCCUCUAUUUGAUUUUGAGUUGGUUUCCCUUAUAAACCGGAUCAAUAUUUUUUCGAUGAGGACUCGUUCACAUGGGAUACCUCCAAUGACAACCUUUUAAGGGAAACCUAUGAACUCAGCCGUGGACAUCAAAUAAUGUUGAAAACUCAGUUAUUAUGGGUGAAAUUACAUCGAUCAGAGGCUUGUGAAAUAAAAGUGUCGUUUCUAGGAGUUGAUUCAUAGGAUGUGCAACACUUGGGAAAAGCCACCCUCCCCUACCCAUCACACAAGACACUUUAAGGCUAGCUCGCAUUACAUUUGCAUGUUGUCCAUGCCAAGCUAUGAAGUCCUCGAAACAAGCUUUUUGCCCUGCUUUAUAUAUAAAGCUUCAACCAAACAUAGUACACUGCCGAACAAUACAAGGGGAUGGCGUGGCCCUCAAACAAUGCCGAUCCCACGCUAACUGUAUCAUGCACCACGCACGCGACGACACAACCAAAUUAAAGUACAGGAAUUACUGAGAACAACACCACACUAAGCCCUAUAACACCUAAGUUCCACAACAACAUCCCCAAGGGGUAGAGCGGCGUUAAGCGUCGCCGUUGCCGUGUCCCGAAUAGACAUAGGUUUUCACCUGGAACCGGGACAUGGAAAGGAGCACCAUGACGACGUUUUCAAGAAGACAAUGGCGUCCGCGUGCGUCGACGUCGCCGGCAACAAUCACGAAACUUUCGCCUGACAACUCCCCCGCAUCACCAAACAAGGUCUCCACGACCAGCGCAACGAGCCCAAAACUCCAGAUCCAUAUCAGGGCGCCGCUAUUGUCAGAGAUAAAGAGUGCACCCGAGCCACCCGCUGCAACACCUCUCGCCGGCCACACGACUAGGACAUAAUGCCAUCAUCGUCGUCAUGGUGCCCGCCGGAGAGCCAACCAUGCGAACCUCCAUCCAGGGACACCACCCCGGCAUACAUGUCCAAGGCUCCACAAACCGUCCACAUCAUGGUGCAUCACCUCGAUAAUAGGAGUAAACGGGAUCUCCUUCCACUCCUAGCCCGACAUCAAUCCCGGAGUAUGGGUCGAUACCUCUACAGUAGAAGGCACCCAAGCCCGCGUCUCCAGCAGGUCCCGGUGGACCGUGGGGGUACACUAGCCCGUGACUCCAGACGGCCAUCGUCGAGCGCACUUGCACGACGCCAUGUCUGUGGCCCUUGACGUCGAUCUGCCCAACGGUGUUGUGAAGCCUCAACCACCACCAAUGUCCAUCGUACCCGUGAGAAGAGGGACCUCACCAUCCACGGGCUCCUCCAGGACUGAGCCCAAGCACACCUACCUGGAGCGCAAACUCCAACUCGCCCUAAGUCAUAGCCAUGUCUACGGCCAGAGCCAGGGGAAGGAGGCCCACUGCCACCGCCCAGCGCAACCGGUUCAUGGCCGGCACAGAGCUCCGAGGACUGUCUCCCCACCGACCAGCACCAUCCGUGCCUCUGGACAAGGCAACUCCAGUCGCAAACGAACAACCCCACCAUGGCACAUCACUAGCGCGGCCGAGCUCCUGGCCUCUAGCAUGCAUCAACAUACGGACGACACAUUCUCCCUCGUCCUAAAGGAAAAGAACAUGCUUCAAUGGUGGGAAGGGAACUUUGGGCGAGAGAGGCGACGGAGGAUUUCUCGUCCCGAGAGGGGAGCGAAGGGGCAUGCCGGCCCCAUUGCGAACGAUCAUGUAUUCAUGUCGCUCGACACCCCUAAAUCAUUCGAGACACGGACCGCCCUAAAUCAUCCGAGAUACGGACGAUGUGCUCCUAGUAUUCGUGAAAUUAGUUCAUAAGUAUUCGUGAAUUUAGCUUAUAAUGACAUCAUCGGGAUUAUUUAAUUUAAAAACAUUUACAAAAAGAAAAUCCUGGCCUCACGAGGAUAACAUGAGCAUCAAAGAGUACACUGAUAAUGUGGGUUAACAUGUGAUGAAUUGCAGCGUAUAUAGUGAUCGCUGAUCAGACCAAGGCUUGUGCUCCUUGGCAAGCCAUCCUACCCAACGCAACCAACCCGAAGCCUUCCGCUCCAUUCCAUUCCCAUGUCAAGCGACGACGUGCCCAUGGCCGACGCCGGCGAGGUCCUCGACGCCGCCACCGCCACUAGCACCCAGGCCGCCGACGCGCAGGCGCAGCAGCACCCCACCACCGAGAGCGCCCUGGUCUCCGACGCGGAGCAACACCCGGCCGCCCUGGCCUCCGACGCGCAGCAGCACCCAACCACCGAGAGCGCCCUGGUCUCCGACGAGGAGCAACACCCGGCCGCCCUGGCCGCCGACUCCGACGCGCAGCAGUACCCCACCACCGAGAGCGCCCUGGUCUCCGACGAGGAGCAACACCCGGCCGCCCUGGCCGCCGACUCCGACGCGCAGCAGUACCCCACCACCGAGAGCGCCCUGGUCUCCGACGAGGAGCAACACCCGGCCGCCCUGGCCGCCGACGCGCAGCAGCACCCGGCCGCCGGAAGCGACCUGGCCUUCGACGCGCAGCAUCACAUGAGGGCCGCGGCGGAGCGGGAGGAGGAGCAGGACACGAGGUACCUCAUCGACGAGCUCGCCGGUAAGUAAUCCAUCAUCGCCCGCUCAUCCAAUGGAUUUGAUUGGUCGCCAUCAGUGACCCUGAGCUCCAUAAUGAUCUGAUCAUUUACGCAAAUAUUGUUGGGUCGUUACCCGCCAGAGCUGAGGAUCAUAUUUGACGAGAUGAUACCAGAGUUGAACUGCGAGGAUCUGGAGGAGCAGAAUCAGAGGCUCAGGGAUGAACUCGAAGCCACGGACGAAGAGAUCGAGCUGAAGACGGAGAUGAUUGCAAGAUUGCAGGAGCUGGAGAAGGUAUAUAUGCUCAUGCCAUCUCUUGCUGCCUCAACUCUAAAAUGCUAAGUAUCUUACUUUCAGAGUGCUCAACUUUUUAACUCAGCUCUACUCUACAGUGUCUUUUUACAAAUUGACACCAGCAUCAGUAGUUCAGUAAGUACCUAACAAAAAGUAACGGAUGCUAAUGUCGGAUGCGAGGCCUCAGGUGAGUGAGGCCUGAAUUGCAAGUUUAUACGCGAAAUUUACAGCGGCGUGCCGAAUUUUGUUACUGAAGCGAUCAUCGACAUCAUAUAUAUGUGUCCAGAGAGACACUGAAAUGAAGCAACCAAACACAGUGUUGAAUUCAGGCUGUCAGUUUACUUUCAGUUUUGGAUUAUUUGAUUCAGGCCGUUCAUAGAGACACUGAAAGUAAACUGAAAAAUAAACACUCUGAAAACUGUCGGUUUACUUUCAGUUUACAAAGUGUUGAAUUUUCAGUUUACUUUCAGUUUUCAGAGUGUUAAAUUUUCACGUCUUCAGAGUGUUGUUCUGCAAAUGAACACCGAUAUCAGCACUUGACAAAAUAAAAUGGGUUGCAGAUAACAACGGCGAAUGCUCAAGUCUGGCUGAAAAGGGCGUGAAAUGCUUUUUUUUAUAAGUUAACUCUGAAUUAAUUAUAGCCAAAAAAUUACAGCGGCAUGUCCACUUUUCCAUUGAAUUGAUAGUUAUCAAAAUGAAGCUUACAACCAACGCAACACGGUGUACAUAUGCAGCUGGCAGCAAAAACACUAUAAAUUCAAAUCAUCUGCAGAAUUAGCAUCAGUGCCACUUUGCUUUCAGUUUUCAGGGUGUUGAAUUUUCACCUCAACUUCGUACUGUAGUUUUGCAAAAGAACACAGAUAUCGCACUUACAAAAAAAAACAGUUGUGGAUAGAAAUUGGAAUUUGUAAAUCCGGCUGGGCUUGAAAUGCAUUUUUUUCAGUCAAAAAUUGGAAUAUGCCGAAUUAAUAUUGUAUUGACCAUGGACCGCAAUUCAGCAUAUGCUCAGAGAAACAGUAACAGAGAGCACCUGCCCAGCUCAAAAGUAACAACCAACAAAGCCACCUCCCCUUGCAGUAUGACCCGGUUUAUUUGCUUUCGCCAUCUUAACAUAGUCUUGUGUUGUUUUUAUCGUCUUAGGAUAAUGGUCCCACACAUGGUGCUUUGGAGGUCAACACACUGGACAUGACAGGUGGAGAGAACAAGCUGCCUGUGCUGCAUGAGAUAGAGAAGGUAGGGUCCUGCAUUUCUUACCUGAACUCUACAACAUGUUAAACUUUCAGUUUUCAGACUGCUGAAUUUUCACCUGAACAUUAGAAUAUUUUUGGAAAUGAACACAGGUAGGGUCCUGCAUUUCUUACCUAAACUCUACAACAUGUUAAAAUUUCAGUUUUCAGACUGCUGAAUUUUCACCUGAACAUUAGAAUCAUUUUGGAAAUGAACACGGAUGUCCGCAUCUGCAGUUAUCAAAAAGAAAUUACAGAUGGCAAUGCCAAAUGCACGCUGAAAAGAGCGUGGUAUGUUGAAUGCCUAAUUCUGUUUUUACUCAUCAUGGACAACAUAUGCUCAGAGAGUACUUGCCCUGCUUUAUUACAAGCCAAAACAUCUAGGUGGGGGUUAAAACAAUGUCGAAUUCAAACCAUCUACCUGUACUCCCAAUCUUAAUGCUAGAAUUAGCUUCAGUGUCAGUCCCUCAUUUAAUCCAGAUGCUACUCAGGCAGUAUUCCCCCUAAAUUAGUAUUAGGAAGCAUCAUCUUAAGAUGAUUUCAGUGGAAACUCUUGACAAAUAUUGGCUCUUUUAGCUGGAUUAUCGCUACAUUCAUAACUAACAGACUGAGCUCUCCACCGCAAUAUCACCUGGUUCAUGUCCUUUUCAUGGUCUUACCGAAACUCCCAUACACAUACACAGGGUGCUUUGGAGAUCAACACAUCGGAGCUUGGAGGUGGAGAGUGCAAUGUGGCUGACCAUGCUCUCAUGCUGCAUGAAAACCACAAGGUUUCUCCUUCUCUUUGAUAGGACAAUCGAUAAGCUAAUCUGCAUCAAAUUUUUAUCAGCUCCAUCAAACAGCUGGCCAUGCUAUUCAUACCAAAUAACAUAUCCAUACGCGCCUUGUAGCAAGAGAUGGAGGCUAUUCAUUCCAAGCUAAUUCAACUUGAGAGGCAACUGGAGCAAAGGGAUAAAGACCUGGUGCUCAUCGCACGGCAGCUGAACAUGAAACUACAAGCAGCGGUGAAGCUCCCAGAGGAAGACCAUCAAUGUCUUUAUGGGGUAAUGACUCAUGUGAGAAAUAUUCUGGACGAGGAAGUGAAAAGGAUGAGUGAUUCAUUGUACCGCCUCAACAGAGAGCAGCCUAACGGCAAAGAGCUCCAAGAGAAUCGCCAAGAGUUGAUUCAGGUAAAAGUAAAAGCUCACAGUUUUUAAAAUUUCUAGUUGCUCUAUCUGGGAGGAGUUACAUUGUUGCUAAAAGUUUUCCUCAUUGAAAUGAUCAUAAUGUGCAGGUUUUCGAGAACAUGCCGAUUAGUAGGGGCGCAGUUUUUGGAAUCAAAAGGAUGGGCCAACUUGAUGAAAGUCCUUUUCGCGCCGCAUGCAAUUUAAAAUACAGGGACAAUGAUCCAGAGAACAAAGCUGCAAGGUUGGUUUCGUAUUGGCAGGGGAAAAUACAGAAGCCAUCGUGGCGUCCGUUUGUUACUAUUCGGAUCAAAGAAGAAGAUCAGGUGUCUAUCCAAUUUCCCUACAGCAUUCAUUCACUUACAUUUCUCUGAAUUUUGUGUGAACAAUCACAAGGGUGUUUUGUGACAAUUACAGGAGGUUAUAGAUGACAAUGAUCCAAAACUAAGCAAGCUGCGGUCUCAGUACGACGACAACGUCUGCAAUGCAGUGAAGGAUGCACUGAGAGAGCUCAACGAGUACAGUCCUGGCGAGCGGUGCAUCAUGAAUGAGGUCUGGAACUUCCGGGAAGGGCGGAAAGCGACAACGACAGAGGUGAUCACCUGCAUUUUAGAGCAGCUGGUAGCGGCAGACCCAGGAUUGCGAGGAAAUGAAUUCAAGGUUCCCACAAAAAAAUAUUCAAAUUCAAUAUAACCGGCUAAAAACAGCUGUUUAGUUGUAUAACCGGAUGACAAUAGUUCAAUCAACCAACUAAAACAAUAGAGACUAUCACCAACCGGAUCUGUCUUAAGCUUUCUUUGCUACAUUUGUUUGGAGAAACAACAAAAAAUGGUCUCCAUUGAUAGUUAGUAGAGCAGAUUGAUGCUGAUACUGCUAGGCUAUUUUACCCAAAAGCAUUGUGAGUGCCCAGUUACUCCAUGAAGAUGCGAGUCUAGUCAGUAAUGUUCAAAGCAUGGCUGCUUAUAGAUUGUUAAUGAUGUCAGAACUCUAGAGUUACUCAUGUGUCAGAACUCUAGAGUUACUUCAUCACAAAAGAGGAAUUCUAGAGUUACCAUGGCAACUUAAACUGCAACCUGGUAAGCUAAACAAUGCAAUAUCUCUAGCACACGAAGGUUGGAAAUAUUGACACCCAUAUACGCUGCAAAUCUACUAUAGGUGAAAUUUGAAAAGAACAGCAUAGCAAUACAAUCUCCUGGUUCAAAUGUAGUUGCACAAAUAGGGAUACAAGCGGAAUGUGUCUGCUUGUCCGCAAUCGUCCACAAAGAGAAAAAUUAAACUAACACGGUUUUUAAAGUAAUGAAGAUUAGUGCAAGUUUUGCUUUGGGGACAAGUGGACGCCAUCCGCUUGCUUCCCUAUGCACAAAAGAUGAAGCAAUCAUUCAACAUACAACUAGCGGUGUUUGUUAAACAUUGUAUUGUUGCGGUAUAGUAUAAACCGUAUUCCUUGUGUAACACGUUAGGCUUAGAGAUAAGAUCCCAGUUAAACUAGAUUGCUUGAAGAUCAAUCCUAAGCCUAACAAACUCUUGUAACCUCUUUGUAAUCCUCGCGUUGGUGCCCAUAUAAACACGCACGCGUCCCUGCGGUAUGUAUACGCUUAACCUACGGGUUUUCACAUGGUAUACAGAGCUAGUCUCUUCCAAUACAUCUAGCCGCCGCCAUGUCCACCUCCUCCUCUGCGAUCGCCAUGGCCUCUCCCUCCAUCGCCUCUCUCGGCCACACCAUCACAGAGAAGCUAACAAGGGAUAAUUUCCUUGUAUGGAGAGCCCAAGUCCUGCCGCACAUCCGUGCCGCCGGUAUGAUGGGGUUCCUUGAUGGCUCAAACAAGGAACCCAGCGCCGAGCUUCUCCUGGAGAAAGAAGCUACUGGCAAGAAGGAGAUCGUCGCUACUCCCAACCCCGAACAUGCCGUUUGGGUGACCCAGGACCAACAGGUACUUACUUUCCUGCUGGCAUCUCUCUCUCGCGACGUGCUGAUGUAGGUCAGCAACUGCGAGACUGCUGCCGAGGCGUGGAAGGAGCUUCUUUAGAGCUUCUCAUCGCAGUCGAGGGCGCGCAUCAUCCAGCUCCGCUCGCAGAUCACCACUACUCGCAAAGGUGAUCUCUCCGCCGCCGCUUACUUCACCAGGAUGAAGGGGCUCGCUGAUGAACUUGCUGCUGCUGGAAACCCCUUGAUGAGGACGACGUGGUGUCGCACAUCCUCCAAGGGCUGAUGCAUGAACCCGAGUACAACGGGUUCGUUUUUGCUAUCUCAACUCGCACCAUCACUGAUCAACCGAUCGGUCUUGGAGAGCUGUACUCUCUCUUGCUUGCAGCAGAGGGUCGGAUCACUACUCAGGUCACCUCCUACACGGCCAAUAUGGCUGCUAAGGGAGGUGGCCGGGGCGGCUACGGUCGCUCUGGGAACGGCAACGGCGGUCCCCGUGGCUACAACAACAACAACACGGGUGGCCGCUUCUUCGACAACUCGGGCAACGGUGGCGGGCGUGGUGACCGUGGUGGUGACCGCGGUGACCGCAACAACAAUCGGGAAAAUUGCCAGAUCUGCAAAGAGAGCGGGCAUGGUGCGUGGCGCUGCAAAAAGCGCUUCGAUCGCAGCUUCAACAACAAUGUCCGUAACCCAGCUAGCAGUGGAGGUGGAGGUGGAAACACAUCUGCCAAUGCUUCCCAAUCUUCGGGGUCCUAUGGAGUGGAUACCAACUGGUAUCUUGACACCGGCACGACAGAUCAUGUCACUGGUGAGCUUGAGAAGUUAGCUGUUCGGGAUCGCUACACCGGAACGGAUCAAAUCCACACUGCAAGUGGUCAAGGUAUGAACAUUGCUCAUAUUGGCCACUCCGUUUUAUCUACUCCCCAUGGUUCUCUAAACUUAAACAAUAUCCUCCAUGCACCUCUAGCUGACAAAAGUCUUCUCUCUGCUUACAAACUUAUCAAUGAUAACUAUGCUUUUUUGAAGUUUACCCUGAAAUUGUUUUUUUUAAGGAUCGGGACACUCGGAGAACAAUCCUUCAAAGCAAGAGUAAAAAUCGCCUGUUUCCAAUCUCUGGUCGCCAUGAUCCUCCUCAUCGACAAGCACUUGGUGUGACCAAACCUUCCACUUCAAGAUGGCAUAAGCGUCUAGGUCAUCCGACUUUACCGCUUGUCCAGAAAAUUCUUAGAGAUUUUUGUCUUCCUGUGUCCAAUAAAAACGAUCACUUGUUAGUUUGUGAUUCAUGUCAAAUGGCCAAGAGCCAUCAACUCCCUUAUACUCGUUCCACUAGUGAGUCCAAAGCUCUUUUAGAGCUUUUUUUCUGAUGUGUGAGGGCCUAGACCCCUUUAUGUAGGCAAGCAAAAGUACUAUGUUAGCUUUAUUGAUGAUUUCAGCAAGUUUAGCUGGAUUUAUUUACUCAAGCAUAAAUCUGAUGUGUUUGCCAAGUUUCAUUUUUUCCAACAACACGUUGAGCGCCUCUUUGAUCGAAAGAUCCUUGCCAUGCAAACAGAUUGGGGUGGUGAAUACCAAAAACUCAAUGUAUUUUUUGAACGUAUUGGCAUUACUCACCAUGUUUCCUGCCCCAUGCUCAUCAACAGAACGGCUCUGCUGAAAGAAAACAUCGCCACAUUGUAGAAGUUGGGUUAUCCCUCCUUGCCCAUGCUUUUAUGCCCCUCAAGUUUUGGGAUGAAGCUUUCCUUACCGCCGUCUACCUUAUUAAUCGCACUCCUAGUAGAGUCAUCCAUAAUCAAUCCCCUCUUGAGCGUCUCAAACCCAACUACACUUUCCUACACAUCUUUGGGUGUGCUGUUUGGCCCAACUUACGUCCCUUCAACAAACACAAGCUGGUUGGCCCAACUUACGUCCCUUCAACAAACACAGGCUUGAGUUUCGCUCCAAACAAUGUGUCUUUCUAGGGUACAACACCAUGCACAAAGGGUAUAAGUGUCUUGACGUUGCUUCCGGUCGCGUCUACAUCUCCCGUGACGUAGUAUUUGAUGAGCAAGUCUUUCCUUUCGCCACACUUCACCCCCAUGCCGGUGCACAACUUCGCAAAGAGCUUGUCUUACUCCCAUCCUACCUCCUCCCAUCACCACAAUUCCUUGCUAGGGGGGUAGAUACUGCUGAUGACCAUAUGACAAUGUCUCAUAAUACUAACCCUGAUGAUCCGUGAGAUGCUCGUGUGCAGGAAAUUUUUGCAGAAAAUGGCGAAACAGUGCAUGAUUUUAUGUUCGCAGCAGAUCUAGGUGCUUCUGCAGAAGAUCCCGCCUCGGAAUCAGCUCCAGAUCUGGGUCAGGCUGCGCCAGGUUCCGUUCUGGUCUCGGGGGGCCGCAACUCCUGGCGCUGAUGCUGCCAGCGGAUCUUCUCGCGGUCGUGGAGCGUCACCCGAGGCAGCCGGUCGGUCUUCGGCGGGGCCAGGCGGGCCCCCUCACGGCCAGAAGAUGUCACCCGAGGCGUCCGGUCGGCCGAACGUGGCGCACGGCUCGGCGGUUCCCGUGUCGGCUUUCGGGUCACCCCCUGCGGCGCGUGGUUCGGUGGCUCCCGUGUCGCCUGCGCCCUCUGCAUGUGCGCCUCGGGAUCGGCUGCUGCCUGCUGCACAUCCCGACACGUCUGGUGGGUCAUCAGACCUGCAUGCAGCCGACGGCCAUGCAGGUUCAGGUGCUCCAUGUCCGCUACAGGACUCGCCCGAUGCAUCACAUGUCUCUGCUAUAGUGUCGUGUCUUCAGCAACAGCUUAAUCGUCUUGCGCCUCCUCCGCCUGCUCGAGCGCACACACGUGCACAAGGAGGUAUUCUCAAACCUAAGGUAUAGACUGAUGGUUGUGUACGCUGGGGCUCGUUCUGUUCCACAGGUGAACCACAAAGCCUUGUUGAAGCCCUUGGUGAUACUCGGUGGAAAGCUGCCAUGGACGAGGAAUAUGCUGCUCUCAUCAAGAACAAGACAUGGCGUCUUGUCCCUCCUGCUGCAGGCCGAAUAUCAUUGACUGUAAAUGGGUAUAUAAAGUCAAAAGAAAAUCUGAUGGCACUAUAGACAGGUACAAGGCACGUCUGGCUGCUAAGGGUUUUAAGUAGCGCUAUGGAUUGGAUUACGAGGAUACGUUUAGUCCUGUUGUCAAGGCUGCCACUAUCAGGUUAAUUCUAUCAGUGGUUGUAUCUCGUAAUUGGUGCAUGCGACAACUAGAUGUGAAGAAUGCGUUCUUGCACGGUGUUCUGGAAGAGGAAGUAUUUAUGCGGCAACCCCCAGGGUAUGAGCAUCCCCACUCACCACGUUAUGUCUGCAAACUUGAUAAAGCAUUGUAUGGUCUGAAACAAGCACCUAGAGCCUGAUAUUCUCGUUUGUCCUUCAAAUUACAAUCUCUAGGGUUUGUUCCAUCCAAGGGAGAUACAUCACUCUUCUUUUAUCAUAAGCAUGGAGUAACUAUUUUUAUGCUUAUCUAUGUUGAUGAUAUAGUUGUUACUAGCUCAUCAAGUCAAGCAGUUGAAGCUCUUCUUAAGGAUUUGAGAAAAGAUUUUGCUCUCAAAGACCUAGGUGAUCUACACUUCUUCCUUGGCAUUGAAGUUAAAAAGUACCCAGUGGGAUCAUGCUAUCACAAGGAAAGUAUGUGUAGGAAAUACUCCAGAGAAUAGGUAUGAAAGGAUGCAAACCUUCUUCUACACCUUUAUCUACGUCUGAAAAAUUAUCUGUCCAUGAUGGGGAAGCACUUGGAGCAGAAGACUCCACCAAAUAUAGAAGUAUUGUAGGAGCAUUGCAGUAUUUGACAUUAACUAGACCAGAUAUUUCUUAUUCAGUAAAUAAGGUAUGUCAGUUCUUGCAUGCUCCUACUACUACACACCGGACAACAGUGAAAAGGAUACUUAGGUAUUUGCAAGGGACAAGGAGUCAUGGACUCAAGAUUAGCAAGUGAGAUUCAAUGCUUGUAAGUGCUUUUUCAGAUGCAGAUUGGGCAGGAUGCCCAGAUGACAGAAGGUCUACAGGAGGCUUUGCAGUAUUUCUUGGAGGAAAUCUAGUAUCAUGGAGUGCUCGUAAACAACCCACGGUAUCUAGAUCAAGCACCGAAGCAGAAUAUAAAGCUCUAGCAAUGCCACUGCCGAAGUUAUUUGGGUUCAGAACAUGUUGAAUGAACUUGGGAUACGACAUCCAAAGGCAGCUUCCCUUUGGUGUGAUAAUCUUGGUGCUACAUAUUUAGCUGCUAAUCCAGUUUUUCAUGCCAGGACUAAGCAUAUUGAGAUUGACUAUCACUUUAUUCGAGAACGUGUUGCUGACAAGCUGCUGAAUAUUAGGUUUAUACCUACAGGUGAUCAAGUUGCUGAUGGUUUUACUAAACCACUUACUCUUAGGCAGUUAGAAGCAUUUCGACACAAUCUCAACUUGGAUAGUUGUGAUUGAGGGGGAGUGUUAAACAUUGUAUUGUUACGGUACAUUUUGCUUCAUCAUCAUCAAUCAAAGCUUCUUUGAAAGAUUGCAAUGCUGUGAUAAGGAUAGAACAAUGUUUUUCUUUGCCCACGGGAAUAUCAUCUGCAACACAGUUUUUAUUAACUUUAGCUUGUGAACCAUCCUGUCAAAAAGAAAAAGAAAAAUAUGAGCGUACAUUUAUGCAAGGCUAUAGAUUCUAAUGAUACACACCAACCUUUUAUCUUUAACACAAGCAACAAAAGUAAAAUGCUCCACAGUAACCAUCUCAUGGUUGUUACCAAUUUUUAUGGAGUCAUUUUAGUGUAAAAAAAUUUAAAACACAAAUAUCAGCAGUGCCCUGUGCUUAAUCUGCACAAAACCUCAUGGUCAAAAAUGAAAAUAGUGCAAUGGUGAUAACAAAUCAGCCAUAUGUGGUGCCACCUUGAUUCUCUCCGCAGUGCUGGUUGUCGUACUUGCCCCUGUUGCCAGGCUGUCCAGGCCGACUUGAAGUUUCAUCGCGUCUACGAGUUCCCGUCUCAGCUCCGUAAGGAGUUUGAGCCUCGGCGUGCUCAAUUGUUUGCUCGUGGCCGUAUUUCUCUCAUGUAGGCGCUUUCUGAGAUUCGUGCUGAGAAGACUCGCUUACGUGGUGCUGGUUUGGUGGAGGUUCCCUCGGUGCUCGCUGCUCGGACUCUUUCUACGCCACCUGCUGCACCGACCCCUUCUUGCUCGAGUGCUCCGCCGCUCUUGCCCACUCCUUCUGGAGGCUCAGGUUGCCCCCGUCCACAUUGUGGCUACUGCAACAAUGAUGGUCAUAUUGAGUCCCACUGCUACACGAAGAAGAAACACUUGCGCAAGGCGCGAUCAUCAUCUACAGCGACUUCGUCAUCUACCUCGAUAGCUUCAGCCAUCGCUUUGACUGGGCAUGAUAUUUUGAGACUUAAGCGUCUGCUCGCUGCUUCAGGUUCUUUCUCGACAGGUACUGUUGGUUCUAUGACUCAGGCUUCCCGCAAUGAGCAACCACCUUCUACACAGUCAGGUACAUCCCCAUGGGUUCAGGACUCGGGAGCUUCCUUUCAUAUGACUUCUAAUUCUUCCACUCUGUCCUCUCUUCGAUCGCUUGAUUCUCCUGUUCAUGUCCUCACCGCUGAUGGUACUCCCCUUUCUUUCGUUAGUAGAGGCAAUCUUACCACUCCUUCUUAUUAUGUUCCUAAUGUUGCUCAUGUUCCUCGACUUACCAUGAAUCUGUUUUCCGCUGGUCAACUUGCUGAUUCUGGUUGUCGUGUCAUCCUUGACCUUGACUCUUGUUCUGUCCAGGACCGUCGCACGCACACUCUAGUUGGGGUUGGUCCUCGCCGUCGUGAUUCUGAGUGUCUUUGGGAGUUGGACUGGCUUCAUGUUCCUUCCGCUGCCCACUCUAUUGCCAGUUCUUUCGCUUUGGUUGCCUCGGCUACUGGUUACUUUCAACAGUGGCAUCAUCGACUUGGUCAUCUGUGUGGUUCUCGUUUGUCAUCGUUAGUUCGUCGAGGUCUUUUGGGGUCUGUCUCAGGAGAUGCCUCUUUAGAGUGUCAGGGUUGUCGUCUUGGCUGACAAAUGCAAGAGAAUGUCUUGAGGAUAAGUGGCGACCCUACUGAAUGCAAGAGACCGUGUCUUGACGAGUACUUGUGCAUUCUAUCACAAGUUUACAAUUAUAUGGAAAAUGAAGUUACAGUCAGUUGGACUUUUCAUUUGUAGAGGCCAUAACAGGAAUCCCAUUGCUUCUGUUAUAAUGUCUAUCUCUUGGGAAAUUUGAAAGGAACGAAACGCGACAACUUUUCGCAACGCUGCUACCCUGAGCACCUUGUCCUCGUGAAAAUCAAACCAAAGGCCGAUCUUUGGGUGGCGGGAGCCAAGCACUUGAGUAUUCUUAUGCCGUGAGAAUAGGACUUUUCUUUUUUGCCACUUUGUGGUUUGUGUCUAAACAUUCAAGUUAAUCACUGAAAACGGCAAGUCUUUUGCCUUGUUUCACUAAAAGAGGAAAGUUGGCUUGUCCCGGUUGAGCAUGAGAAAAUGUGGCAAAAUAAUGCUUCUUUUGUAGAAUUAAUAUAAAAGCGUUUAGAUCACUAAGCCGAUGAUAUAAAUGCUCUUAAAUUUGUUUACAUAGUGAGUACUAACUAUUGUCGACUCAGUUUUUUGAACAUGGAUUCAAAUACAAACCAAUAAUUUAUGGAUGGAAUUUAUUUAAUUUAACUGAAGUCCAAUUUAACACUCAAGAACAAUAUCGAUGCUCUGUGAAUAGUUGACACUACAUUUUUUGUUAUUACAAAAGAAACCACUAAAACAAAAAAAAAAUGCAUUCUUUUAUUUACGCAAACAGAUAUCUAACGAAAAGAGGUCGAUCGGUGAGAGCUAAUCAAAGUGUACGGAAGUCUGCUUUGUCAUAUACAAAUAUCUUAAGGGUAAAAUAAUUAGGCUUGUUGAACAUCUUAUCUAUCCCUAAUAAUAAAGCAAAUACGAUUUCUGGUCGUCCGUCGUGAUAUUUUUUAAAAAAGUCCCUCCGUUUUUAGUUAAUCAACACGCAGUCCUUUCCUAAGUGAGCCCGAACCUUUUUUCAUUUUUACACAAAACCCCCUGAAAUUAACGCUAAAUAACCCUCAGUCCAUCUUGUAGGCACAACGAAUCGUUUUAUAUACUUUUGCGUAAACCCCCCUCACAUAUGUGUUAAUAAUCCCGGAGUCUAUUCAGAAUAAAUAUGUAUUUUCAAAUAACCAUAUCUUUUAAAUCAUAAAUCUAAUUUAAACAUGUUACAUAUGAAAUUUGAUUAGAAAAAUGUGUAGAGUUUGAAUAUAUUGUUAUUUUUCAUGUUAAAUAUUUUUAAUAAUCCGGAGUCUAUUCAGAAUAAAUAUGUAAUUUCAAAUAACAAUAUUUGUUAAACCGUAAAUCCAAUUUAAACAUGUUAUAUAUCGAAUUUGAUUACAAAAAUGUGUAGAGUUUGAAUAUGUUGUUAUUUUAUAUUUUUUAUAUACUAUGUAGGGUACAAUGUAAAUCAAUAUAUUGAAAAUCGUUACUACCCGUUGCUCAUUUAGGCCCAUGUCAAAUCUUAAUCAACAUAAUUAUUGUCCGAUUCAUUGGUAUUCGACAUGCAGCGGGGCAUGUUUUUUAUAUGAUAAAAAACAUGUUCACAAAAUCAAGGGUGUCUACUAAUGUUUACUGAAAUCAUUUAUAUGUAUUAAUCAAUAUUAUGCCAUUUAAAAAAAUCAAUUAACUAAGCUAGAGACAUGAGAGGGUUUUUUCGUCAUGUUGCAACGCACGGGCCUUUUUCCUAGUCUCUCCCUAAUAAUAAAGCAAAUAGGAUUUCUGGUCGUCCGUCAUGGAAAUUACCCCUAAAGUUUGCAUAAAUUACCUACCAUGCCACCGUAAGUAAUAAAAAGCGUUUCACAAAGCAAAAAAUCUUAGACUGGGCCGGCCAUGUAAAAACCUCCUAUAUUACGCUCUGCACCCUGGGAGAAUAUCCAGCACACCGUAUGGGCCGGCCCAUGCACAUGCCCAGUUUUUUAGUUCCGUUUAUUUAUUUCUCUUCAGUUUCAUUUUAUUUUUCUAUUUUAAAUAAUUUAUAACUUCAAAUAACCUUUAAAAUUUUAAUAAACUUAAAUUUUUAAAUCAACAUAUUAAAAAAAAUAAAAUGUUUGUGACUUAAAAAACUGCUCGGAGUUUUUGUAAAAAAUGCUCGCAUAUACAAUAAACUGUUUGCAAGUUUAAUUUGUUUUUGUAAAAUAAUAAAAGUCCAUGAUUUCAAAUCAAACUCCAUGUAUUAAAAAUUAUUGAAAGCAUUUAACAAAAUUCUUUCUAAUUCAAAAUAUGUUAAUGCAUUUAAAAUAUGUCCUAAAAUUUUAAAAAUAGCUAAUGCCUGUUUUGAUAAUUUCUUUUUUUUAUUUACAUUUUUCCGUUCCAUUUUUGUUUACUUCUAAUUUAAACAAUUUAGAAUUACAAAAGCAUUUGCAUAUUAAAAAAUAGGAAUUUUGAAUUAAAAUGUUUACGAAAACAUAAAAUGUUUGUGGAUUCAAAAAAGGCGCCGGAUUUUUUUUAUUUUUUUGCAAAUUCCAAAACAAUGUCCGUGAAUUUAAUAAAUAUAUUACUGACUUAUAAAAUGUUUGUUUAUUCAGAAAAAUUUCAGGCAUUUGAAAAAUGUUUGUGAAUUUAAAGUAAAAUCCUCCAACAUCAAAAAUUACGUUCGUCUUUUCUAGAAUUGGUCGCCAAUUCAAAAGAAAAUAUUUAAACCCGUUUGAAAUAUAAAAAUUGUUCACGAUUUUUAGUAAAUGUUUGUAAAUUGAAAAAAAUGUUCUCGAUUUUAAAAUUGUUCUCAUAUUUGUAAAAUUAUUCAUGAAAGAUCUAAUGUAUGUAGUUGAACAUUAAUGCUUCUAAGUCUUUGUGAAAAUAUACCCGUGUGAUUUUUGAAGAAUUAACUGUUGGAUGGAUCGGAUUAUUAUUGUAUGUUUUCUAAAAGAAAUUAUUGAAAUUAAGAAUAAUUCUUUGAGUUACCAAGAUUUUUGACAACCAUGAUAUUUUUUUUUUGAAAAUGUAAAGAUUGCUUCAACUUGUGAAUAGAUUUAAAAGAAGAAACAUUUUCUUGCAUUUGUACACAAAAUUUUAAAAUCAAGCGAUGAUGUGUGAACAUAAUAUGGUCAUCAUCAUUAAAGAUUAUGUUUUUUCGUCACGUAGCAACGCACGGGCCUUUUUCCUAGUGUUAAAUAAAACAAAUAGAUAUGUGCAGCAAGAGGAUUAGAAAAUAUGAAAAAGAAAGGGUUACAAAAAGAAUAGGAAAUGGUGGGAAUGGUUUGAAGGUCAGUUUAAAACAAUUGUGCUAGCCCACAGUAGAGUACUGAUCGCUCAUCCGGGCUGAAGGCUCGCCAUUUCUUCACGAGAAUUUCUGAGAUUGGGCCCGCCGGUCCACAGUCCUGGUCGUUCUCUUCUCAUCCCCAAACCCCUAGGCUAGCUCGCACCAAACACCCACUGCCACUGGAAUCAGCCAUGUCCACCCAAGCAUCGCCGCCGCCGCCGCCGGCCGCUGAAACCACCAUCGGCGCUCUCGGCGACGACCUGCUCCGCGAGAUCUUCGCCCUCCUCCCCGACCUCCCCAACCUCGCCCGCGCCGCCUUCGCCUGCCGCGCCUUCCUCCGCGCCAUCCGCUCGUCGCCCGCCUUCCGCCGCCGCUUCCGCGAGCUCCGCCCGCCGCCCCUCCUCGCCUUCUUCCUCGAGAUGUUCAUGGAUCCGGUCCCGGUCUACCCCUCCCCCUGGCGCCCCUCCGACACGGACCUCGCCGACGCCUUCCGCGGCGCCGAUUUCUUCGAGACCCGCCGCAUGUUUGGCCUCAAGAACGACGACGACCCCGGGUGGGCGUUCGACUACAUGUUGGACGGCGAGAUCCGCAUCGCCCACCGGAAGCAGCGAGCGAGCUACAGCCCGGUACGGCAGGCCCUGUCCCUCUUCCCCGACAGGCACAUUCUGGGGGACGGCAGCUUCCUUGAGUUCCACACCCUCUCCUACCAGGAGGAACAGGGGCUGCAGCGUGUGGUCUGCAUCCGCCAUGACCGCUAUUGGGCGCGGGCGCGCGUCGCUGUCUUCUCAUCCAACACCAUGGAGUGGCAGAUUUUCCCUUGGGUGGAAACAAAGGCCCUGGUGCCCAAGGAUGCCAAAAACUCUAACCCUGGUAAGGUGGUCGAUGGAUUCAUCUACUGGAUAUUUCCCAUGGGAGCCGGUAUGCUCGCGCUCGAUGCGACGACAUCUCAGUUCCACCGAAUGGAUGUGCCGCCGCCCGUGAGUAGGAUGCUUGUUACUACAUUCGAGCUUGGCCAGACCAAGGACGGGAAGCUCUGUAUCGUGCACUUAAAUUCUGCGGGCAUCAAUGACGGGAUGCUUUUUGUUUGGUCGUGGGGAAAAGAUAGUGAUGGUGUGGAGAGAUGGGUGUUCGACAAGCCGUUUCCAUUGCGCACCAUUGUUGAAUUCAUCAAGUCCUCAAUGGUAGUUCACUCCAAAGUAGGAGUUUUGUCCGUCAUUGAUGGCUUUGUGUACCUGUCGGUUGACUGUCAUGAGUUUGCCCGGAACCAUAGUGAUUCUCCAGAGUGGUUCCUAUCAUUUUGCCUGGAAACUACGGAGCUUCAUCUGCUCUUUGAGGGCCAAUAUCAGAGACAUCAUCGUGCCCACCCCUAUGUCAUGCCGUGGCCUCCUUCUUUGGUACACAGCAAGGUGAGCCCAUGCUUAUGCGGGACGAUUCUGGUAAAAUUUCUUCCUACCUUCGGUUUGGUCUCCAGAUUGUAGAUCUUAUGUUACCUUAGAGCACUAGAUUACAGUGUUCUUGUUAAAGCUGCUAUCAAACACGUAGUUUCACAUACAUGACAUGGCUGAUUUGUUAUCACCAUUGCUCUAUUUCCAUUUUUGACCAUGAGGUUUUGUGCAGAUUAAGCACAGGGCACUGCUGAUAUUUGUGUUUUGAAUUUUUUUUACACUAAAAUGACUCCAUAAAAAUUGGCAACUACCAUGAGAUGGUUACUGUGGAGCAUUUUACUUUUGUUGCUUGUGUUAAAGAUAAAAGGUUGGUGUAUCAUUAGAAUCUAUAGCCUUGCAUAAAUGUACGCUCAUAUUUUUCAUUUUCUUUUUGACAGGAUGGUUCAUAAGCUAAAGUUAAUAAAAACUGUGUUGCAGAUGAUAGUCCCGUGGGCAAAGAAAAACAUUGUUCUAUCCUUAUCACAGCAUUGCAAUCUUUCAAAGAAGCUUUGAUUGAUGAUGAUGAAGCAAAUAGUACCGAGGCAGCGGCCUUUUUCACAAUUGAGGAUGAGAAGAUGUCUCUCGUGAGAAAAAUUACUACUGCGGAUGUUCAACUGACAAAUGCAAGAGAUCAUGUCCUGAGGUUAAGUGCUGACUCUGCUAAAUCCAAUAUACCACGUCUUGACAAUGAUUGCCGCUUCUGCUUUCUAUCAAAAAUUCACAGUUAGAUGGAUGAUGAAGUUAGAGUCAGUUGAACUUAUGUUUCUGAGAGGAUGCUUAAUAUUAGAAGGCUCGAGUUAGGUUCCGAAUCCUAUAAAAUGGAACAACUUGCCAUGGAUAGUGAUUUUUUUAGGGAUGCUGGUGCUUAUGAAUCGACAGCAGGGCUUGUUGAUCUACAACGGGUAAUUGGAUUUGUGGCGGUGACAACUGACAAGUAAAGAUCAGCUGCAUGGUUGUUUCCAGCGCUUUGAGGGUGAGUUAACUUCCCUGUGAACUGUUAGUGUACACCUUAUCUACGUAGAUGUCAAGGCCUCAUGGUUAUGUGAACAACACCGCUAGUUGUAUGUUGAAUGAUUGCUUCAUCUUUUGUGCAUAGGGAUGCAAGCGGAUGGCGUCCACUUGUCCGCAAAGCAAAACUUGCACUAAUCUUCAUUACCUUAAAAACCGUGUUAGUUUAAUUUUUCUCUUUGUGGACGAUUGCGGACAAGCAGACACAUUCCGCUUGUAUCCCUAUUUGUGCAACUACAUUUGAACCAGGAGAUUGUAUUGCUAUGCUGUUUUUUUCAAGUUUCACCUAUAGUAGAUUUGCAGCGUAUAUGGGUGCCAAUAUUUCCAACCUUUGUGUGCUAGAGAUACUGCAUUGUUUAGCUUACCAGGUUGCAGUUUAAGUUGCCAUGGUAACCCUAGAAUUCCUCUUUUGUGAUGAAGUAACUCUAGAGUUUUUUUUGACAUAUGAGUAACUCUAGAGUUCUGACAUCAUUAACAAUCUAUAAGCAGCCAUGCUUUGCACAUUACUGACUAGACUCGCAUCUUCAUGGAAUAACUGGACACUCACAAUGCUUUUGGGUAAAAUCUGCUCUACUAACUAAUCAAUGUAGACCAAUUUUUGUCGUUUCUCCGAACAAAUGUAGCAAAGAAAGCUUAAGAAAGAUCCGGUUGGUGAUAGUCUCAAUUGUUUUAGUUGGUUGAUUGAACUAUUGUCAUCCGGUUAUACAGGUAAACAGCUGUUCUUAGCUGGUUAUAUUGAAUUUGAAAUUUUUUGGGUGGGAACCUUGAAUUCAUGUCCUCGCAAUCCUGGGUCUGCCGCUACCAGCUGCUCUAAAAUGCAGGUGAUCACCUCUGUCAUCGUCGCUUUCCGCCCUUCCCGGAAGUUCCAGACCUCAUUCAUGAUGCACCGCUUGUCAGGACUGUACUCGUUGAGCUCUUUCAGUGCAUCCUUCACUGCAUUGCAGACGCUGUCGCCGUACCGAGACCGCAGCUUGCUUAGUUUUGGAUCAUUGUCAUCUAUAACCUCCUGCAAUUGUCACAAAACACCCUUUUGAUUGUUCACAUAAAAUUCAGAGAAAUGUAAGUGCAUGAAUGCUGUAGGGAAAUUGGAUAGACACCUGAUCUUCUUCUUUGACCUGAAUAGUAACAAACGGACGCCACGAUGGCUUCUGUAUUUUCACCUGCCAAUACGAGACCAACCUUGCAGCUUUGUCCUCUGGAUCACUGUCUCUGUAUUUCAAAUUGCAUGUGGCGCGAAAAGGACUUUCAUCAAGUUGGCCCAUCCUUUUGAUUCCAAAAACUGCACCCCCACUAAUCAGCAUGUUCUCGGAAACCUGCACAUUACGAUCAUUUCAAUGAGGAAAACUUUUAGCAACAAUGUAACUUCUCCCAGAUAGAGCAACUAGAAAUUUUAAAAACUGUGGGCUUUUACUUGUACUUGAAUCAACUCUUGGCGAUUCUCUUGGAGCUCUUUGCCGUUAGGCUGCUCUCUGUUGAGGAGGUACAAUGAAUCACUCAUCCUUUUUACUUCCUCUUCCAUAAUAUUUCUCACAUUAGUCGUUACCCCAUAAAGACAUUGAUGGUCUUCCUCUGGGUGCUUCUUCCCUGCUUGUAGUUUCAUGUUCAGCUGCCGUGUGAUGAGCACCAGGUCUUUAUCCCUUUGCUCCAGUUGCCUCUCAAGUUGAAUUAGCUUGCAAUGAAUAGCCUCCAUCUCUUGCUACAGCCUACAAGGCGCGUAUGGAUAUGUUAUUUUGUAUGAAUAGCAUGGUCAGCUGCUUGAUGGAGCUGAUAAGAAUUUGAUGCAGCGUAUGGAUAUGUUAUUUUGUAUGAAUAGCAUGGUCAGCUGCUUGAUGGAGCUGAUAAGAAUUUGAUGCAGAUGAGCUUAUCGAUUGUCCUAUCAAAGAGAAGAAGAAACCUUGUGGUUUUCAUGAAGCAUGAGAGCAUGGUCAGCCACAUUGCACUCUCCACCUAAAAGCUCCGAUGUGUUGAUCUCCAAAGCACCCUGUGUAUGUGUAUGGGAGUUUCGUUAAGACCAUGAAAAGGACAUGAACCAGGUGAUAUUGCGAUGGAGAGCUUAGUCUGUUAGUUCUGAAUGUAGUGAUAAUCCAGCUAAAAGAGCCAAUAUUUGUCCCACUGACAUCAUCUUAAGAUGAUCCUUCCUAAUACUAAUUUAGGGGGAAUAAUGCCUGAGUAGCAUCUGGAUUAAAUGAGGGACUGACACUGAAGCUAAUUCUAGCAUUAAGAUUGGGAAUAAUGCCUGAGUAGCAUCAACUGGCCUCCUCCGCGCUCUUCACGGCGGCACUCAGGAAACUCCGCGCAGCAUCCUCACCGCUCAGGUCCAGGAAGUGGUGGCCGGGCUCGGGCGGCGCCGCUUCCUGGGCCGGGUCCUGCUGCGCGUAGGAGGCCAGGUGAUGCUGCGCGUCGGAGGUCAGGGCGGCCGGGUGUUGCUCCGCGUCGGAGACCAGGGCGCUCUCGGUGGUGGGGUGCUGCUGCGCGUCGGCGGCCUGGGUGCUAGUGGCGGUGGCUGCGUCGAGGACCUCGCCGGCGUCGGCCAUGGGCACGUCGUCGCUUGACAUGGAAAUGGAAUGGAGCGGAAGCCUUCGGGUUGGUUGCGAUGGGUAGGAAAUUAGGAAUAGGAUGGCUUGCCAAGGAGGAGAAGCCUUGGCAGCGCGUGUACUUGUUGGUCUGAUCAGCGAUCACUGUAUAUGCUGCAAUUCAUCUCAUGUUAACCCACAUUAUCAGUGUACUCUUUCAUGCUCAUGUUAUCCUCGUGAGGUCAGGAUUUUUUUUUGUAAUUGUUUUUCAAAUAAAUAAUCCCAAUAAUGUCAUUAUGAGCUAAAUUCACAAAUACUAUGAACUAUUCACAAAUACUAGGAGCACAUCCUUUGUAUCUCGGAUGAUUUACUGGUGAUCCAUAUCUCGAAUGAUUUAGGGGUGAGCGACACGGUCGUUCGCAAUGGGGCCAGCCUGCCCCUUCGCUCCCCUAUCGGGACGAGAAAUCCUCUGUCGCCCCUCUCGCCCGAAGUUCCCUUCCCACGAUGGAAGCAUGUCUUUUUCUUUUGGACAAGGGAGCAUGCGUCAUCCAUACGAUGUUUCAUGUUAUCCGUAUGUUGAUGCAUCGCCCACGCUGUGAUGUGCCAUGGUGGGGUGGUCCGAUUGUGUUUGCGACUCGAGUUGCCUUGUCCGUGUACACGGAUGGUGCGGGUCGAUGGGGAGGUAGUGCUUGGAGCUUGGUGUUGGCCUUCCACCUGUGGCGCUAGGCGGUGGAAGCGGGCCUCCUUCCCCCGGCUCUGGCUGUAGACAUGGCUAUGAGUUAGGGCGAGUUGGAGUUUGCGCUCCAGGUAGGUGUGCUUGGGCUUGAUCCUGGAGGAGCCCAUUGGCGGUGAGGUCCCUCUUCUCACGGGUACGGUGGACGCUGGUGGUGGUCGAGGCUUCGCAACACUGCGGGGAAGAUCGGCGUCAAGGGCCACAGACAUGGCAUCGUGUGAGAGCAAACACAGGUGCUGGGAUGCAGUGCUCGCCGGUGGCUCUUGGAGCCGCGGUGCAGGUCUUGUUGUGCUGCAAUGUCGGACCGCUGGGAGCAUAGCCGGCACUGCAAUGAAGACUCGUUGGCAUUGCAAUGAAGCUUCAUCGGACAAGCCUUGCUGCGUUGAAGCUCUGCCGAAAUUGCAAUGGAGCUCUGCGAGAGCUCCGUCGAAGUUGUAAUGAAGCUUGGCCGGAGCAUCGGUGUUGUGUUGCAGCUCUAUCGGCUGCAAUGAAGUUUAACCGGAGUUGCAAUGAAGCUCGCCGGACGUUGUUGGUGCUGCAUUGGAGUACCACGCGGCCUGCAAUGAACCUGUCAUGCUGUGCUGUUCCGGUGGCAGUGCUUUGAUCCGACGGACUCUUGUACGCACGCAACGCCCUAUUUCUUUUUGAGAAAAUCUAUAUUACACACGACGCACCGUAGGGUUCCCGUGCAGCGGCCGGUGCCCGCGGCUUCUUAGAAUAAGGUGCCGCACUAUUCACUAUAUGGGUACUGUUUGCUACAAGGUAACAUCACUCAUCACUAUAGUUAACUAUUCACCACAGUGAGCUGUGUCUUUUACCGAAUGUACCCUCCUAUCGUGCCUUUAUCUCCAUAAGUACAUGGUGUUGUACAUAUCUUAUUAAUCCAAAAGCCCACCUAGCCCUAGCUAUUAAGCUAGCCAACAACAGUGUUUCUGACCCCUCUCAACAUGCUGCAGUUUUUUCAUCUCUACUUCUAUUUCAACACUGAUGAAAAGAGGGAGACAGAGGCAGCUAGCUAGUCAAGGGCCUGCUCGCGCUCGCGUACCUCUCCCCGCGCCUGCUCUUCGCGGGCAACGCCGACGGCAUCAUCGACCCUUCCGAGCGCUCGCUUCAAGGUGCAAUGGUGCAUGCAGGGAGAAGCUCAACUCCAUGGACCUGCUACGGUACAUGGCGCCGAUGACGCUGAUGAUGGAGCCGUGUGGAUGCUGAUCGGCAACUCCUCGCUGGCCUACCUACUAGUGAACCUGACCAACUUCCUUCCUCGUCACCAAGCACACCAGCCCGCUCACCCUCUAUGUGUGAACCCACUUAAUCCAUUUAAUUUCUGGUGAGCUGGCCCUUAAUGCCCACCAAGCAAGCAGCCGUGGGACUUAGUACCCCUUUGUUUGGGCUUAAAUUCUUGAUUCUUGGAUUCUAGCUACUGUGAAAUUAGAAUCUGAAACAAACAGCCCUUCAUAAUAUCCAGAUUGUCCAGAAUUGAUUCUAAAAAAUACACACGGAGUAUCACAAUCUGAGAAUUGAGCAAAUAGGUGAUUCCCGAGCUUUUUUUUUGGGCCGAAACGUUUUCUUCACAUCCGCCCCGCGCGUAACCCCACCCUCUCGAUUUCCCAUCGUCCUCUGGUCGAUAGGGCGCCGCCUCGCGUCCGCUUCCCGCAGGGCCGGCCGCCGCCCCUCGCCGGCACGCAGCCAGCUUAUCCCGGCCGCCGAACCGCUCCUCCCUCCUGCUCCUCCGGCCGCCCGUUCCUCGCCCGCUCGCCGCCCGCCCGCGUCGGCUCGCCGCCCGCCCGGCGUCGAUCCGCACGACCCAGCCGCCACCCGCGCCCGCUCGCCGCCCUCUCCUCCUGGCCGCCGACCCGCUCCUCACCCGCUCGCCGGCCGCCCGUUCCUCCCGGCCGCCGACCUGCCCCUCGCCCGCUCGCCGCCCGUUCCUCCCGGCGUCGUUCCCUGUGAAGGUAUUGCCUCGUUUCUUUAUUUGCUGUUACUUAUGAACUGCAUACUGUUAUAGUUCUCGUUCGUGUAAACUACUGCUAUAUUUCUUACUGCUAUAUCGUGAAGUAAUACGAGUUCACUGUGUAAACUACAGCUAUACUGUUCACUGCUAUAUUGUUUACUGCUAUACCGUCAAGUAAUAUGAGUGAUGUUAGAAACUGUGAAUACUACUGCUAUAUUGUUCACUGCUAGUUCUCGUUUGUGUAAAUUUAAUUUAAUCGUAUACACCUAUAGAUGGCAAAAGAGAAAGCAAUAUGGCAAAAGAGAAAGCAAUUUGGGAUGCGGAAGCCACUGCAAUUUUUUGCAAACUUUGUGUGACUACAACAAAACACUAUACCUACUAUUAUGUUUUCAGGAAAACAAGGAGUUUCUGGCACGCCAGGAGAUCUACUACCUCCACCUACUGGUCGGGUAUCUAACAUUGUGCAUGGUGAUGAUGCUCUGAUGAAAGUAACCAGGGAGAGAAUAGCUGAUGGAUUAUUGGCAGCUACAGAUGAAGUUUAGUUUUACGCACUACUUUUGAGUGAUGGUUGAUGUACGUUUAGGAUGAUUGUUGGUAAUUGAACGUACAUUUUGGAUGAUGGUUUCAAUUUUUAAAAUAUUUUACAUUAAUUACGAUCCGUAAAGCUGCCUAAACAGCAAAGUAAACAAACAGACAGAUUCUGAUUCUCAGAUCCCACAGCAGGGUAAACAAACAGUCUGCUUCUGAUUCCAGAAAUCAAGAAUCACAGCUGAUUCUCAGAAAUCAGGAUUGACAGCAGAAUCUCAGAAUCCAAAGCCCAGACAAAGAGGGCCUUAGUGGGAUUGUGGCCUGCAGCCUGACCAUUGUGUGUGGACUUGUAGUAUUGUACAGUAGUUUUCGCCGCAAAAGGGGCCCGUGUGUCCGCGGUAGUGCCAAACGAUCGAUCGACGGAUGGCAUGAGCAGCAUGGAUGGUGUCACGCGCAUGUAGGACAAGUAGUAUAAGUUUUUACUAAUUUGCUUAGUAAAACCUGAAUUAUGUGCGCUAGCGGCAAACGCGGACUAUCUGUAGGUUACGUGGGAAGCCCGCAUAAGCCCACUUAAAUAAACGGGCUGACGCAGCGUGAUGCGGAGUGUCCCACUUGCAGCUUGACGUUCCCCUCAAAAAAAAAAAACUUGCAGCUUGACGUGUCGAUGCGGGGUGUCCCGCGGACUUGCAGCUUGACGUGUCUCCCCUGUAACGAAUGAAAAGAACUGUUGCUUUCAUUGAUCAUCAAUCUGGGUAUUUAUACAAGGACUCCCGUCUUUUGAGAAUGUCGGUUACAAGAAGAAGGCGCCUGUAGGAGACGUCGCUAGUUUGGAGAGGCGUCUGUUUGGAUACAGGCGUCUGUACAUAUGGGAAAGGCGUCCGUGCGAAGGAACGCUUUGGGCACUAAAGAUAACUGCCUAAGGCAGUUGUUAUCUAAUCCUAACACUCCCCCUUGCACAAAGCUACGUCUUGUAUAUCUUGUAUCCCUUGCAUAAUCUUGAGAAUCUUCCAUGUAGUCUUGAUGAUCUUUGAAGUUGAUAGUUACUUCUUCAAAAACCCUGUGGGAAAAAUAUGAGGAGAAUAGUAUUUGAUAUGUUGUGAAAACUCCUUUAAAACCCUGUGGGAAAAGUAAGGAGAAAAUGAUACAACAUAUAAUGAUCAUUGUCUCUUUCAUAACUUAUAUGAGAAAACCUUGAGAGGAUAAAACUCAUUGAUAAGUUUAGAGGACAAUUAAUAUGUCUUGUAUACUUCCGUUAAAAACCCCGAUGGGGGAAAAUAGGAUGUAUGACAUAUAUUCUUGUGUUGAUAUUACCUCAUUAAAAACCUUGAUGAGAACCUCGAGAGUAUACUCAUAAAGGGAAAAAGAGUGUAAUAUAAUGUUUGAAUAGGUUAUAAUUCAGGAAGAGAAACUCCCCCUGAUCUUUGCAAAUCCCGAAGUCGUCGCAUACCUAUCCCAUGAACAUAUUUUUCAAAUGUUGAAGUUGGGAGUGAUUUUGUAAAUAGGUCAGCGAGAUUAUCACACGAUUUGACUUGCAAAAUGUUUAUCUUCCCUUUCUUCUGUAAUUGAUGGGGAAAAAAUAAUUUAGGAGAAAUAUGCUUAGUGAUAUUGCUCUUUAUGUAACCCGUUUGCAUUUGAGCAACACAAGCAGCAUUAUCUUCGUAGAUAAUGGUUGGAGAUUCGGUAAGACCUUGCCACAUGAUUUUUGUAUGUGGUUUAUCAUUCUGCGAAGCCAUACACAUUCACGUGACGCUUCAUAUAAUGCGAUUAUUUCAGAAUGAUUGGUGGAUGUAGCCACUAGGGUUUGCUUGGAAGACUUUCAUGAUAUGGAUGUCCCACCAUGUAGGAACACGAAACCGGUUUGUGAUCUGGCAUAGUGGGGGUCAGAUAAGUAGCCAGCAUCUGUAUACCCAAUCAAAUCAAUGUCCAAAUUUCUUUGAAAUUGAAAGAAUAGGCCAAGAUCCUUUGUGCCUUGGAGAUAUCGAAAGAUAUUUUUAACUCCAGUCCAAUGUCGUUUAGUGGGAGCUGCGCUAUGUCUAGCUAGUAAAUUUACUGCAAAUGCAAUAUCAGGCCUGGUGCAAUUUGCAAGAUACAUGAGCACUCCAACGGCACUAAGAUAUGGAACUUCAGGUCCUAAUAUCUUUUCUCCAUCAUCCGUUGGUCUAAAUUGAUCUUUCUCUAUGUCUAGAGAUCGAACUACCAUAGGGGUUUUGGAUGGAUAGGAUUUGUCCAUAUUGAAUUUCUCCAAUAUUUUCUGGAUAUAGGCGGUUUGAUGAACCAAAAUACCUGAGGGAAGGUGCUCAAGUUGCAAUCCUAAGCAAAAUUUGGUUUUACCCAAAUCCUUCAUUUCAAAUUCCGUCUUUAAGUGAUUGCGUGCUUCAUCAAUAUCUUUGGUGGUUCCAAUGAUGUUAAGAUCAUCAACAUACACUGAAAUAAUGCAAAAUCCGGUUGCGGACCUUUUUAUGAAAACACAUGGGCAAUCAUCAUUAUCGGAGUAUCCUUUUUUUUAAAAAGAACUCACUAAGUCGGUUGUACCACAUGCGACCCGACUGUUUUAAGCCGUAUAAAGACUUGUUUAGUUUUACACAAUAUGCGUUGCGUUUUGUGUUUGGAUUCGGGAUUGGGACUCCAUCAGGAACCUUCAUAUAUAUGUCCGAAUCAAGUGAACCAUAAAGGUAAGCGGUCACUACGUCCAUCAACUGCAUAGAUAGACGAUUUUGUACUGCCAUAGAAAUAAGGUAUCGGAAAGUAAUACCACUCAUUACUGGGGAGUAUGUUUCAUUGAAAUCAAUGCCUGGUCUCUGCGUGAAACCUUGGGCUACAAGCCUUGCUUUAUAUCUCACCACCUCGUUGUUCUCGUUUCUUUUACGGACGAAAACCCAUUUGAAUCCCACAGGGAAAACUCUGGGAGGUGUAGGUAUUGCUUCAGUGAAUACCUUUCGUUUACUGAGCGAGGCUAACUCUACUUGGAUUGCAUCCUUCCAUUUAGGCCAGUCGGAGCGUUUCUUGCACUCUGCCAUGGUCUUUGGAUCAUGAUCAUUUAGAAGGUUGUCUGCAACUGUAGUUGAGAAAUAUAUGUCGACAAUAGUAGACUUACGAUUGUAACAUUCUCCAGAAUCCAUAUAGUUGGUGGAAAUUUCAUUUACCCAUGUUGACUGGUCGUGAUUUCCCAAUACGAUUGAGUCAGGAUUUUCCGAUGUCCCAGUCAUUGAGUGCACAACUGAGCUGGGUUGUGGAGGCCGUUCUUCCACUGGGUGUUCAUAACCCAUUUGAUGAUUAUCAACGCUAGGUUGAUUUACAUUUACUGGUUCAUAGGGUUUCUUCCUCUGUUUCCUUUGUUGCUUGCGAGAAGCUGAAUCCUGUUCUGUGGCCGUAUUUCUCCCCCUCUUCCUUUGAACAGGGGGUUGAGUGGUUUUUGUUGCUACCUCCACUCUUUCGGGCGCAUUUCUGGCAGGAUUGUAGGAUUUUGUAACACCUUUAUAGUCAGUAAAUGAAUCUGGCAGGUUAUUUGCAAUAUGUUGCAAAUUAAUUAUUUUCCGAACUUGAAGUUCAGUUUCUUGAGUACGUGGAUCAGAGGAGGAAAUGUCUUGGGCAUUCCAAUCGAUUUCCGGGCAUUCUUUUUGGUACUUGAUGUCUCCCGCUAAUGCCGGGAAAUGUUCCUCAUUAAAGAUGCAGUCAGCGUGACGGGCUGUGAAUAGAUCCCCAGUUAGGGGUUCAAGGUACUUGAUUAUCGACGGUGAUUUGUACCCCACAUAGAUCCCCAAUUUCCUAUGUGGGCCCAUGGAUGUACGCUGCGGUGGUGAGAUGGGCACAUAUGUGGCGCAUCCGAAUUUACGCAGAUGGGAAAUAUUUGGUAGGUUUCCACGUACUAAUUGCAGAGGGGAAGUGUUGUGAUAUGCAGUUGGUCGCAAUUGAAUUAAGUCAGCAGCGUGUAAAACUGCGUGACCUCAACAUGAAGUUGGUAAGUUGCAAUUCAUUAGCAAGGGUCGUGCAAUGAGCUUAAUUCUCUUAAUUAGAGAUUCUGCCAAUCCAUUUUGUGUGUGGACAUAUGGGACCGAGUGUUGAACUUCAAUUCCUAGGGCCAUGCAAUAAUCGUUGAAAGCACGCGAGGAAAAUUCAGCAGCAUUGUCCAUUCGAAUUGAUUUAAUUCGAUUUUCGGGAUAAUGAGCUUGUAAUUUAAUAACUUGCCUCACUAUCUUGGCAAAUGCAUGGUUUCGUGUGGAUAAUAGGCACACAUGAGACCAUCGUGUAGAUGCGUCAAUUAGAACCAUGAAAUACCUAAAAGGUCCAGACAAUGGUUGGAUAGGACCACAAAUAUCACCUUGAAUGCGUUCAAGGAAUUGUAGUGGUUCUGCUUUAAUUUUAAGAUAGGAGGGCCUUAAAAUGAGUUUCCCAGUAGCACAUGCGGUGCACAUGAAAUCCGAAGAUUGUGGGAAUUUAGCUUCAUUUAAGUCAUGACCAUUGGAAUUGCAGAUAAUUUUUCUCAUCAUCCCGAUACCGGGAUGACCAAGGCGAUCAUGCCAAGUUUGGAAUGCAUUUACAUUCUGAAAAAUUACCUUAUACGCAACGUGUUCUACGGGUUUUAUGUAAGUGUAGUACAAUCCUGAUGAUAAAGAGGGAAUUUUCUCAAAUAUUCGUUUGCCAUAUCCGUUAUUUUUGGUAAAGAGGAGAUAUUCCUCUUUAUUGUCUUCAUGAGUUUCGAUGUGGAAACCAUUUUUACGGAUAUCUCUAUAACCUAUGAGGGUACGAGUUGAAUCAGGAUACAAUAAAGCAUCCUCAAUUACAAUUUGUGUACCCAUAGGGAGGGUAAAUAUGGCACGUCCACUGCCAACAAUUACCGCAUCGCGUCCAGCGGUUGUUAAAAUAUCUCCAUUCAACUUUGUAAGAGUUUGAAAAUACUUUACGUCCCUAAGUAUAGAGUUUGUGGUGCCACUGUCCACAAGGCACAUUUCCUCCUCCAUUGGAUUUAACUCCCGUAGAAAUCUAUAUAUUAAAAUGUGGAAUUUUUAGUUUAAUGAAAAUACUUUAUUGAAUAUAUAGAAUACAUAUAACUUUAUUGUUACCAAAGUGCUGACACAAUAUACAUAAUAUAUAGAAAGGACGACUACAACAAUAAUAUUAAUAAUAUGUUCUUAUUACAACAAUCUAAUGGAUGUACACCAAUAAAAUAUCUAAAUGGUGUCAAUAGUCUAGUCAAAGUCUCCGAACAUGUCGGUGGCGUAUUCUGUCAUCAUAUUCUCCGUGUCCAUGGAGUCCUGCGGUAGAUGGAAUUCCUUGUUGUUACUUGGUGCUCCUUGAACAUCUUGUGAACAGCCAGCUUCCAUGUUGUUGUCAGGUUGAAGAUUGAAGUGAGAUUCAUAUCUUGCUCCUUGGGCAGGUUUGUUACGUCCCAUGGAUUGCAGGUAGAGGUUUACCAGAUGUCUUGGGGUGCGGCAUUUUUUGGUGUCAUGCUUGUAGCAUCCACAUUUCUGGCAAAGUUUAGUUUUGUCAAACUUAUUCUUUGUUAACCAUAUUUUUGUUGCUCGGUUAAUUGCGCAACUCCAGCCUGGUCAGGUGGUAGGAGUGCACCUGCAACUCCACGGGAUGCAAGACUAACUUUAACAUCCAUAGCCCAUGUAGGAUAGUUAUGCCCGUCGAGCGCAAGCUCUUCAAAUUCUUUGACGGCCAUUUUGUCCUACAAGAUUAAGAACCAGAUAUUUGAUCAAUUUACUUGUAUGUAAAUUAAAAUCAUCAUGGUCAUGUUGUAAUAAAAUUUGUAAAAUCGUGAGUUCAAGUGAAGACUUGAAUUUUGUUUGGUGUAGUCCUCAAACAUCUAUCACUAUAUUUUCGAGAUAUCAACUUUUGGAGUUGGUCUCGUUUUGUGAUAGUCACCUCACAAUUUUAUUUUAUUUUUCAUAUCAAUUCAAUUUGAAUUAAGUCACGCCUUUUUAGGCAUUUUUGAACUUAAUUGAUGGUGAGUUGAUAUUUAAUUUUGCAAGAAAAUAAAUUUCAAUUGCAAAAUAAUAUUAUUAUACCAUUUAUAUAUGUAAUAGGGAUUGCACGAUGCAAACACAUUGAACAUAUAAUGAUUUAUAGACACAAUAUCGUCUAAACAUCGAUUUACACAUUGACUGAGUACAUUUACAUAAAAUCUAAAACAUGAGAAGUACUAGUACUAGUACUAGUGUUAGUCGGUCACUUUGCUAGUGCUAAUGCAUGCAUACAACUAUUAAAUAAAGGAAUAUAUUGCUGGUGGCCACGCAUAGUAGUCUAGAAAGGACCAGGUUGGCGAGAAUGGCUAGGAGCGACCCAAGCCACAUCUCAUUCCCCAUUACUUUCACCAGCACAGACGGAGGCCCAUGGCCGCUCGGCCGCAUCACCAGCAGCGAGAGGAGCUCCCGACAUGCUCUUCCUUGCCGGAGAAGCCAAGGGAGGCGGGAUUCCAAGUGCCUGCACAGAAGCCGGGCUGGCGGGAGGCCAUGGCCGCAGCAAAUUGGUGUAGGAGCCGGCGAGCUUCGUGUGGCGGCGUUGGUGCUGGUGGCCCAGCCGGCAACGUUGCCUGAGCCGGAGGUGAGGCUGGGGCCGCAUUCGAUGACUCCUCGUCCUCACGCUUGAUCUGGACUUGGAGGUCGAGGGCGGAUGGCGCGGCAACGAGGGGUGCGCCGGCUUCCUCGUCCGGUGGCGGCGAAUCGAGUUCAGGGACCAGACCAUAUCCCGGCGGCAUGAAGUGCUCCGGGUCCUCGUCGCUUAGUGUCGGCGUCGGCGUCGGCGUCGGGAGGUCCAUGUACGCGUCUGGACCCAACCCCGGCGGGAACUCGUACUCCUCGAGUUCGGCGGUCGGCGUUGGCGACGGUGGGUUGAAGAUGACGGCCGGCUGCGGAGGACUCGCGCCGUAGCCCUGCAUUGGGCAGAAGGCGAUGCCCCUGCGGGCAGGGCAAGGCCCGUACCCGUGCUCCCGCCUCUACCUGCGGUGGCCCGACGACACCAAAGGAAGCGGCACCGCCGAGCUGGCCGCCGCACACCGCGACCUCCUCCUCUUCAGGCUCGUCUACUUUGACCUCCACCUCACAUAUGACCACUUCCUUUGCGUGGCAUCCUCGGAUCCUGUGCCGCACAUCGAGCUCAAACGGCUCCCCCUUUGCACCAUACCAAUGGUCCUACCUCCCUUUUUCAAGGAAGACACGGUGGAACCCAUGACCACACAUCGAUGGUUUCUGUCCAACACAGUAGGGCUCGUUCGUGGAUCAUCCCCUGGCCAUGAAGAUGAGUUUGUCCUCGCACAGCUGGCCAGCAUCACUAAUACACCGGGCACACACGAUCUCAAGGAAGCUGAAGUGUGCGUGCUCCGCUCACGCGUAUCAGCUACCGAUGAUGAAGGCAAAUGGGAGCUUCAAAAAAUACCCAUCCAGCAUAAGGAGCAUCAAUACUGGCGACUCGACGAUUGGUCGACGAGCGCUGUCACCACCUUCAACAACCUUAUUUGCUGGAUUUGCUACUACACUGGAGGUAUUCUAUUUUACGAUGUGUUCGCGGAAACGCCCCGCAUCUCUUAUCUACGGUUACCUACCCACAACCGUCCGUUAUAUCGAGAAAGGGGUUUUCUUGAGGUGAACCGCAGCAUAUGUGUCACCGAUGGGGGUGACGCUCUCAAGUACACUUCUGUUGUUCGCACCGAUGAUCGGCUCUGUGGCCCGCUUGAACAUCGCGAGGGUUAUAGAAUCAUUGCUGAUAUUUUGAAGACAACGGAGAUUGCUGACAUGGAGUGGGUCCGCGAGCCGAUAGUGACGGCUUCUGAGUUCUGGCGUCACAACACCUCUGAACGUCUCCCGCGUGAUGCCGUCCCCGAGUACCCUCUUGUGAGCAUGCACGACCCUAGCAUCAUAUACUUUCUGCUGUCCGAGGAAGAAGAAAAGAUUAACAAGGUUUCGGUCGUUACCAUGGAUAUGGUCACUAACAAGAUGAUUUCAGUUUUUCCAUACAUUAAAGGAGAGGAAGACCUCUAUGGCGAAGAUGCCGACAUGGUGCAAGAAAAAUCCCACCUUCUCAAGUCCUUCCUUACAUCCGAGUUCCCCAAGUUCUUGAAUCUCAAGUAGGCAUUGAUCAAUGCGCUCAAUUUCUUGUACUUCUAGAGCAUUUUAGAGACAAUAAGUCUGUGAUAUGAGUGCAAUCAUUCUAAACUUUAGUUUGACGCAAGCUCAUUGUGAUGACAUGGUAUCUCUAUGGCUCUAUCCUAGUUGUUAAUUAUUAGAACGUUAGAAAGGAAGCCCAGUUUUCUAUGUGCGAUGGCCACCCCGGCUGGCUGGAUUGGUGUUGAGAAACCCCGGCUAGCACGUACGUAGAGGCACUUCUAAGCCAUUCCGCGGGAAUAAAAUAACCAGCCGCUAGGUACUUCAAAAUUACUGACCUCUUUCCUCCUAUGGUUAUGGUACGGCAUGCAGCUAACCAGUGCAACUAGAUUCUUCUAGUCUAGUACUCACUGGAUUUAGGAUGAUUUCGUAAUCAAGAGAAGAAGAAAACUAAAGAACUGAGAUGUCUGUUUGCUGUAGGAUUUUUUCAUAGCAUCUCACUUAAUGAUAAAAAAUCUUAAAAAUUAGGCUAAUAUGAACACAAUACCAAGGAAUCUAUGAACGGAUGUUGCACAUAGGAAAAAACUAUCUCGUGCGAAGAAAUCCCGCGACAAUCCUCUAUGGUCUCCUUCGACUCAAGAAAAAAAGGGUGAAGGAAACACAUAGGACAGUAUUUUUUUUCCUCGGUGCCACUGUUCAAGCCUUUGGCUGAAAAAGUAAUGCAACAAAGUAAAUUUCCUUUACUCCCAGUUAAAAAUGCAUGUUUUACAAUCUACUUGAACCUUCGUUCUUACAAGCAUGCAGCAUGAGAAUUUUAAAAUUAUUAUGCUAUUUAUUUAAUAAAUAUUUUACAACUAUAUACAAUAAUUGAACAAAAAAAUCAUAAGCAUUUUCAAUUUUAAUUAUCAUAUUAUUAUUAUUAUUACUCUAAUGUUCAUGUUUCAUACAACCAAAUCUUACAAAAAUAUGUUGUAAAAUAUCCCCGCAACAAAGUCUAGGGUGUCAUCUUCUUUUUUUUUAGAAAAAAAAAGAGACAGCCGAGCUAGAUAGGAAAAAAACUCAUUAGGGAACAAAUUAAGUAGGCUUAGUUGAAUACUCGUUGUAGUCAAGGUGGCUGAGCCUGUAAAUGCACUUCAGCUUGUUAUCUUGCAUGUUGUAAGAGUGUCCCCAAACAGAACUAGCAGAGCCAAAGAGCUCAUUAUCAACAUGAUAUAUUUGAGUUCCGCUCCCGUCGCCGUUGUUGUUGUAGGUAGCGUGGUAAGCAUCCAUGAAUAUUUCAUAGUUUCCACUGACACAUUUGUCCGCAGUCACUCCGCGCCAAGCGAGCCCUUCGUCAUCCUCAGACCCAGGCCCCCCAACUCAAAGACAUGGAACCCAUAUGGGACAUAUGAACCAUGUGGCCCGCAGCAAUUCAUCAAGACCUUGACCAAAAGCAGCUUGUGCGGUAGUGCAACAAGGUGAAGGUACUCAAACUCCUCUCGCUCACUACUACCGCAUAACUUGAAGCCAAAGUUAAACGUCGCUGGGGCACCUCGAUCUGGUAAAUGAUCUUGAGUGUCAUGGCAUCGAACACGAACGUGACAUAGUUGUUGUCCAUAGCAAACAUCUUGCCAUCAAAGUAGGCAAAUUCGAGGAAGCUAGUAUCGGAAUUAGAGUUGUCAAUCAUUGUCGAAGUGGAAGUAAUUUGAAAGACCGUGGUAGUUGUCGUAAGAAACAUGACUGUAGUGGGCAUGGAUCUUGAUCUUAAGCUGUCGAUAAUGAUAGACCACCGGUUAUAUAUAUUUUCUAUAUAAGCUAUCCAUGUCGAAAAAAUCCGCUUCACUAUCGGUAAACUGCUCGUCUGAAUCCUCGGAAGAAGGCACUUCUUAUGAGUUUUUCGUCGUGAUCUUCGUAAACGAUCUUCUCGCAGGAACUCCCCUCGCGGGAUGAGUGUGCUUGGUCAUCAUGUAUGAUUAUUUGUUAUACAUAGUGCCAUGGUCUUGAUAACCGUCCCCGUCGUCCCUCGUCCAGUUUAUGAUUGGGAUGUGGUAUAUUUUCUUUUAUAACUAUUUGUUGCAUAUCUCGUUUAUAUGACAAUUAUGCACAUCAAGUUAAAAUACAUAUUUUUCUCUAGAAGGUAUGUGAAGUGGAAAUUGGAACCGACCCUCUUGUCAAGAAGUUAAAUUUAGUUAAAAAUAAAAUGAGUAUUUGAAAGAAAAAUUAAAAAGAAUUGACGAAGAGAAGAUGAAAUUGGAGUUGUAUGUUGCAGAUGUCGUCAAUGAUCACAAGAUCAACAUGGAUGCAAUGCGUCUUGGUAUUGUGAUCCUUCAAUGACACCCCACAUCUACUCGCGCCUCCUUUCGUGUUCGUUCUAGCUAGGCCGGGCCUUAUCCUAGGCGUCCUUUUUUUCUCAUCUGUUUUAAGCUUGUUACUUGUAUGGUUUUUGGUCCAGUUUUCCUUAUAAACGGGGUCAAUUUGUUUAGGUAUUCGAUCUGAUUUCCCUUAUAAACUGGAUUAGACAAAGCUUGAGGGGUGACUCUUGGCUUUGGCAGCUUUUUGAGCAAUAUAUUCAGACGGGAGGAUCCCCUCUCCCGACUGUUAAAAAAAGAUCACUUGAAGCAACAAAAGGCAUUAGACCAGGUAACCCCUAAAUUACACCCCUAGCAAGAAAAUUGACAAAAAUUGGCAUGACCAAAUGAUAAUUGAUUCAGAGAAAAGAAAACAGCAUGAAAACACUAUUUUACUGACGUAAUGAACAACCAAGCAGACUAACAUAUCACCAUUCUUUGCUAACAGUCAUUGCACAUCACCCUGACGUUCAUAUGAAUAUCAGAGACUACACAAAUCAAGUGCAACACAGACGAACAUCUUCAUUUUCUGCAGCAAAUUCAGUUCUAAGUAACAACAACCCAUGUAGCUGCAACUAAACUAGAAGCAACAAAAGGUAUCUUCAUUUCAGCUCAGGACAGGGGCAGAUUCUAUCUAAUUAAAUCCUUGGGGGUGGGUAUUAACAUUACAUGAUUAGCCAAGUGUUAAUUGGGUUCAUAUCAUUCCUCUUGUUCAGAAGAAGCAGAAGCACGCCACUUCACUUCCGCCUCCCAGCGCAAUUGAGGUAGUCAUGGUGGCCAUGUUUUUAAGGCGUCGCCUUAUGGACGCUUUAGGCGGUAAGGCGCCAUGACUAAAUUAUGCUGCUGCAACUGACAAACUCAUAUGGCAGACAUAUGUAUAUGUAACAGAGGAUUUGCUGGCAACAGUGUGAUUAACGACCAACCAGAUGAACAUGUAACCAUAAAACCAUUCCUUUCUAGUCAGUCGUUGCCAAAAAGAUUCAGUACCGAUAAUAUACCAAAGCCUUAAACUUCAGAUAAACACCAGAGGAGACUGAACAGAACAAGUGCAGACAUCUUAAUGCUCUGCAGCAAACCCAUUAAGUAGUAACUAGCUGCCAUUAGAGCUCGCAUAACCGUAACAGCAUCACGAAGAGCAAUAAAAGGCGUCGCCGUGCAAGUUCUGUGUAACUAAAUCCUACUAUGUAGGUAUUAAUGUUGGAACUCAACCCUCAAGAUCGAUUACAUUAAAUCACGAUAAACACACGCACACAAAAUCUUGUAGCCAAGGGCCCUUGUCGUGUCCUAAUUUUCCCUUUUAUUGCUUCCUUCUGUCUCAACUCAAGGUCAUGGUCGUGUGUAUAUAUAUACACAGCCAAACCAACCAACGCAUCAGACCAAGUCUUACACGGACACCAACUCAGCCAAUGCAAGGCAAUAGCCACACACGUAUCCUACUAGUACUUCUACAUCUGAUUACAAGCACUACUAGAACACGUAUGAGACUGGUACCAAACCUAGUCGGACGUCUAAUAUUUCGUCUACCAAAAACGUCAUCAAUUAACCUAACCUAAUACGUACAACGACUAGUACUCUUGGUUCUGUACCUCUAAGCCAAAACCUGCCCACUACAAAGUCUGAACCGACUUGGACUCAAACUACACGUACCGGAUACAGCCUACCACUAGAACACUGCUAACUUUCCACGGCAGCGCUGAUCACACACAACUAAACAUAGCAACGUAAAUAAGAUUAUCUAACAAUUAACACAAUAUAACUUCACUGGGUGUUAGUUGGAGCCAUCUCAUUCAUCUUCAUCAGAAAGUGGAAGUUCGCCUCUCGGGGCAGUUGCGGUAGUCAUGGUCAAGUACAUAUUCCUUACAGAACCCGCACAGCCUUCCUUUUUUUCUGUGGAUUUGCCUGGUACACAGGAGGAUCUAGUCAGUAACAACUAUAUACAACUAUUCGUAAGUGGAAAAAAUGUUUUCAACAGAGGACAUGGCAUGCCCAUAUCAUAGCUAAAUGGAUGAUUUACUGCGAGUAAAAGAAUGAAUAGCAUCAGGAUAAGUCAUGUGCAGCUUCUAAAAAUUAUCAUAAUAUUUUAAAUAUUAAGAUGCGCUAGUUAUAUCAAGUUUUUGGGACAUGUCAAUGAGAUAUAACACUAUGGAGAUUGCUUGCUUAAUUCAUACAUUAUAGCACCCAAAUAAAAGUAAUGUGAUGGCCCUAGGAAUAUAGGGGCUAAGGCAGAAUGAAAGUAAUUUGUAAUACACUUAUACACAUAACAUCUACAGCUGGCUCAGUAGUCAAGACAGAGGCAAUUAAUCUAGAGGCACACGGGUAUGAAUUGAAUUCCGUGUAGAGCUUACGGUCUUUCUGUAGUACUCAUUCUCAGCUCUCAACUCUUCAUUCUGCUUCUUCAAAGACUUGUUCUCCUCUGUCUUGAGAUGCAACUCCAGUUUGAGUCUCCGAACCUGUUCGGCAUCGAGCUCUUCGGUCUUGCUAACGAUCUGCAGCCUCACCAUCUGAUUCUCAGCUCUCAGACACUCACCUGCAAUAAUACAAAAGAUUAUCAAGAAACUCAUUGUGUAUUUUGAAAUGUGCGGGUACUAAGAGCUAGUGAUUAUUUUUUCUAUACCGUGACUUGUUUUGUUCUGGAUUUCAAUUCCAAUUGGUUGCACUCCGUUCGGUGUCACACUCACAGUUGCUUUCCUCUUCCUUCCUUGCUCCCAGCCUCCAAUCUGAACAUACUUGUCCGCAGAAACAUACUUGUCUGCAUUUGAACAUUUCACUUGCACAUUACUCGAAAUGUAACAAAUAAAUCACAGAUAAUGAGGCACACAUUCUACUCAUGAUGAAAGUGCAUACAUGGAAAAUGUGUUCUAUAAGUAGCAAUUGCAACAAGGUUUGUGUGAUCAAUACUUCUUUAUACCUUGACCUUCUUUGUUCUGGAUCUCAAGCAGCCCGCUUCCAAUCUGUAUGUGGUUGUCCCCAGAAACAUGCUCGGCUGCAUUUAAACAUUUCAUUCGCAUGCCACCCAAAUAAGUAAGUAGUAAAUCUCAGAGACACCAAAGCACACACUCCAGUCAUGAUGAACUGCAUACAUGGAUAUUGUGUUCUAUAAGUAACAAUUGCAAGAAGGGGUGAUCGAUACUUCCUCAUACCUUCACCUUCCUCUUCACCUUCAGAAGCCCGUGGCGUACUUAGUUUGGCGGCUGCUUCUCUGUUCCUUCCCUGCAGCUCACCUUGACGCGGAAAAUGGCCAUCCUCAGAAACCCCCUCCUCUGCAACUGAUAUUUCCAUUUGCAACAUCACUCAGGUAUCAAAAUCCACUCAAUUUCAUAGAUAUAGCACCAAUUGAAUGGAAAGCCAAGAACAUUGCCGGUCUACGCCACAGCCAGUACCAAAUGCUCUGCUCUGCUACUGAUUGUGUUGACAUAAAUGUAGUUGUACAGACUGUACAUAAAUAUAGAAAACAAACGCAUUUGGCUGAUCGUUGAUUAGGAUUCACAUUGUGGAGUCGAUCGAUNNNNNNNNNNNNNNNNNNNNNNNNNNNNNNNNNNNNNNNNNNNNNNNNNNNNNNNNNNNNNNNNNNNNNNNNNNNNNNNNNNNNNNNNNNNNNNNNNNNNNNNNNNNNNNNNNNNNNNNNNNNNNNNNNNNNNNNNNNNNNNNNNNNNNNNNNNNNNNNNNNNNNNNNNNNNNNNNNNNNNNNNNNNNNNNNNNNNNNNNNNNNNNNNNNNNNNNNNNNNNNNNNNNNNNNNNNNNNNNNNNNNNNNNNNNNNNNNNNNNNNNNNNNNNNNNNNNNNNNNNNNNNNNNNNNNNNNNNNNNNNNNNNNNNNNNNNNNNNNNNNNNNNNNNNNNNNNNNNNNNNNNNNNNNNNNNNNNNNNNNNNNNNNNNNNNNNNNNNNNNNNNNNNNNNNNNNNNNNNNNNNNNNNNNNNNNNNNNNNNNNNNNNNNNNNNNNNNNNNNNNNNNNNNNNNNNNNNNNNNNNNNNNNNNNNNNNNNNNNNNNNNNNNNNNNNNNNNNNNGAGGACCGAAAGUCAUGCAAUGUCAUGGUUCCAUCUCAAAGUCAUGGGUUGGUUCCAUCCUUGUGUUUAGUUGAUGAUAAAAAGUGUCAUGGGUUGGUUCCGUCCCGGUGUUUAGUUGGAGAGAUGAAAUGAGAAGAAUUUGAUGCCACUCACCUCUUCGAUAUAAAUGGUGAGAUUACGCCUGUGAACAAAUAAAGUUCUUUGCAUUUGACAAGCCUAUAAUUUAAAUUUUUAGUAACAUUUUCUUUCUAUUUUUGACACAUGUAAAUAAAAAUAUAUGAUCAAGAGUACAUACCAAAUAUUUACGAAAAAUUAUCACAAAAAUGAAAAAAUAACCACGAAAAAAAUAAUCACGAAAACGAAAAAAAUAACCACGUAAAAAUAACCAAAAAAAACCACGAAAACUUUUGUUCAGGUGCGGGGGUGAGCGCGGUGAGAAAUGCUUGGUUAUUUCUUUUUUUCUUUGCUUUCAUGGACGAAUAACGUGUCAAUUCCUCUAAAUCGGCGGAAUCACUUGGUGAAGCAUCUGGAGGGAAUAUUCCUUGCAUGCGGAUGACCCAAUUCCGGUUCCUAACUCAACUAAACACGAGAACGGCUCCUAGGGAUGGAACCAACCCGUCCGAUUCCACCUCAUCCUGAAACCAAACACACCCUUACACCGUGGGCACGCUUAGGGACGCAUUCGUUGACACUGCGCGUCGAACUCUCAUAUGUUGGGUCACACAUUCACCCACCCCAAAUGUAAUUUUUAAAUUCAUGCAAUCCAUGCACGUCGAUCAUCCGAUACAAAUUGUUCGAAUUCAACGUCGGCGUGGCAGGGGAGACAUCUACUCACACCAUGUCCGCGUCUACCUGCGACGCGGCCACCGUCUCCCUCUCUCGCUGCCGGUGACGCUGCAACUUCCGGAUGACGUUCUCUACCUUGCAAGACGCAGUGGAGGAAGGGACGCCAACGGACAAGGCAGACUGCGCCUCCGUCGCGGCGGUCGGAGACGGGAUGGAAGACAUCACGACAGCAUAUCGAGACCCGUGUUGAGGAUGAGGAGCAAGAGUGAUGGACGACAAGGGCUCGGUCGCGAGAAAUGUUGGAGGGCGGCAGGAGAAGGAGGAAGGAUUUGGUGCACUAUGCGGUAGGGGCGGGAUGUGAGAUUCUACAUGGCGGGCGUGCUCGGACGCGCUUGUGCGCCCCCAUAUCCACCUCAUAUUUAGGCUGGAUAUGAGGGGUGCCGGUCAGCCCGGAUGUAUGAGGCACGUUUAAGAAGCCCCUCUGGGUCAAAAUUUUGUGACCGGACGGGUAUGAGGGGUCCGGAUGUAGAUGCUCUAACCAUCACAGAAGAGGUUCUCGAAAAGCAACACCCACAAACGUUGUCAUUGUCCUAUCAAAGAACCUAGUUUUUCAUCCUCGGAGAAGUCCGAGCUCACCUAAAAACAAUGCCUUCAGUAAGGCCACUUCCAGGUACAGCCAACUCGGUACUCGAGGAGUACCAUCAAAAAUGCAGUCCUCAAGUGUUGUCGCCCCGCUUAUCGAGGCCAUUGUUGUUAGUCAUCAAACACCUCGCACACAGUCUUCAUCGCAUUCAAUACACACUUUCACAAAAUCUUAAAGACCCCUAAUUGCAGCCGCCAUGACAUUCUCCACCUUUAUCAAUGCCUUGAAAAUCUUGACUUAGACAUGUCCCAUGACACCUAUAAAAAGCGCAGCUUCGCAUCACACCCUUUCUCAGGCCGUGAUGGCUGAUAAUAUGAAUGCACACGAUCGAAAUGUUUCCGAUCUAAAUAUCCAGGAGCAACGCUAAUCCAUAUAGAACUCCGACUUGGAAGACCGAAACUCAUUAGCGGAAAAGUCCAAUAAGUCGUCAUCCGGCAAUAAGUCGUUAACUCCACGAGCCGACGACCACAACGGAGCCGGCCACCCAGGACCCAUGUCGCCCUGCUUAAGCGGUUGGAUCGUCCCCUCUAUUGUCUGACACCCCUGACCGCCUAGGGCACACCACGUUGACCCGACACACUGCCACGCUGUUACGCCCACCACCAGCGUUGUAGAGGCCCCACGCGAGGAGAAGAAACCACCCUGUCAUGGCCUACAGGGAUUUGUCCGGUUGCGCUCACUCCAGACGGCGACAUAGGGGCGAGAGGAGGAGGGGGAUCCCCGCCAGCGGCGGCUGGUUUAGUGCAACAUUGAGCAGUAAUCACAGAGUGGAUCCACAUUAACACAUAUGGUCCAGUCGGGGCGCAUCAUAUCAAAAAAAGGUCGAGCAUGUGUCAUCUCAUUCUGAAACGUGUGGUGCUGAGACUGUUGGGAAUAUGCCCUAGAGGCAAUGAUAAAUAGUUAUUAUUAUAUUUCUUGUUUCAAGAUAAUCAUUUAUUAUCCAUGCUAUAAUUAUAUUGAAUGAAAACACAGAUACAUGUGUGGAUACAUUGACGAAACAAUGUCCCUAGCAAGCCUCUAGUUGGCUAGCCAGUUGAUCAAGGAUAGUCAAAAUUUUCUGACUAUGUGCAAGUGUUGUCACUUGAUAACUGGAUGACAUCAUUAGGAGAAUCAUGUGAUGGACUAGACCCAAACUAUGAACAUAGGAUAUUGAUCGUGUCAUUUUGUUGCUAUUGUUUUCUGCGUGUCAAGUAUUUAUUCCUAUGACCAUGAGAUCAUAUAACUCAUUGGCACCGAAGGAAUACCUUGUGUGUAUGAAACGUCGCAACGUAACUAGGUGACUAUAAAGGUGCUCUACAGGUAUCUCCGAAGGUGUCUGUUGAGUUAGUAUGGAUCAAAACUGGGAUUUGUCACUCCGUCUGAUGGAGAGGUAUCUCGGGGCCCACUCGGUAAUACAACAUCACACACAAGCCUUGCAAGCAAUGUGCCUAAGUGUAAGUCACGGGAUCUUGUAUUACAGAACGAGAAAAGAGACUUGCCGGUAACGAGAUUGAAAUAGGUAUGCGGAUACCGACGAUUGAAUCUCGGGCAAGUAACAUACCGAAGGACAAAGGGAAUGACAUACGGGAUUACAUGAAUCCUUGACACUGAGGUCCAACCGAAAAGAUCUUUGGAGAAUAUGUAGGAUCCAAUAUGGGCAUCCAGGUCCGGCUAUUGGAUAUUGACCGAGGGGUGUCUCGGGUCAUGUCUGCAUAGUUCUCGAACCCGCAGGGUCUGCACACUUAAGGUUCGAUGAUGUUUUAGUAUAGUUGAGUUAUAUGUGUGGUUACCGAAUGUUGUUCCGAAUCCCGGAUGAGAUUACGGACGUCACGACGGUUUCCGGAAUGGUCCGGAAACGAAGAUUGAUAUAUAGGGUGGUUUCAUUUGGUCACCGGAAAGUUUCGGGCAAUUCCAGCAGUGUACCGGGAGUGACUAAUGGGUUUCGGGUGUUUACGGGGAGGGCCCCACCCACCCGGGAGUGAUCCCAAGGCCCUAGGGUGGCGCACAAAGUCCUUAGUGGGCUGGUGGAGUCAGCCCAAGAGGGCUAUGGCGCCACAAGUAAAAAUACCAAAGGAAAGAAGAAGAAAAAGGGAAGAGGGAGGUGGGAAGGAAUAGGAGGACUCUUCCUUCCCAAACCGAAUUGGAGGAGGAGUCCUCCUCCACCCUUGCGGCCGGCGCACCCUUGGGGCCCUUGUGCCCUAAGGCUAGCCCCUCCCAUCCUCCUAUAUAUAUUGGUGGUUUUGGGUUUUUUGAGACACAACUUUGCCACGUGCAACUCAAGCCUAUUCCACAUAGUUUUACCUCUACAUCGGAUUUCUGCGGAGCUCGGGCGGAGCCCUGCAGGAGUAGAUCAUCACCACCACUGGAGCGCCGUCACCCUGUCGGAGAACUCAUCUACUUCUCCGUCUUGCUUGCUGGAUCAAGAAGGCCGAGAUCAUCGUCGAGCUGUACGUGUGCUGAACGUGGAGGUGUCGUCCGUUCGGUGCUAGAUCGGAAUGGAUCGUGGGAUGACGGUGAUUUGAAUCACGAAGUUGUACCACUACAUCAACCACGUUUUUUAACGCUUCUCGAUCAGUGAUCUACAAGGGUACAUAGAUCUAAUCUCCUCUCAUAGAUGGACAUCACCAUGAUAGGUCUUCGUGUGCGUAGGAAUUUUUUUGUUUCCCAUGCAACGUUCCCCAAUAGUGGCAUCAUGAGCUAGGUUCAUGCGUAGAUGUUAUCUCGAGUAGAACACAAAAGAUUUUGUGGACGGUGAUGUUCUAUUUGCUGCCCUCCUUAGUAUUUUUUCGAUUCGGCGGUAUUGUUGGAUUGAAGCGGCCCGGACCGACAUAACUCGUACGCUUACGAGAGACUGGUUUCAUCGACUGACAUGCAACCUCGUUGCAUAAAGAUGACUGGCGGUUGUCGGUUUCUUCAACUUUAGUUGAAUUGGUUUUGACCGAGGCGGUCCUUGGAGAGAGGUUAGAUAGAAAUUUGCACAUCUCCGUUGUGGUUUUUGCGUAAGUGAGAUGCGAUCAUACUAGAUACCCAUAGCAGCCACGUAAAACAUGCAACAACAAAUUAGAGGACGUCUAACUUGUUUUUGCAGGGUAUGCUUAUAUGAUAUGACCAAUGACGUGAUGUGAUAUAUUGGAUGUAUGAGAUGAUCAUGUUGUAAUAGUUAAUAUCGUCUUGCACGUCGAUGCUACGACAACCGACAGGAGCCAUAGGAUUGUCUUUAAACUAAGUUUGUGUUUGCAGAUGCGUUUACUAUAUUGCUAGGUCGUAGCUUUAGUAGUAAUAGCAUAGAUAGCACGACAACCUCGAUGGCGAGACGUUGAUGGAGAUCAUGGUGUGGCUCCGGUGACAAGAAGAUCAUGCCGGUGCUUUGGUGAUGGAGAUCAAGAAGCACAAGAUGUUGGCCAUAUCAUGUCAGUUAUGAAUUGCAUGUGAUGUUAAUCCUUUUAUGCACCUUAUUUUGCUUAGAACGACGAUAGCAUUAUAAGGUGAUCUCUCACUAAAAUUUCAAGAUGAAAUUGUGUUCUCCCCGACUGUGCACCGUUGCGAUAGUUCGUCGUUUCGAGACACCACGUGAUGAUCGGGUGUGAUAGACUCAACGUUCACAUACAACGGGUGCAAAACAGCUGCACACACGGAACACUCGGGUUAAACUUGACGAGCCUAGCAUGUGCAGACAUGGCCUCGAAACACAUGAGACCAAAAGGUCGAGCAUGAAUCGUAUAGUUGAUAUGAUUAGCAUAGAGAUGCUUACCACUGAAACUAUUCUCAACUCACGUGAUGAUCGAACUUGAGUUAGUGAAUUUGGAUCAUGUACCACUCAAAUGACUAGAGAGAUGUACUUUUUGAGUGGGAGUUUAUUAGUAAUUUGAUUAGUUAAACUCUAAAUAUCUUAAACAUAGUCUAAGUCCACUUUGCAAUAUUUGUGUUGUAGAUCAAUGGCUCACGCAACAGUCACACUGAAUUUUAAUACGUUCCUUAAGUUGCUCCUGUAAGCUGUGAAGAAGGAUUAUGUCCUUAAUGCUGCGCUAGGAGAUGAACCACCCUCUACGGCUGACCAAGAUGUUAAGAACGCGUGGUUAACACGUAAGGAGGACUACUCAGUAGUUCAAUGUGCAGUCUUGUAUGGCUUAGAGCCGGGACUUCAACGUCGCUUUGAGCGUCAUAGAGCAUAUGAGAUGUUCCCGGAGUUGAAGUUUAUUAUUCAGAAGAACGCCCAGAUCGAGAGGUCUCAGACCUCCGAUAAAUUCUAUGCUUGCAAGAUGGAGGAGAAUUCAUCUGCCAGUGAACAUGUGCUCAAAAUGUCUGGGUACUCAAACCGUCUAACUGAGCUGGGGAUUGAACUCCCGCAAGAGGCUAUCACUGACAGAAUUCUUCAAUCACUCCCACAUAGCUAUAAGAGCUUUGUGUUGAAUUAUAACAUUAAAGGGAUGAACAAGUCACCCGACGAGUUAUUCACGAUGCUGAAAGUCGCAGAGUCUGAACUCUGGAAAGAGCAUCAAGUGUUGAUGGUCAAUAAGACCACUAGUUUCAAGAGAAACGACAAAGGCAAGAAGGGUAACUCCAAGAAGAGCGGCAAGCCUGUUUCCAAUCCGACGAAGAAACCCAAGGCUGGACCUAAGCUUGAAACAGAGUGUUAUUAUUGCAAGGGACUGGGCCACUCAAAGCGCAACUGCCCCAAGUAUUUGGCUGAUAAGAAGCCGGCCAAGGAAAAAUCAGGUAUAUUCGAUAUAUAUGUUAUUGAUGUGUACUUAACCAACUCUCGUAGUAGUGCCUGGGUAUUCGAUAUCGGUUCUGUUGCUCAAAUUUGCAACUCGAAGCAGGAACUGUGGAAUAAACGAAGGUUGGCGAAGGAUGAAGUGACGAUGCGCGUGGGAAAUGGUUCCAAGGUUCAUGCAAUCGCCGUCGGCACAGUUUCACUUCAGUUACCAUCAGGAUUAGUUAUGAACUUAAAUAAUUGUUAUUUAGUGCCUGCGUUAAGCAUGAAUAUUAUAUCUGGAUCUUGUUUAUUGCGAGACGGUUACUCGUUUAAGUGAGAGAAUAAUGGUUGUCCUAUUUCUAUGAGUAAUAUCUUUUAUGGUCAUGCACCCAAUGUGAGAGGAUUGUUCAUAUUGAAUCUUGAUAGCGAUGAUGCACAUAUACAUAACAUUGAGACCAAAAGAUAUAGAGUUAACAAUGAUAGCGCCAUGUUUUUGUGGCACUAUCGCUUAGGUCAUAUUGGUGUAAAGCGCAUGAAGAUACUCCAUUCCGAUGGACUUUUGGAGUCACUUGACUUUGAAUCACUUGACACGUGCGAACCAUGCCUCAUGGGAAAGAUGACUAAGACUCCGUUCUCCGGAACAAUGGAGCGUGCAAGUGACUUGUUGGAAAUCAUACAUACCGACGUGUGCGGUCCGAUGAGUGUGGAGGCGCGCGGCAGAUAUCGUUAUUUUCUCACCUUCACUGAUGAUUUGAGUAGGUAUGGAUAUAUCUACUUGAUGAAGCACAAGUCUGAGACGUUUGAGAAGUUCAAGCAAUUUUAGAGUGAAGUUAAAAAUCAUCAUAACAAGAAGAUCAAGUUCCUACGUUCUGAUCGUGGGGGUGAAUAUCUGAGUUUUGAGUUUGGUGCUCACUUAAGACAAUGUGGAAUUCUUUCACAGUUGACACCGCCUGGAACACCACAGCGUAAUGGUGUGUCCAAACGUCGUAAUCAUACUUUGUUAGAAAUGGUGCGGUCUAUGAUGUCUCUUACCGAUUUGCCGUUAUCGUUUUGGGGUUAUGCAUUAGAGACAGGUGCAUUCACUUUAAAUAUGGCACCAUCAAAAUCCAUUAAGACGACACCAUACGAACUGUGGUAUGGCAAAAGACCGAAGUUUUCGUUUCUUAAAGUUUGAGGAUGUGAUGCUUAUGUCAAAAAGCUUAAGCCUGAAAAGCUGGAACCCAAAGCGGAAAGGUGCGUCUUAAUAGGUUACCCAAAGGAGACAGUUGGGUACACCUUCUAUCUCAAAUCCGAGGGCAAAGUGUUAUUUGCUAAAAAUAGAGCUUUUCUUGAGAAGGAGUUUCUCUCGAAAGAAUUGAGUGGGAGGAAGAUAGAACUUGAUGAGGUUGUCGAACCUCUAGUCCCUCUAGAUGGUGGCACAGGGCAAGGGGAAACCCCUGUCGAAGCGACACCGGUUGAGGAGGAAGUUAAUGAUGAUGAUCAUGAAACUUCAGAUCAAGUUCUUAUCGGACCUCGCAGGUCGACAAGAUCAUGUACUACUCCUGAGUGGUACGGUAAUCCUUUCUUAUGAAUCAUGUUGUUAGACAACAAUGAACCUGCAAAUUAUGAAGAAGCAAUGGUGGGCACGGAUUCCAACAAAUGGUUGGAGGCCAUGAAGUCCGAGAUAGGAUCUAUGUAUGAAAACAAAGUGUGGACUUUGGAAGUAUUACCUGAAGGUCGCAAGGCUAUUCGGAAUAAAUGGAUCUUUAAGAAGAAGACAGACGCAGCCGGUAUUGUGAUCGUUUAUAAAGCUCGACUUGUGGUAACUCAUCGAGCCGACGAAUUUUAUGACUAUCUUUUUGGGAUUGCCACAAGGUUUCAUAAAAAGUUCUAUAACUCGCCGCGACUCACUGAGCCGGCCGCCGUGACUCACUGAGCCGGCUUAAGCUCUUUUGGGUACCACUAGAGCCUUGAAAACUCGUUUUACCAGCCGAGACUCAUUGAGCCGGCUAUGGUGUAACCAACACUAUUCUGUCAUAUACAUGCAUCAUCUUGCAUUGCAUCAUGCAUCAUACAUACAUAUCAUGUCGGUCUUCAAACCGGGUCAAAGCAUAAACUUCUGCAGGAGCAAAUAAAUCUUUGAUAGCCAAUAUGGUUGGAUUUUCAUCAUGGUUCAUCGUAACUAGUGUUAAAUGAUUGGGGUUUUUAAGCCAGCUCGGAAGAAUUGACUAUUGUCGAAGAGCCGCCCUAUCACAUAUAAUGCCGAGUCAUCUAAUUGACCGGCCCUUGGAUUUCUUCAACUUGUGCUCUAUAAUAAACUACAACACUUAUGUAUUUCUCAAAAAUAUAUUUGCUGGGUCACAUUACAACCACGGUCAAGGAUUUCUUUCAUCGCAAAGGUAUCAUGAGAGUGGAUAUGAUUCUACAAUGGAAGGAAUAGUCCCAAGUUGCUACAGGCACACAACCCGAUACUUGGGGGCUACAUUAUUCAAAUCAAGAUUACAUCAAAGUAUGAAAGUCCCACGUCGCAGCAAGCAUGCACCAUGACACUUGGGGGGCUAAUGCAAUCCGCUUUUCAAAUCAUCACAUCAUCAACAGACCUGGCUACCUCAAGGAGAUAAGCCGACCCUGGAGAGCUACAUAACGCUCUUUAUCCAAGUAUGGAUUCAAGGAAGCACCGGCUCAUCAUUUUUAUAAUGACCCGCUCCUUGGGGGCUACACAUUGCCGCUCAAGGUUACAUCAUCAGAUUUACAAAGUCCCUGCUCAUUAUUGCAUAAUGACCCAGCCCUUGGGGGCUACAUCAUAUGAUGUUUUAUUUUCAAAGAAGAAGAACGUGGAAGUCCCGAGUCGCCGCAAGCAAUCGACCUGUCACUGGGGGCUACACUACUCAGAUCAUAAUUUCUACAGUCCCAGGUUGCCACAGGCAAGACAACCCGACCCUUGGGGGCUACAACACUAAGUUGUUUCACAGAUCAUGAGGUUCAAAUUAAAGACCCAACCCAUCACACACUGAUGACCCGACCCUUGGGGGCUACAGGUAAUAUGGAUAUAUAAAAAAAUUGAAGAGCACAUUUCAUUUCGCCAUGGAGGUGAAGCAUUGAAAGACCGGAUCAACAUCACACGGAUUUCUUUAUCCCCAAUAGUUCGAUAUAGUCAAUUGGAGUUCAGUUGUUUGACGGUGCACUACCAAUAAUCUUGACCCGCCAUUAGCAAUCAUGACUCGCCAUUGUCAAUCAUAACCCGCCGAAGCAAGAGAAGCUGGUUCAACAUUGUGUGGAUUUCUUAUUCCUCAAAUUUUCAUCAAGCCAAAGCAUUGGAGGUCGACUCAAUGGCAUAUGUAUUUUAUUGCAAAGGACACGUACCAACAAGAUGAUUGUAAAGACGGCUCGUUAAUAUGAAUAAGAAACCCGGAUUUUUCAAGGCGCCACUUCAGUAAAUCAAGCCGGCCAGAGGAGCAAGCCGGUCCCUUAACAUAUUUAUUAUUCUUAUUUCAGGAGCUUACCUUGAAUAAAUUCAACCUAACAUGGGGGCUAAUGUUGGGGAUAUACCCCACGGUGUAACCGGCUUGAAGUAUGAUCUGCCAAGGACUUGGCGACUCACCGGUGACUUAGCAGUGACCUGGCGGGCGGGACAUACAUGACCCGGCAGGCGACCCAGCCAAAUGACGAAGGCCCAAGGCCCGACGUACACCGUGGCAUAAGGCGACUCAUAGAGAGGCCAGGAGGGCCGACUCACAAGAGAAGGCCCAAGAAGAGGAAAGACUCCCACAAGAAGGAAACAAGACCCGGAUUAGGAUUCAAGAGAGACUAGUCCUAUUUCUACUCCUAGUAGGACUCUACAUGUAAACCUACCCCUUCCACCUAUAUAAGGAGGGGUAAGGCGCCCCAAGAGGGACAAGAUUGACAACUUAGAUCUAGACAAGUCAAAUCAUGAGAUAGAUAGAUGAGACACCCACGAGAUUAGAGGUGGCGAUUCUACACACUUGUAAUCGAGAUCAUCAUCUUCAUCAAUGAAACACAAGCAGGACAUAGGCUUUUACCUCCAUCAGAGGGGCCGAACCUGGGUAAACUCGCGUCCCUCGAUUCCGACCAACCCCUCUCAAGCCACCACAUGGUUGCGAUGGCCUCACACCUAAGUCCUUGCACGAGGACAUCUGCCGUGAUAAAAACACGACAGGUAGCGAUGCUUAAGUCCGUCCGAAUCAUGUUAGCAAUAGCUGUAUUUUUCGAUCAUCAAAUCUGACAGAUCGAUGUCAAAACGGCGUUCCUUAAUGGUUUUCUUAAGUAAGAGUUGUAUAUGAUGCAACCCGAAGGUUUUGUCGAUCCAAAGAAUGCUAACAAAGUAUGCAAGCUCCAACCAUCCAUUUAUGGACUGGUGCAAGCAUCUCGGAGUUGGAAUAAGCGCUUUGAUGAGGUGAUCAAAGCAUUUGGGUUUAUACAGGAGGUUGGAGAAUCUUGUAUUUACAAGAAAGUGAGUGGGAGCUCUGUGGCGUUUCUAAUAUUAUAUGUGGAUGACAUAUUGCUGAUUGGAAACAACAUGGAGUUUUUGGAGAGCAUAAAGGAUUAUUUGAAUAAACAUUUCUCUAUGAAGGACCUGGGAGAAGCUGCUUACAUUCUAGGCAUAAGAUCUAUAGGGAUAGGUCGAGACGCCUGAUAGGACUUUCACAAAGCACGUACCUUGAUAAAGUUUUGAAGAAGUUCAAAAUGGAACAGUCCAAGAAGGGGUUCUUGCCAGUGUUACAAGGUAUAAAAUUGAGUAAGACUCAGUGCCGAGCAACUGCGGAAGAUAGAGAACAAAUGAGUUCCUUCCCCUAUGCUUCAGCCAUAGGUUCUAUCAUGUAUGCAACGUUGUGCACUAGACCAGACGUCAUCUUGGCCAUAAGUAUGGCAGACAGGUUUCAAAGUAAUCCAGGAGUGGAUCACUGAACGGCGGUCAAGAAUAUUCUAAAGUACCUGAAAAGGACUAAGGAAAUGUCUCUCGUUUAUGGAGGUGACGAAGAGCUCGUCGUAAAGGUUUACGUCGACGCAAGCUUUGACACUGAUUCGGAUGACUCUAAGUCUCAAAUUGGAUACAUAUUUAUUCUUAAUGGGGGUGCGGUAAGCUGGUGCAGUUCCAAGCAAAGCGUCGUAGCAGAUUCUACAUGUGAAGCGGAGUACAUGGCUGCCUCGGAGGCAGCAAAUGAGGGUGUCUGGAUGAAGCAGUUCAUGACGGAUCUUGGAGCUAUGCCAAGCGCACUAAAUCCAAUAACUCUGUUCUGUGACAACACUGGUGACAUUGCUUUAGCAAAGGAACCAAGGUUUCACAAGAAAACCAGGCACUUCAAAUGAUGCUUCAACCUCAUCCGCGACUACGUCGAAGGAGAGGACGUAAAUAUUUGCAAAGUGCACACGGAUCUGAAUGUAGCAGACCCGCUGACUAAACCUCUUCCACGAGCAAAACAAGAUCAACACUAGAACUGUAUGGGUGUUAGAUUUAUUACAAUGUAAAUCGCAUGGCGAUGUGAGGACUAGAUUAUUGACUCUAGUGCAAGUGAGAGAGUGUUGGAAAUAUGCCCUAGAGGCAAUGAUAAAUAGUUAUUAUUAUAUUUCCUGUUUCAAGAUAAUCAUUUAUUAUCCAUGCUAUAAUUGUAUUGGAUGAAAACAUAGAUACAUGUGUGGAUACAUAGACGAAACAAUGUCCCCAGCAAGCCUUUAGUUGGCUAGCCAGUUGAUCAAGGAUAGUCAAGGUUUUCUGACUAUGUGCAAGUGUUGUCACUUGAUAACUGGAUCACAUCAUUAGGAGAAUCAUGUGAUGGACUAGACCCAAACUAUGAAUGUAGCAUAUUGAUCGUGUCAUUUUGUUGCUAUUGUUUUCUGCGUGUCAAGUAUUUAUUCCUAUGACCAUGAGAUCCUAUAACUCACUGGCACCGGAGGAAUACCUUGUGUGUAUCAAACGUCGCAACGUAACUGGGUGACUAUAAAGAUGCUCUACAGGUAUCUCUGAAGGUGUCCGUUGAGUUAGUAUGGAUCAAGACUGAGAUUUGCCACUCCGUGUGACGUAGAGGUAUCUCGGCCCACUCGGUAAUACAACAUCACACACAAGCCUUGCAAGCAAUGUGACUAAGUGUAAGUCACGGGAUCUUGUAUUACAGAACGAGAAAAGAAACAUGGAUGCUAGUAGAUUUCUUUUUGUAGAGCACCUCACAACCAGAGGGCCCUGAAACACCUAUACUUAUAUCUAGUAUAAAAAAUGUCUGUCCUAAAACAAUACGUGAGUUGCAGGAAAACAAAAGCGACUUCGAUAGACGCAGGAACACACAAUCGAACGACCACGGAGCCGAAGGACGGCCGCGCGAUCAGUCGGUACUAGAUAAUAUUUUCCCAAAAGAUAAUGCAUGGAUGCUAGUAGAUUUAUUUUCAGAAGUACUCUGCAUACGAUACGAUACGACAUAUCAUACCAAAAUCGUAUGCCAAAUUAUCGUAUAUAGAGUAAUUCCGUUUCUUUUUUGUCCCGGUGCAUCUGAAAUAACCGGUUUCUGGAAAAUCUUGGAAAUUUAGGUUUUUUCCGCCCGAAUGAAUUUAAAUGAACUUUGAAUUUGAUUUUUUUUUUGCUGUGUGAAAAAAUAUAUGAAGACGUUAACCUACUGACUAACGUAACUCCCUCAUGCUCGACUGAUCAGUUGGGUACACUCUUUCGCCCGCUAGGUCAUGAGAUUGGAUCCUCUCAGAUCGGCUGCAGACAUGAUCUCGACUCAUAAACCAAAUGAGAGUUUACUUGAAGUGCUAGAUUACACUACGAAUAAACAUGGAAGAGAAUGACAUGCAGAUGAACUAGGGAUAAUCUCGUUAUCUCUUUUCGUAGGGUUCUUCUUGGACCUCGACUGGCAGCAUGGGAUGAAGUAUUCACUCGUUUGGUUCAGCUGUCACAUGAAUCAGAUUUUUUUCAAUGAAAAUUGCAUCAAAAUGGCAAGUUUUCGGUCAAGUUCAUGUAUGAUGUGCUGGCUCAUAACGAGGUGCCGGUUGAUAACAGAAAAUUGUGGAAGCUUAGGAUUCCUCUAGAAGUGAAGAUAUUCCUUUGGUUUUUUAAUAAAGGUGUCAUCUUAACCAGGGAUAAUUUGGCACGACGCAAAUGGCAAGGAUGCAAAAAAUGCGUCUUCGGUCAUCACAACGAGUCUAUCAAACACUUAUUUUUUUAGUGUAAGUUUGCUAGAUCUGUGUGCGCCAUUGUCCAAAUUGAUUCAAACCUAUACCCACCACGUAGUGCACGGAACAUAUUCGGCAACUGGUUGACGGGUAUUCACAAACAUAUUCCUGUUCACAUUCUUGUGGAAGCGGCUGCUUUAUGUUGGGCAAUAUGGCUUACCAGGAAUGAUAUAUUUUUUAACAAAAAAUGUGUUCCAUCUCCUGUGCAGGUUAUUCAUGUAUGUUCGCGAUGACUCCGUAUUUGAUCUAUCCUGCAGAAGCCGGAAGACAGGGACGUUUUUAUGAUGGCGUCUACACGGCUGGAGCGUACGACCACGGAGGUUUUCUACCCUCAUCGAUGACGGUGUGACCUUCGGAUAGGAUCGGGAACAUCCUAGGCUACUAUACUUGCUUUUCUUAGUUGCAUCUUGUUUUUUACUUUUAACGAAUUUGUGGACUGUGUUGGCUGCAUGCAUCUUGUUAUGCAGAGGCCGGGUCUUUUUGCGGUGUGAUUAUAUCAACUCAGUAAUUCAUUUUUAAAUGUCCUUUAUCGAAAGAAAAAAAAAAUGCAGAUGAACCAGGGAUGUAGCUCUUUGCCACGUAGUAUGAUAAGACAACUCAUGCCAAGCACACCAAGAAAGGAAGGAACCCAACAAAUGUGGUUAUUCUUCCACUCAAACCCCAGCUUUUGCAUUCCCCUCCGAGUUUUGUUAGCACAAAGCUCCAAAUUCUGUUAGCAAAAAAGGUUAUCAAAGCUACCCUUUAACCAAAAUUUCCAUGUCGCGGCACUCCAACAACUAACAGAAAGUCAGAAAGCACUUCGGUACUUACGAUGCCAGCUGCUUGUCACUUCACAUUUCACUAUAUAUAUAUACAUGUGAUACGCCUGGCUAGCUCCAACAACAUCCCUUCUAAACGAAAACAAUGGCGUUCAAGUACCAGCUCAUCCUCUCGGCCGCCGUCAUGCUCGCCAUUCUCGUCGCCACUGCCACCAGUUUCGGGGAUUCGUGUGCUCCAGGGGAUGCGUUGCCACACAACCCUCUCAGAGCCUGCCGCACCUACGUGGUCAGUCAAAUCUGCCACCAAGGCCCCAGACUCCUCACCUCGGACAUGAAGAGGCGGUGUUGCGACGAGUUGUCGGCCAUCCCGGCGUACUGCAGGUGCGAAGCGCUGCGUAUCAUCAUGCAAGGGGUAGUAACUUGGCAGGGUGCGUUCGAGGGUGCCUACUUCAAGGACACGCCCAACUGCCCUAGGGAGAGGCAAACGAGCUACGCCGCCAACCUCGUCACCCCGCAGGAGUGCAACCUAUGGACCAUCCACGGCAGCCCGUCCUGCCCCGAACUGCAGCCCGGAUAUGGAGUGGUCUCGUCAUAAGUUAUAACGACUAGCUCGAUCAUGAAUAAGCAUGGUGCAUCGAUCAAUGGACCAAUCGAUUGUAUGCAUCUAUGCCCAUGUGUGAUGUGUGUUAAAUCGUAAUAAAGAGCAUCAGAGUAUUUUCAGUAUUGUGUUCAAAUGUUUGGCGGUAAUCAACUACCGAGCAUGAUACCCCCGAACCCUACCCUCUCCCGUGCCGCCACCCGUGAUGCGGCCGGGGAGGAAUUCCAGAUCCUCGCCGCGAUCCUCCCCUCCUGCAUCCUCAUCCUCACGCGUGAUGGGGAGGCGCAGGCCGGUUCCCUUGGGCCUGGGCGCGGUGGUUGCGCAGGGUGCCGUGGCGCGGCGGCUCUUAGGUGUGGAAGUCACGCGGGGUGCGGCUGCGGCUUUAAGGGACCGCGUGCCUGGUGGUGCUCGCCGGCACUGCGGCGGUCGGAUCUGGCCAGCAGGCGGAGCAGGCCGCGGCAAUAGGCACUGGUGGCUGCUGUGAUGGGCCUCGACGAUGGAGGCCAUGACGUGGUGGCACUCUUCUCGUGAGGGGAUGACGGCAGCAGCUAGCGGCGGUGGUGGUUCCCUCCUCUCCUCGGUCUGCUCCUCGGACGAGGCGGGUUGGGAUGGGGUGCGGGCUGGUUCUGGUGUCGGCAACGCGGUGGCUGUGGUACGCCUGGCAGCGCAGGGUGGUGGAAUGACGGGUCCCUUCUCCUUAGUCGGUGCAGAUGGCGUGCAGAGCAAUGACAUCUUCUUCCUAUGGUUUGUGCUCUGUCGGGUCAGAUCUGGGUCCUAGGCAUAUCAAGGCUGGUUCCUGGGGUAGGUGACGCUGGGCUCAGCCUGGGAUGUGCCCACGAGAGGUGUAUUCGCGGGUGCGAUGUGCAAUGGUGGUGGUUCUGUCAAAGCUGCCACUCCAAUGGUCCUACAGAUCGUCGCCGAUGGCCACGGACUAGGCGUCAUGCUGGCACUUCAAUGCCUACAUGGUGGCUAUCGGUAGUCUCAAGAUCGUGUCCUCAUGGUUCACCAGGACUAGCUGGGGAUGCACGUGUUGACGACUCCUACUAUGGAGCUGUGGGCCAAGAUCCAGAGACUGAUGUCGGGCUAGGAGUGGAAGCAGGCCUUCUACUCCUCCUGUGGUGGUUGGCGUGUCGUGAAGUGGUCGGGUGACGAUGUCUUGCGGCAGGGAUGGUGGUCCCCAUGGUUGGCUCUCCAGCGAGUCUUAUGGAGGUGGUGGUGUCUUACCCUGGUCGUGUGGGCGGCAAGGGGUAGCGACUGGUGGCUCGGACGUGUAUCAUGCCAUUGGCAAAGGCAUUGCCCUUGGAGCUCGCCACACAUGGCAUAGCAUCAUCGAGAUGGCACGGGUGAGCCGUCGAGCCAAGACUACGUGCUUCUUCGUAGACAAUGACGGCGCCCAAUGGGCGCCUCUAUCUUAUAGAAGAAGUCAUCGUGCUUCUCUCUCUGUGCUAAGGCUCUGGGUGAAAAUCCAUGCCCGCUUCAGACUCGGCAGCGGCAAUGCUCGGCGUUGUUCUCCCUAUUAAGGGUGUUGUCGUGAAGACUAGAUGUGCUAGGGUGUGGUGUGGGAACGUCAAGGGAGGUAGAGCCACUUGCCAAACACUAGACCCAUUGAUGAAAAUAAAAAAACUUACAAGAAUAAAAAAUCACAAGAAAUUUGGUAUGGCUCUUUUUUGGGAAACUUUUGAAAUUGGGGAGAAAAAAAUCAAACUAAAGGAUAAAAGUGGGGGCGGGGGUAGCGCUCCAAAUUCGUAGUAACGUGGUUGUUGAUACCAAUAUGAUACGGGGUAAACCCGAGGUGGCCCGAUCUGCAUGAAUUGGAGGUGGAUUUGAGAAGAACAUGAUGAACAUGAAGAACAUGAGGGAAAAACAUAAAGAAAUCAAAAAGGAAACCACCACUAGUAGAAAACGGGCCUUUGGCCUGGACCAUUUAGUCCCGGCCUGCCUCUGGGCCGGGACUAAAGGCCCGGCCACGUCGCCCCAAUUCUCAAUGCCUCCCUCGAGGCUUUAGUCCCGGCCCGUAAGGAGCCUUUAGUCCCGGUUCGUGUCCCAAACCGGGACUAAAGGGCUACGCGGCGGGCAGUGGUGGUGGCAACCGUUCGUAUCCCCCUUUAGUCCCGGAUGGUGGCUCAACCCGGGACUAAAGGACUAACACGUGGCCUGCCGUAGUGGUGGCGACCGUUGGUAUACCUCUUUAGUCCCGGUUGGUGGCUCAAACCGGGACUAAAGGCCUAACACGUGGCCUGCCUUAGUGGUGGCAACCGUUUGGUAUACCUCUUUAGUCCCGGUUGGUGGCUCAACCCGGGACUAAAGGCCCAAACGGUUUGCAUCCCGCGCCGUUUCGGGCGAUGAAAAGCACGAACCGAAGCGUACAGUCGUCAUUUCUCUGUUCUUCUUCUCUCUCGCGUCGCCCUCUCUGUUCUUCUCCUCUAUUCUUCCCUUCUCUUCUUCCACCAUGCCAACUAGCUUUCAUGAGGUGCUCGCACAUGGCACGACCAAGCUCCGUGUCGUGUACACGAACCUGAGCAGGGAGGUGCCGUUUUUUCUUCAACAGUUGAAGGAACGAUGGUUUGACCACGCAGCGGAUCAUGAGAAGUUCUUGGGGCUUGAUAUGGAGUACACGGCCGAUCAACGCGGUGUUGCCGUCAUCCAACUAUGCUUCGCACGCCAUGUCUUGAUCUUCCAAUGGGCGAGGUAAGUUUUGAGGCUUUCUUUGAUCCAAGAUAAUGAUAUUGUAAGUUUAUUUGUUUCAAUCAUAGUUGGUUCCCUUCAAAUAGUUGUAGUGAAACAAUUUUGAUUAGUUGAAGGGGAGCACAAUCUAAUUGGAAUAGUGUUCCAUAAUCUGAAAAAUCGUAUUAGAAUCAACUAGUGUUUAAUAUGUUUCAUUGGAAUCAUAGUUGGUUCCCUUCAAAUAGUCGUAGUGAAACAAUUUUGAUUAGUUGAAGGGGAGCACAAUCUAAUUGGAAUAGUGUUCCAUAAUCUGAAAAAUCGUAUUAGAAUCAACUAGUGUUCAAUAUGUUCUAUUGGAAUCAUAGUUGGUUCCCUUCAAAUAGUUGUAGUGAAACAAUUUUGAUUAGUUGAAGGGGGGCACAAUCUAAUUGGAAUAGUGUUCCAUAAUCUGAAAAAUUGUAUUAGAAUCAACUAGUGUUUAAUAUGUUCCAUUGGAAUCAUAGUUGGUUCCCUUCAAAUAGUUGUAGUGAAACAAUUUUGAGUUGAAGGGGAACACAAUCUGAUUGGAAUAGUGUUCCACAAUCUGAAAAAUCGUAUUAGAAUCAACUAGUGUUUAAUACGUUCCAUUGGAAUCAUAGUUGGUUCGCUUCAAAUAGUUGUAGUGAAACAAUUUUGAUUAGUUGAAGGGAACACAAUCUGAUUGGAAUAGUGUUCCACAAUCUGAAAAAUCUGAUUGGUUCAAUAUGUUCCAUUGAAAUCAUAGUUGUAGUGAUACAAUUUUAUGCGGUGUUCUUUGAUCCAAGGUUAUGAAAAUUGAAUAUAGCUAGUGAUCUCUCUAGGUUCCAUUGGAUAGCAAUAUGACAUGUCAUAGUCAUGAAAAUUGCAUAUAGCUAGUGAUCUCUCUAGGUUCCAUUGGAUAGCUAUAGUGAUCUCUCUAGGUUCCAUUGCAUAUGUUCUAUUUGAAUCCUAAAGAUAAGUUUCUCUUUUGUUCUUGUGAAACAUGUUUCCUUAUUGCAGCAGUAUGUAACAUUUGUUCUAUUUUAAUUUGUUUCUGUUGCAGGAGUGACAAGCAUUGUCCAGAACUCAUGGAGUUCCUUCGCAGCGGCAUCACUUUUGCUUCCGUUGACAUAAGGAACGACAAGCUGAAGAUGAGGCACAGCUUCGGUAUUGAGAUACCAGCUAGUUGCCUCGUUGAUCUCCAAACGAUAUUCAGGCUUCGACAUGACAGGACUUCGAUGGCUCAUAUGGCAGUUGCCUUGAUCGACGAGUCAUAUGGUGAUAUGAAGACCAGUUUCCCAAAGUCUCAGCACAGACUUUGGGAGAAGGGCCCACUUGAUGAUAUCAACAUUGAGUAUGCAGCAAAAGGUGCAUACGCUUCAUACGAGUUGUACCGCAAGAUUCGAGUCGUCCAGUAUGGCCAGCGUCACCUCGAGGAAGGUGGACAUUCUGAUUCAGAUGAUUCAGACGAGUAGUGUUCUGAACGUCGAACACUUGUAUAUAUAUAUAUGGUAGCUAUUAUUAUGUACUGUUUGGACUAGUAUCAUGUACUUCUUGGACCAAUUUAUAUAUGUCUAGUUUCUGUUUGUGCCAUUAUAGCUUCCAAAUUUGAAUGGUUUAGCCCUUUCUAACUUCAUUUGCUACUUUUGAAUGGUUUAGCCCUUUCUAACUUCAUUUGCUACUUUUGAAUGGUUUAGCCCUUUCUAACUUCAUGGUAUCAUGCAUUUCGACCACAUAUAUAUACAAAAAGUCUUCAGUUCAAAUAAGUUCAAAAAAUGAAAUCCCUUUUGUAACAGAUCUGUUUUUGAUUAAAAUACUCAUUUAAAAAUGAAAGACCAUUAGUCCCACGUGGCGUGCAGCGGAACCACGUGGCGUGCCGCGGAACCACUUUUGUUGUGGGGGUCGCUUCUCCUUCUUCGAAACGCUGCUACUUCGAGAGAGAUUGUCCGUUUUGUACACGAACUGCAUCCAGUUUUUGUCGUAGCCCUCUCAACUUUUUAACACAUGCUAUGUGGGUGAAAUGAUGAUAGCAUGCCAACUUUCAACAUUUUCAGAGUUCAUUUGUAGUGCUUUUCAAUUUCAGGGUCAACUAGCUCGAAAAAAAUUAAGUAAAUGCAUGAAAUAUACCAAAUGAAGUCAGAAAUUAGUUGAAAUUUUGUGAAUGUGCCUUAGAAUGGUGCAUUUUGAACACACAAAAAGUAUGGAGUUCAAAUAAGUUCAAAAAAAUGAAAUCCCUUUGUAAGAGAUGAGUUCUCGUUCGAAACGCUGCUACUUCGAGAGAUAAUAGUUUGGAUAGUCAAAAUUAUUAAUUAUGAAAAUAAAAAAUAGUUUUGCAUUAUUUAUUCAAUUUGAAACACUUUUCAUUAUCAUAGUUUUGUCAAAUUCUCAAAUAUGCAAAAAGAAUUAUUAAUAAACAUAGUUUUUAAUUGAAAAUAACAAAAUAGAUAAUAGUUUGGAUAGUCAAAAUUAUUAAUUAUGAAAAUAGAAAAUAGUUUUACAUUAUUUAUUCAAUUUGAAACACUUUUCAUUAUCAUAGUUUUGUCAAAUUCUCAAAUAUGCAAAAAGAAUUUUUAAUAAACAUAGUUUUUAAUUGAAAAUAACAAAAUAGAUAAUAGUUUGGAUAGUCAAAAUUAUUAAUUAUGAAAAUAGAAAAUAGUUUUGAAUUAUUUAUUCAAUUUCAAACACUUUUCAUUAUCAUAGUUUUGUCAAAUUCUCAAAUAUGCAAAAAGAAUUUUUAAUAAACAUAGUUUUUAAUUGAAAAUAAAAAAAUAGAUAAUAGUUUGGAUAGUCAAAAUUAUUAAUUAUGAAAAUAGAAAGUAGUUUUGAAUGAUUUAUUCAAUUUCAAACACUUUCAUUAUCAUAGUUUUGUCAAAUUCUCAAAUAUGCAAAAAAAAUUUAAUAAACAUAGUUUUUAAUUGAAAAUAACAAAAUAAGUUAAUAGUUUGGAUAGUCAAAAUAAUUAAUUUUGAAAAUAGAAAAAAAUUAGAAACUAUAUGAGAAAUCAUGGACAAAAUUCAACCUGAAUUCACUUUGAAUUCAGAUUGAAUUUUCUCCACAAUUUCGAAUAUAGUUUCAAUUUUCAGUAAGUUUAGGCCCGUAAGCCUGCUUUAGAGAGGAGCUUGAUGGACAAGCUGCGACGGGGCUUAUAAACAAGUGUUAGUCCCCCUCGUUGGGCGAGGUGGGACUGAACUGAUCGUGCAGCCGAGGAGGGGCUUUAGUCCCGGGUGGAGCCANACUAAAGGGGUUCUUUAGUCCCGGCUCGAGCCACGCACCGGGACUAUAGAUCCACCUAUAUAAGCGGGACUUCGAAAAUUUCCAACCCAAUUCGUCCAUUUCUCUUCUUCUUCCUAUCGUUCUCCUGCCCGGCGCGGCACAUCGACGAACUAACCGAUGCCGUCAGGCUGCCCGCCGUCCCGCUCGCCGCCGCCUGCCGUCCUCCUCGCCGCCGCGCCGUCCUCCUCGCCACCGCGCCGUCCACCUCGCCGUCGCGUCCUCCUCCUCGCCGCCGCGCCGUCCUCCUCGCCGCCGCACCGUCCUCCUCGCCGUCGUGCCGUCCUCCGCGCCGUCCUCCUCGCCGCGCGCCGUCGACACCUCCGGCCGGUAAGCCCCCCGCCCCCUCCUCCCCAACACUCCGGCCAGUAUAGAAGAAAAGAAGAAAAAGGAGAAGAAAGGAAGAAAAAGGAGAAGAAAAGAAGAAAAAGGAGAAGAAAAGAAGAAAAAGAAAAAGAUUUUUUUGUCAUUUAAUUCCUAUUGUUAUUAGGUUCGUGCUAGAUUAUUAGGGUUAGUAAUAUUUAGAAUUAGGUUAGGGUUACAAGAAGAAGAAAUAUGAACAAAAAUAAGAAAAUAAGAUUAGGAAAAAUGAAAAUAAGAAGAUGAGGAGAAGAAAAGAAGAAAAAGUGUAUAUUGUAUAGUGUAUAUGCUUAAGUGUAUAGUGUAUAUAGUGUAUAGUGUAUAAGAAAAGAAGAAAAGAAGAGGAGGAGAAGAGAAGAAAAGAAGAGGAGGAGAAGAAAAAUGAAAAUAAGAAGAGGAGGAAUUUUGCUAUUGUAUAGUGUAUAUGCUUAAGUGUUAAUACUGUUUCUUAGAUUAUUGCUUAAUUUUGCUAUUGUAUAUGCUUAAGUGUUAAUAGUUUAAUUUUGCUAUUGUAUAUACUUAAGUGUUAAUAGUUAAUUUUAGCAAGAAAAUUAAUAGAACUAGUUUAUUUUUUUAGUUCACUUUACGAUGCCUAUCACGCAUCCUCGUCGUCGACUCGGCGGAGGACACCUGCUUGAUCAGAGGGGCCCUGUCCGGGACUGGGCUCCGCCCGACUGGUAUUGGGAGGUGCUACCUUCCGGGGGGGCGUAGGUUGGUGAGGAGCCAGCCCGUCGUUGACCCGAUCCUUGUUUGGUGGCGCUCGCGUGGGCCAGUGAGGGUGCCGAGGCUUCCGGACACCGCGGAGGUGGUACAUCACCGUGUCAGCGAGGAGGAUGAGCACGUCCCUCGCUACAUGGUUCCGUUGGAGGACAGGUUCGAGCAUACCUGACAGGUUCUUCGGGGAUCUCACUGGAGCUAUGAUCCUGUGAUGGUUCCUUCUCUUUGGGUGUCCACCGCCCGCGCCGAUACCCGUCGGGCGCUACGGUUCUAGAUGUAUUAGUAAUGCUAUAUGUAUGAUAGUAUUCGAGGAGUAUUAGUGAUAAUAUUCGACGAUGUACGGACAAAAGCUUAUAAUUGAAUGCAUGCUACUUUGAAUACUACUUUAUUUUACGAUUUGGUUUUGCUUAUUGAAUGCUCAAAUUGGAAAAGUACUCCUACUUUGAAUACUAUGCAGAAAUCUAGGAGUCCCGGGUGGAGCCACGACCCGGGACUUAAGUUGUUUUGAAACGGAGUUCCUCAUAGAAUAAUUCUUUUUUGGUACAAAGUAGAGAGAAUCCGUUUUUUGCAGAACUAUGGAUGCACAUAUCAGGAACCUCGAAGAGGAAGAACUCCUCGAAGAUAUAAUCAAAGACGGCCCCGACGUUGAACCAGCUGAAUCUCCGUCGUCAUAUCUAAACCAGGACGUUGGAAUGGAGGUCGAGCGACACGAAGAUGAAGCCGAUGGGGUAGGAGAUAGGUCCAAUGACGGAGAAGGUGAUAGCUCCACUGACGGAGAAGCCGGUGAAGAGGAGAAGUCCGGCGAGGUAUACAUAUGAAGUUCGACAAUCACUUGUAAUAUGUGAAAAAUAUUGGAGAUAGCUCUAUAUUGUAUACAUAUACAUUCAUUUGACGAAUGUUUCUCCCUCUUAGGCCUCCACAUCGAGCAAAACUACGAAACGAGGCCUGACUAGGAAGUUGGAUGCACGGACGCAUUACACAUUUGAGGUGAUAUUUCCUAUGGGCGAACCCAAGCUUCCUAAGAAUGCUGCUGACACAUUCAAGAAGCAAUGCGGAGUUCUCGUUAGGGAUCACGUCCCGAUCAGCGUUUGGGAGUGGAACAAGCGCAAAGGGGCAGCCGGUAGUGACCAUGUCGCCGAAAGGUACAAAGAUAAUCUUUGGAAUGAUCUCAUGUCACAUUUCAACCUGCCAGAAUGUGCGAAUGAAGACGCCGCAGACAAACUGAGGGCCAAAGUCAAGCAGUGGACUCUGAAGAAGAGACUGCCAUCCCACCACAAGCUGGGUGCAGGGGGCCAGGGGGCUAUGAGACUGCCAUCCCAGAGUGGGAUAAGAAAGAGCAAGAUCUGAUAGAUAAAGGCAUCGUACCUGAACCACUCAGUGAUGAGUGGGAAUUGAGAGCAAGAAAUUGGUUCCUUGCGCAUGGUGGGUCGUAUGACGAAACAACAGGGGACCUCAUCUGCAAUGACGAUCUUAGGAUACCCAGGGUGAAUUGGAAAAGGAUAGUGAAAGAAAUUAAGGAGGGACAAAGAAAGUUCACUGCAGAUAGAGAUAAAGAUUUGCUCACACUGGUCCUCGGCAAUGACGAACAUGGAGGACGAACGCGAGGCUUCGGUCCUUCUUACCCGUGGUGGCUUGGGUUUGCCAGAGACCAAGACACUUACAGAAGCCGAGAGAGAGCAAAGAAGCGGCAGCAGGAUGAGGAGAAUGACAAGUUCAACCAGUUGCUUGCCAGGAUUAACGAGCAACACAAGCAGAUUGAUGAGCUUAGAGGAGUACCGCGCGAGGAAGAUCCUGCACUUGAUAUUACCGGCGCCCCAUCUAAGCGGAAAAGCAGCGUGGCUGAGUCUGAGGCCCCGCCCGACGAUGAACGAAGAAUGAUAGAGGGCGGUCCCGGCUACCCCGUGGAUGGAAUCAAGGAGUCAACAUCAUGUGAACUCCAUCAGAAAUUCAAGAACAUAUCCAUGAAGGUGGCCGUCGGACAAGCUUUACCUUCUGGCCCUGAUGCACGCUGGCAUGGCCGUGAGAUUCCAGCUGCCUUUGCUAAAGUCGGGGUGGAUGAAAUCAUGACGGGGUUUAAUGAUAUGGAGCUCGACAUAGCUGGACCCGAAGAUGAGAGGACACUCGGAGAAGUACUGGGUGGAGUCAUCCUAUGGGACAAGAACUACAUCAAGCUUCCAGGCUCGGCCCCAAGGACAACACCGCCUCCGAGUCGUCGCAGGUCACCUACACCUCCAUUACCUCCAAGCCCUCCACAUGACGUCGGCCAGCACAACACGAGUCCAUCUCGAUCACCGCCGCCGGACUUGGGUCGUCCGUCUCCGCCAUCGCCCGCACAUGAUACUAAGCGGAAGCGUGCCAGCAAGAACGCUCCGUCGAUGAUUUCUAAGCGACGGAGCUCCCCAAAGCGCAAACUGUCGCCCCUCCAAAGGUACCUCAUGCUAAUCUUCCUAUCAGACCUUAUGAUCGUACCCCCGAGGAAAACGUCAGGAUAGCAAAGGAACAACAUGAUGCACAGAUGAAAAGGAAGGAACCCGAGCCCCGCCCGGAAUACACCGAGAAGCACAUAGCAUGGGCGAAAGACUUCAUAACCACUCCAUCACAGUAUGACUUACACUAUAAGCCUGAUGACUAUACACGCACAUUGCAGAAGGAAGUGAAAAAGAGCAGGUCACGUGCAAGUGCAAGUGGGAGAAAAUCGAGUUCAACUACAAGCAAGACAAAAUCAGACGUUCCUCAGCUUGGACAACAGGCCAAACAGUCGAUCCCACCCCUCAAGGUGUUAACCGAGAAUGUUCCCCCUCCGGUGCAGGGGCAAGCUUUUGAAAGAGCAAAGGAGUUGGCGGAUGAAUGUGGUAUCUCGGUUGAAGACUUGCUGGCUUCCCAAGACGACAGGAUACCCAAGGCUGUGGUAGCCCCUAAGCCACAGUUUGUCAUGGGAGAGCCUUUGGUCAGCAAAGAUGAUCUCCCAAAAAAUAUGCGUUACUUGCAUAAAUGGUACUUAAGUGAAUCAAAGAAUGGGAGAACGAUGAUCGUGCUGAGUGUCCCACGGGAGUACUACGGCCGCUCCGAAGAAAUCCAUAUUGACUUUGAUGAACUCUUCCAGAUGUACAAUGGCGACGCCCUCGACAAAUCGCUUAUGAGUUGCUAUUGUCUGUAAGUUUUUUAAUUCGUUGUCUACAUAUAACUUGUUUAGUUAUUUCAAUUCAUUGUCUAUAUAUAACUUGUACUCUAUUAUGCAGAAUGAAGAUUCUGGAGUGUAAAAGUAAGAGCAUCCUAAAUAUUGGGUUUAUUGACCCAGAUAAAAUACAUAUAGCGACGCUAACUGACAAACCCAAGGAGACGGAGGAAAACCUUCAAAGGUUUCUAACAGAUCAAAAUUUCUGUGACCACAUACUGUUUCCAUACAACUUCAGGUGGGGGUCUUUACUCUGUUGUGUCUAUUCACUUAUAAGUGUAAUUGAUAAGUUACUGACACACACACACACACACACACACACACACACAUAUAUAUAUAUAUAUAUAUAUAUAUACAUGUGCAGCUUUCAUUGGAUUCUGUUGGACAUUCAAAUUGAUAAGGGAAGAGUUGAUGCCUUCGACCCAUUAUCGAGACCCUUGAAACAGUUCCAAAGCCUGCAGGACAUGCUCCAAGGGUAAUUUUAAUCAUUCUUGCGCUCUAUCGGUCUCUUUCGAUGAUUUUUUGAUAUAUCAAUUAAUGAAAAACUUAGCAAAUCAUUAUCUUUGUCGGGCAGAGUUUGGAAGCGGUUCAAGUGCGUGACUCCCGGUAACUUUCCUGAGAAGCUGACCUUUAGAGCGGCUCAGGUAAGUAGUAGUAUGAUAUACUUCUAUUAAUUUUCAAUACAUUUAUGAUGCUAGAUUAUUGUUUUGAUUAUAUAUAUUCUAUUCUCGUAAAGUGCGACCAGCAGCCACGGGGAACGCAUCGAUGCGGAUACUAUGUUUGCGAGACCAUUCGCACGUUUACCUCUGAGUUCAAGGAUCACAGAUUCGACAUAAGCAAUGAACAUUCACACCUCUAUUUUUACCCGUCAUUCUUUGUUAUCAUGAUUGAUAUUCAUAUUCAUCUCCUCUUCUUAUAUAGCACACGGCCAUGAGGACGAAGGUCCUACCACAGCAACGCGCGAUUGUUGUUGCAGAGGAGCUUGCGGGAUUUCUGAGGACGGAAGCUAUAGAAGACAAAGGGCGAUUUAGUGUAGCUAAGGGCCAUUACUGAUGUUCGUCCAUGUAAUCGAAUAGACGGGCUCUAGUCCCGAUAAUUCAGAUCUCCAUAUAAUUGUAUAUAUACGAUCGCUUGUAAGAUAAGUUAAUCUUAUAUAUAUAUAUGCAUAAUUAUUUUUAUUUAAAUUAUAUGAAAACUAAUUCCCGAACACCAAACGAGGCAUCACGUUAAUCUCCCCAACACCUAAACCCUAAAACCCUAAAAUAAUUUCAUUCAAAAAAAAACUCAAAACCAGCAAAAUCUGAAAAACGUUAGUCCCGGUCCGUGUAACGAACCGGGACUAAAGGGCCUGCCCUGGGGCGCUACGAGGCGCCCACGUGGAGCACCUUUAGUCCCGGCGUGUAAGAGGACCGGGACGAAAAGGUUAGGCCUUUAGUCCCGCCCCUUUAGUCCCGGUUGGUGAAUCGGGACUAAAGCUCUUACGGGCCGGGUCUAAAGGCCCCGUCCCCACUAGUGCACUCUAUUGUACAAGAUCCACAUCAAGUACUCGUCAAAUCACAAGCAAUACAUGAGGUGCAAUACAUAAUACCACACAACCCUCUCGGGGCCUGCCGCACCUACGUGGUCAGUCAAAUCUGCCAUGAAGGCCCCAGACUCUUCAGCUGGGACAUGAAGAGGCGGUGCUGCGACGAGCUGUCGGCCAUCCCGUCGUACUGCAGGUGCGAAGCGCUGCGUGUCAUCAUGGAUGGGGUAGUACCUCCGCACGGUGUGUUCGAGGGUGCCUACUUCCAGGACAUGCCCAACUGCCCUAGGGUGACGCAAAGGAGCUACGCCGCCAACCUCGUCACCCGGCAGGAGUGCAACCUAGAGACAAUACAUGGCAGCCCGUACUGCCCCGAACUGCAGCCCGGAUA
rnacentral:lncRNA from 1 species